GCAACUUUACCGCCUUUAAUGUCGGUGAUGUUGACAGAUCCGACGCUGUUUUGAGCGUUACCGGUGGUUUGGAAGAGAGUGGUGGAGAUAGUGGUGCCGUUGGUGAUUUGGUGGAGUUUAGUGUUGUCGAAGUAGUCGAGAAGGAUGAGGAGACUGAGGACGUUUUUAACGACGGAGAGAGGGUGUUUUGAGGUGAUGGAAGAAAACGCGGCGUUGUUGAGGACUAAGACGGUGAUGGUUUGACGGCUGUUGAUUUCGUCGGCGAGUUUGGUUUGAGAGAGGAAGUUGUUGUAUUGACUAUAGUCUGGGUUGUCGGAGAGGAUUUCCGUGAUGUUGUGGGCGGAGAUGGUGGUAGUUAUGGAGAGGAUGAGGAGGAGAGGGAGGAAGAGGAGAGUGUGGUUACCCAUUUUGGAGAAAUGGGUAAAUGGCAGAGAGAGAGAGAGUGUGUGAGGAAGUGAAGUGGAAGAGAAGGAGUUAAAGAUGAAAGUGUCUGUUGUAGUGUUGUUUGUUUGUAUGUGUGCGUCUCCGUGGGGUUUUAUUAACCAUGGUUAACGGGUAGGAUGUGAAUUACAAAAGGAAAUUUCCACUUUAUUUUCAUUUUUCUUUCACAUCAGGUUUUUUUAAAUUGUUUUGGUACAUAUAUAUUUUUUAGAUUUACUAAUUUGUAUGGAGAAAAGUUUUAUGCAUAACAAUCAAAUGGUUUAGAGUUUUUAUCCAUAUAUUAAAAUAUAGUUGUUAGAAGAAAGAUAAAAGUUCAUUUAUUAAAUUAUUUUAAUUAUUAAUGAUUUUUUUUAUUAUUAUUAAUUAAAGUAUAAUAAUAUUUUAAAUAUUAUUGUAUAUAAUAAUUAUAAAUUAUAUUUAUUUUAAGACUUUUUUUUGUUAAAGUGAAGUUGAUUCUGAUAUGACGAAAGUAUUAUCGAGUUUAAUUAUAAUAUUAUCAAUAUAAUAUAAUUUUAUAUUGACUUAUAAUAAAAAGUUAAGAUAUGUUCACAUAAAUUAAUUUUAUAAUCGCAAUUUAAUAAUAAGUGUAAAAUAUUACAUUUUAAUUGGACUUUCAUGUGUGAGUCCUAUUUUCUCUUUAUUAUUUAGAUAUUUGGAUAUGUUUUUAAAAAGUAACAUUGAAAAAUAUAUAUUAUAUAAUUAAAAAAUAGAAAAUUAUUGUGAAAAGAAAGAAAAUGCUAAUAAUAUUCUAAAAGCAUUUAUAAUAUGAGGUGUUUUUCUUAAUAACGUGAAUGUCUAAUAGUUAUCUCCAUUGUGAAAUAAAAGAUAUAAGUGUUCAUGGAAAAGGUUGGUUGCAGAGUUACUAUCUCACUCUUUACUUUUUAUGGGUUCUAUUUACUAGUUUUUAUUAAAAUAAAUGAACAUCGUUAAAAUAUAAUUAUAUUGGAUUGUUAGUUGAAUCUAUUUAAUAAUUUUUUUUCAGAUGUUCAAUUAAAGAGAAUGAUUUUUAUUAAACUCUUUGAUUGAAAAAUUAUAAAAUGAGUUAUACAAACUGAGCUAUUUAAAAAAAAAUGUUAGUUUUUUUAUUGAAAAAUAUAUUACGAUUUUAAGUGGGCUUGAAUAAUGGUUGUAUAGUGAGUAUUGUCGAGGGAUGUACCUACGCAGUUCGAUAAUCAAGUAAAUUUGUGUCUCUGAGUUGGAGACUUUAGGGGGAUAACAUUGUGUACAUUCAACCUACACCAAAUUUCCUUUUAUAAGAUGUCAAAUAAGGUUCACUGAAACAAUAUGUUGGGAUUAUGAACUAUAUAAUCCAAUACUGACGAAUCAUUAUUUGAUUUUUGACACAUGCCUUUGAUGAUAGACGAUAACGGUUGCCAAUGUGCAACUGAGAUUUUGUGAUAUGUUUGUCAUUGUAUGGCCUUAGAAAGAUGUAUGUGAGUUCCAAUAGUCACUCACCUAUAAUCCCUUUUUUUAUACUGGUAUGUCCUAGAUAAAAAAUGUGUCCCUUAUUUGCGAGUUGGACUCAUUACAUAUUGCUUGGUUACAUUCAAAAGAGACUUUAAUGUCAAAUUCAACUAAAAAGUAACUAUAAUCUAACUAAAUAUUAUUUUAAUAACGGAUCAACAUGAAUUACUACCCCUACAAUUCAAUUUUAACUCAAAUUCAGUAUCCAACAUUCUUAUCACUUGAUUAAUGAAAAAUGUUAUUCGUUUAGAAAAUAUUUUGAUAAUAAUCACCUACUUUUUUAUACAUGGUUAUUACUUAGUAAGAAUUUGAUCAAUCAAUAUAUUUUAUUUUUAUACAUUCUUUUCAUUCUUGUAUAAAUCACUCUCAAUUAAUCAUGUAUAUAUAUUUGUACUAGUAAACAAUUGUUAUUGAAUAUAAAUCAUCCUAACUUGUAAUUUUUUUAUAUCAAAACUUUUUUUUAUUAUAAUUAUACUUUUUUAAAUUUUUUUAUAUUUAUCAAAACAUAUAUUUGACCAGUUUUUAUAUAUAAGUGACAUUUUGUUAGUGUAAUGACUAUACUAGAAAAAAAAAAUGUAUUGUCUUAAAAUUCAAUGAAUUGCUUAGUAGAGUAUAACAAUUAACAAUUGUAUCUCACAUAUUGUAGAUUAAAAAUACACAGUGAUAUAAAAUGUAAGGAAAGGAUAAGUAGAGUUAUUAAGAGCAUGUGAGAGGGAUGGGGCAUAAGGGGGGGACAAACAUGAUUUGUUCACAGCUGGAAAUGCAUAGUGAGGUCGUGGCAUUCGUUGCCUUCUUUGCCUUUCUUUUCAUCAAUUCCCUUUUUUCUCUUUCUUAUGUCCUAUUCUCAGUUUUACAAUACUUGGUAUCUUUCUUUUUCUUUUUUCCUUUCUUUUCUCUCCAUCAUUUUCGUGUCUCAUUAUCAAUUGCUAUCUAUUUUCUUUUGUCGUUUCAGAAACAGAAUACAAAAUUUCUACCAAUUUUGAGUCUAUCUUUUUACGGUACCGCGCGUCCACAGAAUCACAUUAUAAUUUUAUUAUAUUUAGUCUUUAUUAUCCGUAAGAUAUUUAUGAUAUUUUUAUUGGUUGCUUAAUUUUGUUUUUGUUGUUAAUUUGCAAGUUUAUUUUGUGACAUUAGAAAUGUAAUUUUUUAUAUUGGAACUAAAAAUAAAUUGUUGAAAUUUUUUAUAAAAUAAAAAUUUAUUUAUUAAUUUUUUUUACAUUCAUGACGUAUAAUUAUUAAACAAUUAGAUGAUUGAACUUAAAUUGUUAAAAAAAAAAUAAUUGAAACAAUUAUUGAUUAAAUAAUUUUUUUUUGUUUACACGAGAAAACAACAAGAGAACAAAAAAAGUUAGAUUAAUUUAAUUUCAUUCAUGUAUUGUCUUCUAGCAGUAGCCGCCAGUAUACUGUAACCAGUUGAAAAGUUUGAUAGUCUCACCUAUUUAAUUACAAUUUUUCUCAUGAUAUUUUUUGUAAAAUUUUAUUAUUCACGUGGGAAAAUUAUUUUUUAUGUGACUGAAAUGAUGAACAAAAUUUUCUCAUUGAAUAGUAAAAACUAAGACACCAUAGUUGAUAAUUUUUUUUUAAGACACCAUAAUGUUACAAAACUAACUAUUAUUUUAGAUUAUGAGAUGAUUAUAUAUUUUUAAUCUUUAUCAUUUAUGUAUGAAUAUGUAAAUAUACCUUAAAAUAUAAAUAUCAUCUACAUAAGACAACACAUUUGGCAAUUGUAAAUAAAAAAGUUAGAAAAAAAAACAGGGGAAGAGAAAGAAUAUGGAAGAAAAGUGUUGAAAGCAAAAACCAAUCUGCAAGUGGUUAAUCUGCACAACGUAUAUGACAGUGUAAAGAGCCUUGCAGUUCUGCUCAAUUUGAAUUUUAAGUGAUUGUUUGGACACAAACAUACUCACACAAAAAUAUAUAAUUUAAUUAAUUUUAAUAUUCUUUUAUCUUUAUUUUUUUUUAAGUGUGCCAAACACUAUUUAUCUAUAUUUAUGUUCAAAUAUUUAUCUUUACUCAUAUAGUCCAGCAAUUUUAUCUCCCCCAUAGAGUACUCUGUUGCACGAUGUACUGGUUCUGAUGAGUUUGUUACCUAGUAACUGCUCCAAAUAUUCACUUUUUUUAACUCUUAAGUUUUUUUAAAAAUUUACUUCGAUAAUCUAUAAUUCGGUAAGGAAAAUGUGAUUAAAAGUUAUUUUAGUGAACAUUUAAAUUCAAAUUAUUUUAAACGAUUUAUUUUUUAAUUAAUCUAUUAACCCUUUUAACUAACCACUUAGUUUCACAAAUUGAUCUCUAAUUGCAUGAUCAAUGACUUAAUAUUAUAAACCAAUUAUAAUAAUAUAUAAAUAAUAUAUGAAAACUUGACGUAUUUUAUUUUAAAGUAGUAUUAUGAAUAUAAUUUAAGACUUAAAUCUAAUAAUAUGUGGUUGGUGUCCACACAUAUUCAAAAAAGAAUGUCCCUGCCAUCCUUAAGCUAAACUUUUAUUCAAAAAAAAAAAAAGAAUGUGUUUCUAUCUUUAUACAUAAUAUUAUUUAUUCUAGUUACCAAAAAUAUGUAUGUAUUAUUUAUUCCUUCAAUAUAUAUUUAGGAAAUGUUGAAACAUAUUGCUGGCAAGAAGUGGCUAACAAUACCAACUUUAGUGUCUGUGAUGUUAAAGGACAUCGAGGCCAAAACUUGUUCAAAAGAGAAAUUAUUGCGAAUUGCUAUGUUGGUGUUUGACCUACAUGUGCUUGUCAUAUGAUCCAUUUAUGACUAGUGGAAAGUGGACUGCACAUCAUAAUAUAACUAUGAUCAUGUAACAGCUGCAAUAAACUUUUUCAUAUGUAGUGCCAUAAAUACAACUCAAUUGAUAAUUUUAAUCACGUUAAUAUAGAGGGAGCUCAAUUUUGAAUUUGAAAAGAAAACAUUUUCAUACGUGUACGACGUUGGCAUCACUACCUACUUAUUUUGACUCGUUUUAUUUUAUUCCAACAAUAACACUGUGGUACAAAAUUACAAAUCAAGCUCCUGCGUUUUCUUUGACUUCACAAAAGCUUCACUCCCUUUGCUUGUGACUAGAGUAAAUGUCGUAGUCCUUUUUCUUGUUACUUCACAACGUUAUGAAAGAAUAAUUAUGUAAAAUCUACCUUUUUGGAUUAGUUUUAUGUAUGAGUAAUUAACGUGUUAACAAGAUUAGUACUAUAAAUAUAUCGGCUAAAUUGGCUAGAGGAAUUUUUGGUCUACACCUAAUAUUUAGUGAUACUCAUUUGACACUUCAAUAAAAUGAUUAAUAUAUAAAAAUAAUUUUAUUUAUUAUUUAAAUUUUGUUUUCUUUCUUUACUAUCAACCACUAACAAUGGGGUGCUAAAUGAGUGUAUUGCUAAAUGAGUGUAUUCUAUAUAUGGAUAUGGAUAUUGAUGUACAUCUAUCACUGCUCAAUUGGCUAUGUACAAAACUUAGUUGAUGACACAAAUAUCCAUUCAGAUUCAUAUUACAACUUUGUAUUGUUUAUCUUCUUCAUUUUUUUAUUUAAAUAAAAGGUCGUCAACACUUCAAAUUUGAAAAGAUAAAUAUUCUAAUUAUUUUGAUUAAUUAUGUCAACAUUUAUAGAUAUUUUACAGUUAUAUAUUAUUGAUUUAGAUGCUGUAAGUUUAUUCGUAGAUUUAUUAUUUUUAUUUUUUAGUGACUUUGAUUUAUGUUAUCUUCAAUGUACCUUAUCAAUUAAAAUUAAUGAACAUCUUUAUGUUACUUUAAAAAAAAAUCGCAAGAACUCUUCGUUUCAAUUCAAUUAUGCAAGUCCUGACUUGCAAAUUGUAACUUUUGCAUAAUCAUCAUAGUUCAAGAUAAUUCCGACAAUUUCACCAAAAUACCAAAGAUAUAAGCUUAAACUUCUAUGCUUACCACCAUGUAUUUUGGCGUUUUAGUUAAUAUUUAUUUUAUCAAUGUAAAUUAUUAAAUUUAGUACCUUUAAAAAGUAUUUAUUUAAAUAGUUAAAAAAUUAUACUAAAAAAUAUGCUUAAUAUAUAAUUACAUUAUACGGAUCACUUAUGCAAACUGUCUCUUUCAAAUAUCACCUUUAAUUAGAAAUUAAAUAUGAUGAUUUUUGGUUUGGUGUAGUGAAAAAAAUGAUAGGACCAAAGAAACUUUGAAGGAACAAUAUUUUAAUGUAAGUGGUCAUUUAUUCCACUUUACUCAUUCUCUCACUGCAUUUGUGUAUACAUUGUGAGUUCAAAUUUAAAUUUUUGUAAGCAACAUAAAGGUUUGCGAUAGAACAAUUAGUUAUCCAAAAUCUGCCACUCAUAAUGAUGUUAAUGAUCACUACAAUCUCACUAGGACUACAAAUGUUUGUUCAUCUGAGCCAUUCAAUACUUCAACAAGUUUUGUCAGCCAAACAGAUGCUUAUUUACUUCAUCUUAGGCUUAAUGUAAUUUUCUCUUUUAUAUCUUUUCAAUUCUAGUAUAUCAGGAGUUACAAAAUUGAGGUUCAAAUUUGGAUUGAUAACAAUUAGUAAAUUUAGUAUUUGUUGAUAAAAAAAAUUUACGAAUUAGACAUUCAUUAAUAAAGAGCAUUUACUAACUAUUAAGAUAAACUAUCAUGUUAUGAAUAUAAAUUCGAAAUUUCGUAAUUAUACGUAUAAAUUUUUAAUAGUGUUUAUCAUUUCAUAAAAUAAAAUAAAAACUAAACAUAUAUGAGUGGUCAAUGAGUUUAAAUGUUUGACUCUAACUUUUGGCCUAUCACUUUGCGGUAAGAUUAUGAUAUAUCUCUUUUUGAUGUACUAAUAUUUUUUUAAAAGACAAAAUUAUUAAUUAUUAGUUUUUGUUAGUAGAAGAAAUUGAACUCAUGACUUUCUUGUAACUCUAAUCCUUAUGUUUUUAUCCAAACCACUAAACUACUUUAUAACUCUUUACAUAUAUAAUAAAAUCUUAGAGUUUUGAAAUUACCCUUUUAACCUUAAAAACAUACUUGAAGACUUUUCUUCAAGAUUAGAAGUUUAAUCUUAAGAGUUAUAAAAUUACACUAAAGUUUUAGCCCACUAUAAACACAAGUAGUGAUGGUCCAUGUUAAAAUCCACGGAAAGAAUAUGAUCAUCCAUUAUUUGUGAUCCCAAAACAUGAACAUUAAAGAAGCAUAAGAAUACAACAUGUAAAACUGAAAAUAUUGAUUCUCAUUCCAACCAUAUAUAUAGUACUAUGAAAUGUAAACAAUUUUUUUCUUUAAACAUAUAUAUAUAUAUAUAUUGCACUGUUUAGUAAAAACAUACCAAUAUUUAGUAAAAUAUAAAAUCGAAGGACUUGCACAAAAUUACACAUUUUUCAGGGAUAGUGGGUUUAGAGUGUCAUUAAGUAAAUACUGAUAUGAUUAACAGAAAAUUAAGACAAGAAGUCAGGAUGGCCGAGUGGUCUAAGGCGCCAGACUCAAGUUCUGGUCUUCGAAAGAGGGCGUGGGUUCAAAUCCCACUUCUGACAAUUUUUAUUUUAUUUUUUACAUUAUUAAAUUAUUCAAAAACUAAUUAUUUUGCAUUAUGUGACAUAUAUUGACUGUAUAUAUUUUUACCUACUAAAAUAUUAAUAACAAUUCAUACAUUAUUUAACUAAAAUAAAUUAUCAUUUGCUAAAUUAUAAAGUGUUUACCUGAGGUGAAUAAAAAAAAACUAAAGAAGGAUAGAAAGCGAGAAAUAAAUUAUCAUUAUUUUUGUGUUUUUUUAUUUAUUUAUUUUAAUUUAUGUUUUAUAAUUUUAAAAUAAUAUUAAUUGUUUUAAAUCCAAAUGGAUUAAAAUAAUCAUAGCUGACAUUUUAUAAUUAAAAAGAUAUGUUCAUGUAAGUGGUGGCUGAGUCAAAAUCAAAAGGAUGUGAUUUAUGCAAACUAUGUUAGUUAAAGGGACAAAAAUAUUAUUUUUUAAAGAUCAAAAUUGUCUGACUUUUAAAAUUCAAAAAGAGUAAUAGUAUAUUAUAGCUUAAAAAUAACUGCUUUUAACUUUGCUUAGUUGAUGUAGUAUAAUAGUGUGUAUUUUUUUUUUCUCUAGUUUUAAUUUCAAAUAAAAAUAAAUUUUUUGUUAAAUACUACAAAUUCAAAACUAAGCAACUACCAUAUAUGAUUAUGUAUAUCAUAGUUCUUUUCCCCAUCAUCAAGAAAUAUUUUCUUGAAAUCAGUUUGACAUCAACUAAUUCUUUUAGAAAUAUGCAUGCCAUUCUCAAUUAAAUAUGGGACAUGUAUGUUGGUUUGGAGUUGGUUUAGAGAGAACAUAUCUCACUUCGUAUUGAAGAUAGGGACUUUAAAAUGCUUAUAGAUAUAGUUACAAACACUUGUAAGUUUAGUGGAAAUGUUUCAUUUAAUAGUAACGCAUUCAUAAGCUUUUGAAUCAUGAUUGACAUGUCUAAAUUUUUCAUAUCUAAAUGAAGGAAAAUAAAUAUGUUGAUUGACUCGUCUCUUUUAACUUUUCUAUAUACUUUGACUACAAGCUUUAUUGUAGAGAAUCCUCUUAGUGAUCUUUACAAAAUUAUUUUUGAUACAUUUUUGAAACUUGUAUAUCUAAAACUGUUCAAUUAAUUUUGUAGUCUUUUCUUUUUUGUUGGACUUUUGCCUUCUCUUUCUAAAAAAAUUUAGAAAUAUUUUAUACUUUUUAUAAACUUCACCAGUAAAUUCUUCAUCCUAAUUUUGAAUUUUUACUAUAUUCAUUUCAGUCUCCUUAUUGUAAGAAGUUGGUAUAUGAAAUAUGUAAAACCGAGAAAAUGCAUCAUAUCUUGAGUAAGCUUUAACUUAACUUCCAAUUGUUGAAAAUGAAACUUCUCUCAUAAUUACCUAACCAAAACAAAACCUUGAGAAUAUUUUUAUGAUAAAACCAUGAUAAUUCAUCAUUACAUCCUAAAGUAUGAAAUAACUUGAGAAUUUGAUAAUAACUUGGGAUUGCCUACUUUGCUUUGUAGCGGAAUUCAAAUAUCUAUGGGUGAAUAUCUAUUAUGAUAGUAUCGGUAUUGGUAAAAUUACGAAAUACAUCAUUUUUAUUAAAAAUUAAGGUAUUGACGAAAAUAAUUUUUUAUAUAUAGCUUGAUUGAGAAAGUUAAAUAUAAUUUUUUAUAUAAUUUAAUUAAAAAAAUUAAAUUGUUUAUUUAUAAUACAAAAUCACAAUAAAAAUUUAAAGGAUCGCAAAUUGUAUUUGCUUACAAUAAUUAAUUAACUCAAAUAUAUAUAAUAAUAUAUUAAUAUAUACAAAAAUCAUCAAUAUCAUUCAUAAUAAAAUAAUAUAAAGCUCAGAAUACCGCGUACAUAUACCAAUACCGAAUAAAUAUUAUGUGGUUCGUAAUAAAAUAAUAUAAAAAAUAGAAUAUCACGUCCAGGUACAAAUACCGAAUAAAUAUCCGGUCCACUAUUUUACAGUUUUAAAAUUACUCAUGCAUCAUAGGAAAAUAUAUAGCAUAUUGUCUUCCCCUCGCUCUAAAUGAAUAAUAAAUACUACCAAUAUCCUUUGAUAACCCUUAGUCCCUUAUUUAUAAGCAAUAUUUACCAAUUUGAAAUUUGCUUAUUUUGUGUUUUGAUGUUUCAAAUUUGUCUUUCCAAAUUAAUGUUUUAGUUAAAUAAUAACAUCAAAAUGUUGUAAAUUAAUUAAGGUAUCUUCUGUAAAUUAUUUUUAUUCUAUCUAGAUUUUUUAUUCCCUUCCCCAUUAAACAGCUAAACAUCUAAGACAAAAUCUUCAAUAAUGUACAUACACCCAAAUCCAAAUAUUAACUUAAUAUGAUCCUUGAUUUUUUACUAUUGAACUAAAUUUUUAAAAUUUUAUCUUUUAUCUGAGGACAGAUUGAUUGUAUCUAAUUAAUAAAAUUAAUAAAUGUAGAAAAAAUAAUAUCCAAUUAUAACUAAAAGACAAGUCAACUCUGCUCAUUGCUUAGCUCGAGCAUUUCAUGGCUUAUGACCAAGUUUAUAAUCAAUUUCAUUUUAUAUUAUUUCCCUUAUUUUCAAUACAAUAAGAUGCAGUAGCUUACUUUGGAUUUUCACUAUCAUUUGAAAAACACUCAAAUAAUGUGUAACCAUACUAUCAUAAGAUAUUUAAUCAUAUAAAAUAUUGAUAUGAUAUGAAAUUUCAUAUAUUCUAACAAACAAAAAAUGGAAGUUUAAAAAUAUGAUUAUAUAAUGUACAUAUAUAUAUUGGUAGCCAUUCCAUUCAAGGCUGUAUGUAAUGUGCAGGUCUGUUAAGUUCAGAACAAAGCCUUCAAGGCUACAUGAUUUCACAUCAUAGCCAUCAACAAACGGAAGCUUCUUUUUUCACCGUCAUAUAUUUCAGAAGUACACAUCCAGAAAAACAAUUUUUUUUUCCCAUUGGAUCUGUACUCCCAGAGAAGAACAUGAUUAUUUUUCCUUCUGAAUGCAUACUUACGGACGACACUGGUUUUUUAGAAACAUAUGGCGAGUUAAAAGUAGCUCUCUAAACAAAUAGCUUCAACUUGAUUAUCAACAAACCUUGAUGCCCUUAUCUUGCUCUAUUUCAGUUAAUAUACAUUUAAUUUGAAUUUUAUGCACAUGCUCCCAUCAUAGCAUGUUCUGUGAAUAAGACCUUAAUUUGAGCCAAACUCUUCAUUCCACUUCUCAAGCUCUUCCCAUUUGCUUUUGUUUAAACUUGGUCUUAUGACAGCCAUUGCUUUCUUGAAGUCCUCAUACCUUAGUCCUCUUACCUGGUAAAACCGAAAAACAUUAACAACAAAUUAAGGUUUUCACUUACAAGAUUAAUAAUAAUCCGCAAUGAUAAUUAAAGCAAUUUGAAUCUAGCAUGCCUGAUUUGCCUUGACAGUAAGAAUGUUAGGACCCAGCUCUCUAAUUGGCAUCAUUGCAGCUUCUUCACACAAGGCUUGUAGAUCACUUCCAGAGUAUCCUGAAAACCAAGCAAGACAAUAUAUCAGUCAUAUUUGGACACAAAAAAACAAAGAAAGUAAAAGAAAAUAAUAUCUCAACAUAUUACUUUCCUUCAGAUCGUGACUCAAUCUAUACUUACCUUCAGUCUCGUUUACAAGCAUUUCUAGAUCUCUACCUGUAACAUAAAAAUCAAAAGUUUUUAGUUAAGAAAAAAGAAGUGUGAGUAAUAACAUAUUAGAAUAAAUAAAUUCUUGAUCUUAAUUUUAUGAAGCAUGUCGAUCUACAAAAUUAAAAGUGUAUAAAAGAACGUACAAACUCUCCCUUAUCAAAAGAAGUAACAAGGGAAAAAAUAGCAUAUUGCUUACUAGGUAAAGAGAACGCUUGACCCUUGAGUUUAUGUUUUAGCAGAAGUUUCCUAACAUUUUCAUUUGGUAAAGGUAUGUAUAUUCUCUUAACCUAGCACAGUAAAAAUAAAAACAGUUAGUAAAGCAGAAACAUGUGGUUCAAGUUCAUUAUAAUUUUAUGACUACUAUCCAUGAUAUAUAAUUAUGCAUAGAUUUCAAUGGGGAAAUGGCAUGACUCUUUACAAGAUAUGCUUCAAUUUGUUUUGCUGUUUUCUUUCUUAUUGGAGGAGUUACUACUUACAGGUUUCUCUAUGCAACAUAUCAGAAAAGUGUUAGAAAAAGUGAUUAUAAAAUGAAGAGUGUCGGCAACACACGCUCUAGCACACAUUUUUCUAAUAAAGUUAGAACAGACGAUCGUUUAGUUCCAAGUGAUAAAUUAUUCUCCACUUCACAUUGGCAACAAUAACAUAACGUUUUGGAAUUAUAUCAUAUUUUUAAUCCAGUUAAGGACAAUGAAGAAAUUCUCACCAGUCUCCUAAGAACUGCAUCAUCCAGCUCCUGUGGCUUAUUGGUCGCACCUGUAUUCAGAAAAGUCAAGUUAUUAUGUUUUCAUGAGUUUUUUCAAAUUCCAGCAUUCCCUAGAAGAUAAUUUUAACCAUAUAAUGUCAUUUGUCAAAGGGGAACAAAGAUGAGAAACUGCAACUAUGCUAAAAUAGAUAAACAAAAGCUCUUCUCAUGGUAGACAGGCUGCAAAUAUUACAAAGAAUCUAAACCAAAGCCCUAUUCAUGGUAGACCUGCUGUUCUGCCUAUUACCAGUAGAUUGGUUCAAAAGUCAGACCCAUGCUCGUUACAGAAAGAGAACGAUUAUUAUCAGAUGUAAUACUUACCAAUUACAAUCACAAUAUCAUCAGGAUUGGAUGUCACCCCAUCAAACUGGAUAAGAAAUUCAGAUUUUAAUCGUCUGCUGGCCUCAUUUUCAUUUGCCAUCCUUGUUGACAUUAUACUAUCAAUCUGUUAUCAGAUAAAAAAGAAAAACUAAUAUCAUUUGAAUGAAGUGGAUAAAAUUUAGACAUGAAGCAUGCAACCUUUUCUUUCUUCUCCGCAGGCAAAUUCGCCUAUUUUAACUAGUAUGACUCCAGGAAGAGAAAACUUAACUGUUAAACACAACAUAUAGAUGAGAGAGAUACCUCAUCAAUGAAAAUUACAGAUGGCUGUCUCGAUAUAGCUACCAUGAAUAGUGUCCGUACAAGCUUUUCACCUUCACCAACCUGUUGAGUAGUUAAUCAUGGUGAAACUUCUCAAGUCUUAACAAUUAACAUAAACACAUUAUAGCAUAAGAUAUGAAAUGAAACUCAACAAAUACAAGUUAGGGUAUGUAGAUAAAGAUGUACCCAUUUUGACGUCAAGGAAGCUGCUGUGACAUUAAAAAAUGUUGCUUCUGAUUCUGAAGCCACUGCUUUGGCAAGCAUGGUCUUGCCAUUACCAGGCGGACCAAAGAGAAGUAAACCUAGAACGAAAAGGUUCAACAGUUUCAACACUUGGCAUUUUUAUUCUAGAAUUGACAUCAUUAUCUAUUACAUAACCCAAAGUGAUGAGGUUCUAAUGCAAUACCUUUAGCUGGCCUUCGAAGACCAGUGAACAAGUCUCUUCUCUUAGUUGGCAAAAUAACCAUCUCCAUUAACGCUUGCUUUGCUUUUUCAAGACCACCUGCAUUUCGAUACUAAGAAUCAAACAAAUGGUAACCCAUAAAAGUAAAAAUAAAAUGUGCAUAGAUUCUUACCAACAUCGUCCCAUCUAACAGAAGGACUUCUAUCUACAAUGGCAGUGUUAAUCAUUUCAACCAAUUUUGUGUCGUAAUUUGCACCAGAUGUUUGAUUAGAUUUCGGGCUUUGAACUUUAUUCACCUCAUCUUUUUUUUUAGGAUACUUUUGUGUCACUUUUUUCGUAGUAUUUGAUAGUUUAGUUGGAAUUGCAGCAGUUUGUGCAAGGCUUGAGGUGCUCUGCAAACAUUUUUGGGGAAAGGGAAAGGAACAUUAAAGGUUCAUAUAUAAUCAUAAAAUCGGUACCAAUUCCCAAUGUUCAGUGAAUCAGACAGUUUAUAUAAGUACUAUGCUAAGAACACCGUACAUUUUAAGAAGCACCGACUGCAUUGAUGCAAAAAUGAGCUAAAGAAAAAACUCUGUACUUCAAGUUUAGAGAGAUCAUAGCAUACCUGAUUGGCAACUGCACUACCUGGAAUGGUAAAAUAGGAAUAGGAACAAGUGGAGGACGAAAAAGACAAUAAGAACUCUUGGAAAAGUCAUAAUGGAAAGGGAAAAAGAGAUGGUUGCUUAAAGAGAUGCAAACCUGCUCGUCUAUUGAGAGUCUGCAAUCUUUCAGAAACUUGUCCCUGCCAUUUUGAUAUCUUUUGACGAUAUGAUUUUACCUUCUGUUGUUCACUGUCAUAGAAUCAUAGAUCCAAGUCAGAAAAAACAACAUCAAAAACAUAAGAUCAUAUGAAGCACAGACACAAACACAGAUUGACACUAGUGAUAAUUUUUAAAAAGUGGAAUUGAUUGAAUGUAAACCAUAUGCGUCGGUGUCGUGUUGGUUGCCAAAUCAUGCCUUCAAUCUAAUAUAUGUCUAUGCUACAUUUAUAAAGUAUGUUAGCUUCUAGCUUUUUUUCCAGGCAAACGUUAGUAUGUUAGUUAAAUUAGUAUCCUUCUUUUUUGAACCCUGGUCCUUUCACUCCUUCAAACCUUAGCCCAAACCAGUUGAGCUACUCAACCCCCACUACCUACUAGCUUAUCAGAGAUUUUCAAUUAAAAAAAUAUAUGGUUCUCACUUACAACACAAGUCCUUAUAAACUCACAGGUGUUUACGGAGAAAUGAGAAAGCUACUAUUUCCAAUUUUCCAUAAAUGCUUGUUAAGAAGUUAUUUAAACUAGCUAUAAAUCUUCAAUUAAAACAAAGAUUAAGUUAUAAUAAUGUUUCUUUGUGCUUCAAUAAUUAAUAACAGUUGUUUAUUCUGUCCGAAAAAAAAAACUCAGCUAGCACUAAACUAAGAAUUACCCAUUAAAAUAUUUUGCCAUUCAAUCUUAACAUUCCCCGUUAAUCCUAACAAGAUUCAUAAUAUUUUGUCACCUCCAAACCAACUAACGAAAAGCCACAAAUAAUCGAAAAAUCCCAAAAAAAAACAAUUCAUGAUAAAUUUUUAUCGACCAAAAUUAAAAAGCCAACAUUAACAGCAAAAAUAAAGAAGUUGAGGAACGAACGUGGAAGUGAUGAAGGAAGGAACAGGAGUUGAAUUAGCUUCGAGAAGGAUCCUAUGAGCAUUCCUGUAGUGAAGAAUAGCGUCAUCGAUCAAACCCCACUCUUCAGCCCUAACAGCCUUAUCGAUCUCUUGUGUGGCCAAAUCGAAGUAUCCUUUGAGCUUGUAAGCAACGCGUUCGUUCGAAACAGAAGAAGAAGAAGAAGAAGAAGAAGAAGAAGAAGAAGCAGGAGAAACUUCCAUUGGUGAAUUGGUUUGAGAAGAAGAAGAUUCGUUAUGCGGAGAGAAAACAGAGUUAAAGGAAUCGAUUAUUCCCUGCAAGAAACUCAUUCCUCACAACAACUAACGCGAUUUUCAUCGUCACUUUGUUAUAUGCAACGCUGCAAAAGGCAAUUUUCGACUUGCUUAUUUUUAAAAUUAAUAAAUAAGGAAGUUAAUUUAUUUCAUAACAAUUUUCUACAUAAAAAUCUUUACCUAUACAUUUAAUAUGUUCAACAUUAUUAAUAAAAGUUAUUUUUUAGCAUAGUUAAAUUAUACUUCAAUUAAUAAAUGAUGAUAUAGAUAUAUUAGACAUUUUGUUUUGAGCUUCCGAUGGUAUUUACUAAUUUUUUUAUAUAAAAAAAUAAUAUUAUUUCACUAUCUUUUAAUCACUGUCACUAUUUUUUCUUAUAAACAAUAUUAUUUAACUGUUUACACAAUAAAUAUGAUAAGUGAUAUAUUUUAAAAAUCGUUAAAUAUAUUUUCAUAAAAAUGCGGUCUUAUCACAAGAAAAAUAGAGAUUACAAGAAAAUUAACCUAGGAGUAAAAACAUAGAGAAAUCUAAAUAUUUUGAUGAGUAGAGAUAAAAUUAUAUAUAAUAAAUAUUUAUAUAUAAAAAUAAGUCAAUUCAUAAACGAUAAAAUAAUAUUAUUAUUAUUAUUAUUAUGCAAAAUAAUAUAUAAAAAUUAUUUUAUAAUAUAUCCAAAAAAUUGAACACACUUUAACAUUUAAAGAUUAAUAUAUUUUUGAAAUAUUGUAAGAUUUUUUCAUUUAUCAACAUUAUAAAAAAUAUACCUCAUCAUGUUUAUGACUAAACAAUCAUUUAAAAAUUCAUUUUAAUACAACUUUAUAUUUUAUUCUUCGCAUAAUUUAUACAUAAGAUAAAACUUUCUUCAAAGAUUCUAUAUCAAGCAACAUAAAAUACAAUAUAGUGUGUCCUUAAGUCAUUGUUCAAUUGACAAAAUAUCGAUAUUGUUAGGUUGAACGUUUGAUUUCAAACUAAAAAUUCACAAUUAUGUGAGUUAAUUAUGACCAAAUUUAUAAUUUCUUUUUUUUUUUAAUAAAAAAAAAUACAAUACAUUCUCCUAGUGAAGAAUAUAAUCUGAUAAUAACAAAUGAGAUUAAGUAAAGAUUGAAAGGUGGAUGAUCAACUAUCUUUGAUUAAGCUCCUAUCACAAAAGCUACCACAAGAUCCUAACAAUCCAAUAUGCUUCAGGAUAAUCCAAAUCGGGCCACAAGCUACAUUGGGUCAAGAUAGAAGCCCAAAACUAAAUACUAACUCCCAAAAUAUUGUCCAAGUUUAGUCUUACACGAAAUUUGAUUUCAAAAUUCACGAAAUAAAAGAUUAGUCUCUAAAAUUUAUUAUCUUCAAUCAAUCAAGUUCAUCUGGAAAUCAAUUUAAAUAAAUAUAUAGUUUAAUGGAAAAACUAAUAAUUUUUUAGAAAAAGGCUCCAAUGGAGUAUAUCUUAAACAAGAGCACUAAACAAAUUUGUAAAACAUGCUCCAAACCAGUAUACCUUCAAUUUCGAUUAUUAAUCCAUUAUUUUAUUUAUUUGAUAUAUUUAAUUAUUUGAUUUCUUUUUCUUUGACAGCAUAAUGAUCUGAUUUCUAUAAUUUUGAUUAAUCCACGAUUAACUAGUAAAAAAAAGUAACCAUUAAUUGUGAAAUACUAGAAUAUACAUUAUUAUCCUUUUUUCUUUGAAGUCCUAAUCUUGAGUUUUUUUUAUAUCUAGGCUUGGAGGUGUUCCAUUACGUCCACAUAUCAUCUACACAAAGUUCAAGAGAGACUAAGAGGGGAAACAAAUUUAAAGAGUGCGAAAGAGAUAGAGAAUAUUAUUGAAUAUAGAGGGCUCUAUAAAUAAAAUGACUCAGAAAAUCUAAAUCCAUUUAUACAUUAUAAUAAAACAAGCUUUAUUUUAUGGCAAUUGUGACAUUUGUAACUUGAGUACUUAUCUAUUGUAAUAUUUCUAUUAAUAGUAAUAAAUAUGUAAUUAGUUGUUUAAAUUAUUAUUAUUUGUUUAUUUAAAUUUUAGUCAUUUUUUUAUCUACUAAAUUUAAGAAUAGCAUUGGUUUUCUUCCCCUUCACUUGCCUUGGAAACUUGCACAUUUUUACUGUAAUAAUGCACCUCAUUUUUUUACUAAUAGUACACCUCAUAUUAUUACAUGUUCUCAUAUUAUCAGUAAAAAUAAUUAAUCUAUACAAUAUAAUUUUUCAAAAAAUUUUCUAUGGCAAGGUUGUUAUUUUUCAUCUAAUAGAAGAUUUUGUUUAAUAUUAAUCUUCCACAAUUUGUACCCUAUAGAAUAAAAUACAAAUAAAAGUGGUAGUUUAAAUGUUGAUGUAUCUGAUUAAAAAUUUAGUUUAAAUACGUCUAUUUUUCGACUACUAUUUUUAUUUAUAUAGUUAUAUUUGGAGGGAGUAGUAAUUGACAACAAAUUAUGCAUUAAAAAUUUAAUAUAUAUUUUAAUUUUCUAGGAUAGUGUUCCCGAAGGUUAUGGAGUAAAUUUUGAGAAUCAUAAUAUCAAGAUUGAUAAAGAUUUAAAGAUUAUUGCGUUGUUGUUUGAGUUUGUUAUAUUAUUUCAAAUAUUUUGUUUGUUGUUUAUGAUGGUUCGGAUUGAAAAAAAUAUAUGAUGUUUUAUGUUAUUUGAUUUCUUUUUUCUUUCGUCUUCUUUUUAUGUUGUUAGUUCUUGAGUUUCCAAAUUCAAUUUACGUAAGAAAAACAAUAACAAAAAUGGGAAUUGUGUUUAGGGGUGUGGUGGCAGCAAAUUAAAUUACCAUGUUAUUUAAAUCCAUGUUGAGUAGUAGGUCCGUCAUAUGACACAGUAGUGAAGGAAAUUAGCAAAGUUUGAUGUUUUUUUUGGGUUUGGAAGCAUGUAUUCCAAUACAAGUGUCAAAAAGUAAUUCUGCAUAAUUAUGCGGUUCAAUUGAUAUAGUAGUUCUUUUUGUUCUGGUUAGAGUAAUUUUCAGGGAAGUUUUUUGCAACUGCAAACAAAAAUUGGAAGCUAAAUCUAAGAAUAAAUUAACUUAAAUAAUUUAUGGAAAUAAAAUAACAUACAAAUAUGUAUUUCAAUUGAAAAUUUUAGGCGAUGAACAUUCAAGAUAUAAAGAAUGAUAUAACAUCAUUUGGUGUGUUGGUAUUUAUGAAAACAGCUAUAACAAUAUAUAAUCUAGUUAUAUGACUUAAUUAAGUCUAUUUCCUUGGUUACUUCAAAAGACAUAGAAGAAAAUGAAUUGUCUUUUAUGUAGUUAAAUUCAUUAAAAUAGAUAACAACAAUAUAGAUGUUCAAAAUUUAAUGAUUUAAUGAUAAUUUUUAUGUUUCAUUUUUAAUAGUUAUCAAUUGUAUUGUAGUCUUUUUAUUUAUAUAUCAAUUUGCACUAAAACUCGUGAAUUACUGUAAUAAAUUAGUGUUUGGUUUGCAAGUCUACUGAUUUUCUUGAUUAUUGGUAAUAUGCCUUUUGUUCAUAUAUGUUUGAAAAAAAGGCAGUCCAUUGCAAUGUUAUUAUUUUUGAAUUUGGCCAAUUCCUUAUUGUUUAUAUAUUGAAUUGCAGUUUUAUUAUUUUUGAAUAUUGGUCAAUUCCUUGCUGCUUAUAUAUUGAGUAGCAUAGUAAUUUUCUUGAAAAUUUCACAAAUAUCUUGAAUAUGGUUGAAUAAAGGUAUUGCCUUGCAGUCUUAUUGUUUUUGAAAUUUGGUCAACUCCUUGUUGUUUAUAUACUGAAUUGCAGUCUUAUUGUUUUUGAAUUUGGUUAGUUUCUUGCCACUUAUAUAUUGAGUAGAUUUGAAUUUGGCUAAUUUCUUGCUGCUUAUAUAUUGAGUAGAAGACUAAGUCUGAAGAAACAUAGUAAUUUGCUUGAAAAUUUCAGAAAUCUCUUUAAUUUUGAUACUAAUCUUAACUAAAGGGGAAUUGAUAGUCUGUAAUAUUUGUCUUUCAAUAUUUAAAAAUUCAAUAAAACAAUAACUAAAUAUAUGCAGUUGAAAACUUAGCGUUUAGUUUAUCAGUGACAACAAACAAAAUGAUAACGCUUGUUAACAUUGUAGAACCAAUGAAUAUAACAAUAUACACACAAACAAAAUUAUAAUACCUCCUUCUCUGGUUUUGUUUUUUCACAACUCAUUGAAAUCCCUAACAUUCCAUCUUCAUUGUUUCAUAGGUAACAACUUCCAAAUUUCCAACUUCUUAUUGUUUAAUCCUUCUUGUCUAAGUGAAACAAAUAAGAAAUGAAUGACUAUCUAUCAAACUUGAAUAGUUUUGACAAUUUAAUGGUGAAUUGAAGUAAAUUAGAUGUUUGAAUAAGUGGUUUGGUUUAUUGGAAUUAGUGGUAAUUAAUGAAUGAAUUGAAGUGUAUUAGUGUUUGGUUUGCAAGUCUGAUUUCUUGAUUUUUUUAAUUCCUGGUAAUCUGCCUUUGCUCAUAUCUAUUUGAAAAAAAUAUUCUACUAAGUGUUAUUGUUGUUGAAUUUGGCCAAUUCCUUGCUCCUUAUAUAUUGAAUUGCAGUUUUAUUAUUUUUAAAUUUGGUCAAUUCCUUGCCGCUUAUAUAUUAAGUAGCAUAGUAAUUUGCUUGAAAAUUUCACAAAUCUCUUGAAUCUUUUAAAGUUUGAUACUGGUCUUAUGGUAAAAGGAGUGAAUAGUAUGCAAUAGUUAUAUUUCAACCUUUGAAACUGCAAUAAAAAAAACAAAAAAAAACAUACGUAGUUGAAAACUUAGAGUUUGGUUUAUCGGUGGCAAUAGACAAAAUGCUAACUCUUGUUAAUAUUGUAGAACUAAGAAACAUAACAAUAUAUACACAAACAAAAUUAUAUAUAAAAUUUGUUUUAAAUAUAAUGUAUAUAAAUAUCAAGUAUACUAAGUGCCAAUCACUCAAAUACUUUGAGUAACCUCUGUAAAUCUUUGAAAUUUCAACUAAAUACUUUAACAGUAAUAUUAGUUCAAUUAAAAGAACAUAUUUGUGUCAAUGUAAAUGUUAAAUGUUUUAAUUAUGUAUUUCAUCCCUCAAAUCUUCUUAAAACUUUCUUAGUAAGGUUAUUGUUAUUAUUUUCAAAAUAGAACCAAAGCAAGGUAAUUAGUAAGGUGAAAUUCCAUAGCCAAAACAAGAUACUCUUUUUGUAAACAUAAUUAGUAAGAUAAAAUGUAGUUAUUUUCAAAGCAAAUUCUUCACAUCGAAGUAAAUCACAUAAUUUUGUUCAAAUUAUUUAAUGAUGUUAGAACCUCGUCAUGUAUAGAAAUAAAAAUUUCAAUAUUUUCAACGUAAAUAAUAUUAAAAUACAAAUUUAAAUAAAUAAGUAUUUGAUAAGGUAUAUCGUUCUCAAUUAGUUCAUCCAUUUUACAACAAGUAAUAUUACAUUUAAAUAGAUGCUAGAUCGUGUUGGAUUUAAGAACUUCAUUUAUCAUAUAAAGUUUAUGUGCAUAUUGAUGUAUAUUCUAAUAACUCAACUAAUCAUACACAAAAAAAUAUUUAUUUUGAACACAUACAUGAUAAUUUUGCACAUUAAAACAUGUCAAUUAAAUAAGAUAAGUGUAGAUUGAUGAUUUUAAAAAAUAAAAGAAAAGAAAAGAAAAUCAUGAUAUUGGGUACUGUAACUUCCUAGAGAGUAAUAUAAGGGUAAUUGAGAUUUAACACCAAUGAAAAAUGGGCUACUGUUUUUUGUUUCAUUGGAGUUUUAUUUAUUUAUUUAUUUGUUGUGUUGCUAUUUCAAAAUGGAUAGAGCUAUUUUGCUAUUUUCUUUUGCAGGUGAAAUGUGACUCUCAUCUUAUUCACGAUCUACUGUUUUUUAUUUUUUGUAAGGUUGAAGAGUUAGGUAGAGACCCCACAUUGGAUGAGGUCUUUUUAAAAAUUCACACUAAGAAGAAGGACAACUCUUGAGUUGAUGAAAGAGCAAAAAAAAUAUGUAAGUCAUAUUAAAUCAUUCAUUCUUUCAUUUGUAUUUAUUGUAAAAGUAAUUUGAUUAUGUUACAUAUUUUCUAUUUGAGCAGCAAACAUUUUAAGGUAAGUUGCAGCAUGCCUUCAAAGGCGGGGAAACAUCUAGUAGUUGUAGCCAAGUAUGUUGUUGGAGAUAGAUCAUCGCUUUAUAGAUAAAGUGUCGUAAGUCUAGUCACAUAUUCUCUUUCAUCUAGAGGUUGCACCAAUGUCUUGUCUCAACACUCUAAUGGGAUAGCUGCACAAAUAGUAGCAUUUGGGGAGUAAGCAAAAAUGGUAGAACACGAGGCACGAAAGGCGCGGAGGAGCUAGAGAAAGUUGAGCAAUGUCGACAAAAGGAAGCUAGGGAAAGUUGAGCAAUGUCGACAAGAGGAAGUUCAACAAACAGAGCAACACACUACAGAGCUCCAGAUGUAGCUAAUAACAUUGAAAAAAAGUGUUGCUUCCAUACAUGCUAAGUCCUCAUGUCGUCGUCGUCAUCCAAAUUAUGACGAAGAUGAGUCUAAUGACGACGACGACAAUGAGUAAUACUGAUUUUAGUGUCAAUUUUAUUUAGUAGUUAUGGCUGCAUAUUUUGCUUAGACCUAUAUAUAUAUAUAUAUAUAUAUAUAUAUAUAUAUAUAUAUAUAUAUAUAUAUAUAUAUAUAUAUAUAUAUUACUACGAUAAUGUCAUUACGUGUAUUUUAAAACUUAUGGCAGCGACAAUGUGCUUAUUUUGAUAAUUAUGGUAGUAUAAAUUGUAUUUAUUUUGAGACUUAUGGUAGUCACAAUGUAUAUUUUGAAAACAAUAUUUACACAAAAUUUCAGUUUGUUUUGACAAUAAUGUUUUAAUAUGCUUACAAUUUAUUUUAAAAAUAUAUUAAAAAAUACAUAAAACAGUAAAAAAAAAAAAAAUUUCAAUUACUCACGAAAAUUUCAUGAGUAGACGAUAAUUUAAGUAAACGAACAUGCCAUUGAUAAAAUAAAUAGAAAAGUAAAAUUGUUCACGAAUUGUCCGUGAUUAAUGUUUACGUAUCUAUGUUUUUAUCCGCUGAAUGUCUAUGAGUAAUUUUAACUAUAGAGACUCAGCGGGUCAUACUACCCAUGGAUAUGCCUUAAGUAAGUGUAUUCCACAUCUUAUUUGUCGAUAAAUAUUUUUCUACGAACAAAUUAUUUAGAAUCCGUAGCCAUGGGUAAUCCAUGAAUAAGUUUAGGUAUAUACUUAUUAAAUUUCUUAUAGAUGUGAUUAUAAAUAUGAAUAUAAAAAGAAUCAUAUUGAGAGUGUGUAUAUACUAAUUAGAUUUCUCAAGCUCAACCACUUGAGCUAUGUUAGUAAGUUGAUUCAGUUUGGAUUUUCAAAUACUCGUAUGAAUGUGAAUUAAUUAAAUUUUGUUGGUUCAAAUAUAAAUAUCAACUUACUCAAUCCAUAGUCACCUCUGAAUUUAUUAGACUAAAAUCCAUUUUGUUUCUUUGGUAGAAAACACUUAGGGACAUUAUUAUAAUUAAACAUUCAAUAACUUCUAAAAUUCAAAUUUACCCUAUUUCAGUAUUUCUAUUUGUAUUUACUUUCCUAAUCUGAUUUUACGUAAUUCCUCUUUCUGCAUCUAACAAAAAAAGAAAUUCCAUCACAAAUUAAACGUUCUCACCAAAAUAACUACAAAGAAGAUUAUGCCCGAAAUAACUAUAUAGAUCAAAGUUGCUCAAGAUAUAUAUGAACAUAUACCACAGGAUUUUUGUUCGUGGCAUUUCCAAUUUUAUGACCAUAUUAAAAUAUCCAAUAUCCCUAUAUGUGGAUUAUUAUAAUUUUUGCUUGUUGGUGAUGACUUGUGUUAGAGAAAUUCUUCUUUUGCCAUAUGCUGAGGGAGGAAUUUCGUAUUGGAGCGAAAGAACAAUAUUACAAAAGUAAAAGAGCAUCUCCAACGGUAGCUAAAAUGAGUUCGUUCGUCAGAUGUAAUUACGUAACCGUCAGUUUUUGGUGAGUUUACUGUUGGAGAUGUGUCAAGUUGUCGUCACCGUUCUCUCACGAAGGAACGGUUGAUAUGAUUACUUUUUUUUUGUAUUAAUUUAUAAAUAAUAAUAAAUAAAUGAUUUGUUAGUGGUGGACUAUUUUUAAUGAACAUGUGAGUUCACCGUUGGAGUAAAAAAUAAAUAGGUUAUUUCAAUAUGACGUGGCAUGGUGGACCCCAUUCAAUGAACCUAUAUUAAGUUAACUGUUGGAGAUGCUCUAAGGAAUUUCUCCUUAAAAUACGUAUACAAAGUUCCUCAAAAAAAUAUAUAAGAGAAAAUAGGGAACAAUAAGAAAAUAAAUAAAUUUAAAAUACUUAAUAGGGAACCAUAAGAAAAUAAAUAAAUUUAAAAUACUUAAUAUCCCUAAAUUUAAGUGGUUUUAUGAAACUUAUUUAUAUAUAUAAAAAAGAACACACGAAUACGUUCCAAUGAAAAUGGACUAAGUGUAGUGACAGUAGCAUAUUUUGAAUCCGUUUUUUCAAUUCAAAAUAUACAUAAGCCGUCCAGUUAAGAUUGAGAUUGCUUGAAUGUUGAAUGCAAGUUAAUUUGGGUGCCAAUACAGUCACUUCAAGCAUUUUUUUAUUUACUUUUAAUAUGAUAAGUGAUUAAUUUAAGAUGCAACAUAAUUAAAAUGUAAAGUUAAUCAUGAAAUGUAAUGCUUAAAAUAAUGUUGAAUGCAAGAUAAUUAUCACCGCACGAAGUCCAAAUCCUAACAAGUAUUGCAAUACUUAUUCACCUCACAUAGAUUUUUUUAAACAAAAAAUUAAAAUGUAAAAAUAUCACAUAAAAGAAUUAGACAUCUCAUCUAUAUUGAUAUUCCUAAAACUCCCACGAUAUCACCUAUUCACCUCACGUAUAAAUUUUUUCUUUUUACAAAUACAAUAUUAAUUAUUAUUAUUAUUUUAAAAAUGGAGAUCAAAUCUUCUAUCUUUUUAUCAUUUCACUUCCUUUGUCCUCUAUACCUCAAUUACCGAACCAAUCUAUAUCCCCUACCUCACUUACAGACUUAGGCAAAAUUCAUUAUCAUGUAAAUAUAUAAUAUAUAUCGCAAAGGAUGAAAUUAUCAAUUUAAUUUUUAAAUUAUCAAUCUUUUUUAAAUUUGAUCUCAAAAUUAUAGAAAUAUAAUAAAUAGUCUUUAAAUUAUUUUAGAGUUAUCAAGUUAAUUCAUCAACUACAUUCUCUCCUAAUUUUAAAGUAAUUGAUACACUAAAUUGAUGGAUUAAUAAUAAUUUAAAGAUUACUCAUUAUAUUUCUAUAAUUCAGAGACUAAAUUAGAGAUAAUGAUAGUUUAAAAACUAAAUUAAUGUUUUAAUUUUUAUUUUAACUCUCCAAUUUUUAAGUAUACAAAACUCCAAAAAUGUAGAGUUUGAUGGGGAGGUAAAUAAAAUUUAACCAUAAAUUAUUUCAGAUAUAAUUCUAACUUGGGUUCACCCACUAUAUAUAUCUGCAUAUCACAGAAAGAAAAUUAAGGUAGAAGAGCCACAACAUGGACUACCAACAACUUUUGAUACUAAUUUCCUUUAUUGUCUUCUUCAUACUUAGAAAAUUAAACCAACCCCAAAAUUCUAAAAAACUUCCUCCAGGACCAAACCCACUUCCCAUAAUUGGAAACAUCUUAGAAUUUGGCAAAACCCCACACAAGACACUCACAAAACUCUCAAAAAUCUAUGGACCAAUCAUGACACUAAAACUAGGAAGAAUAACAACCAUAGUAAUUUCAUCACCACAACUAGCCAAACAAGUGUUACAUGAAAAUGCCCAAAUCUUCUCUAAUAGAACUGUUCCACAUGCAGCAUGUGCACUUGAUCAUCAAAAUUUCUCAGUUGGGUGGCUUCCAACAUCACCCUUGUGGAAAAAACUAAGAAAAUUUUGUGUGACAAACUUAUUUUCUCCAAAAAUGCUUGACUCAACAAAAAUAAUUCGCCAAAAAAAGUUGCAAGAUUUAUUGGAUUAUGUGAAGGAAAAAAGCAACAAAGGUGAGGUUUUUAAUUUUGGUGAAGCUGUUUUUGUAACCGUCCUUAAUACAAUUUCAAACAUUUUGUUCUCUAUGGAUAUGGCUCAUUAUGAAAAGUAUCAUGAGUUUGAGAACAUUAUUAGGGGUCUCUCAAAUGUUAUUGGGCAGCCUAAUAUUGCUGAUUUCUUUCCAAUUCUUCGUCCCUUGGAUCCACAACGUUUGCAUGCUGGAACAGUCAAUUACUGGGGGAAGUUGUGUAAGAUUAUUGAGGGAAUUGUUGAAGAAAGAGUUUCCAAAAAUGAUUCUAAAGUUUGCAAUGAUGUGUUAGAUUCACUUCUUAACAAUAUUGGAGAACCUAGUUUUGAUCAGUUCAGCCACGAGGAGAUAUUACAUCUGCUUCCGGUCAGUGUCGUUCAUUAGUUUUCCUAUUCUUCUACCUUUUCAAAAUCUUUCCUAUAUAAAAAAAUCUUAUGUUAUUUUAGUAUCAUUAACAUCAUGAUUUUUCUUUUUAAGCCUUAUUUUAAGAAUGACAAUGAAUGUCGAUUAAGUUAUUAAUAUAAAUGGUAUAUUUAAUAUUGAGUUUGAAAAUGAUUUUAUAUUAGGAUUUAUUUGUUGCUGCGAUUGACUCAACAUCAAACACAAUUGAAUGGAUUAUGGCAGAGCUACUAAAUAACCCUGACAAAUUGACAAAAGUAAGAAAAGAGUUGUUUGAAACAAUUGGCAAAAAUGAAACAAUUGAAGAAUCAGAUAUUACCAAAUUACCUUUCUUACAAGCAGUGGUGAAGGAAACAUUCCGAUUGCACCCACCAGCUCCAUUAUUUCUACCCCAUAAAUGUGAUGAAUUUGUGAACAUAUUUGGCUUCAAUGUGCCUAAAAAUGCACAAGUACUAGUCAAUGUGUGGGCCAUAGGAAGAGAUCCAACCAUUUGGAAAAAUCCAAAUAUGUUCAUGCCUGAAAGAUUUUUGGAGUGUGAUAUUAACUAUAAGGGCAAUAAUUUUGAGCUUAUACCCUUUGGGGCAGGCAAAAGAAUUUGUCCAGGAUUGCCAUUAGCUCAUAGGAGUGUGCAUUUAAUUGUGGCUUCCAUUCUAUACAAUUUUGAAUUGAAGCUUGCUGAUGGACUAAUGCCUGAACAUAUGAAUAUGGAGGAGCGAUCUGGAUUAACCUUAAAGAGGCUCCAACCUCUUCGAGUUCAAGCUACUUCAAUCAAGCAUGGUUAAUUAUUAUAUACAAAAAUAAUACUUCUCAUGCUAUAUGUGUGUAUAUUUCAGUUAUUAUAUAUUUAUUAUUUUUAUUAUUGUAUAUAGAUGAAUGUAUUUUGUUCCAUUAAAAUAUAUAUGUCAUUGUAGUCUCUUAGUAGUACAGAUUAUUAAGAAAUGAUGAAAUAAAAAGAAGAAUGUGAGUAAUUGUGUUUGCUACAAUUUAGUAUUAGUAAUAUUAGAAUCACAAAUCUUUGAGUCUUACGAGAUAUUUUAUAGUUUUUAGCGGUACUUUUAUCAUAAUUUUUAAAAAUUGAGAAGAUAAAAGUAGAUGGGUAAAAUUAGAGAAAUUAUGUCUUUUAGUCCUAGCAACGGACAAAUACCAAUAUUAAGUUGAAUGAUUUAUUCUGAGUUCGAACCCCGGAAUCUCGCAGUUGAUGUAGCACUUUCUAUAUUGGAGUCCUGUUACUCUUAGUCUCAUUUUUCUGUUGAGCACCCUAUCAUAUUUCUAUCCUACUGUUAUUCUAUCACUAAUUACUCUUAUUCUCAUUUUUCUGUUCAGCACCCUAUCCUAUUCCUAUUCUACAUUUAUUCUAUCUCUAAUUCUCUAUGUCAUUCUAUCUCUAAUUCUCUAUGUCUAGCUCAUUAAAACUACAUGUUGUAUUCUUCGACUUCCAACCCUCCCUCACUCCCUGCUCUAUUGCUACUCAUUCUUAGCGUUAAGAUUGUUCAGUAACACCACUCACCUAUCGAUUAUAUAUCAUUAUUAUUACACCAACUUUUGAGCUUCGGACUCUCUCACAAUUUAAUUGAAUCAUCCAUCUCUCUUUUUGGUUUCUGAACUUAAGUUUCGAUGAAAUGGUUAUUUUGUAAUGCAAUAUUAUGUAAUGAUGCUCUGAUUGUUACCUAAAUUUUGUUUAUUUUAGAACCUAAGUUCUCCAUAUUUUGUUUUGGUUGUAAUGUAAAAUUCUGGUUGCAGUUAAUUUAGUAUAUUAUCUUGAAUGAGCAAAUUUUGUUUGAGCAUUAAUAUUAGACAACUACAUUAAAUCUUGAAUGAUACCAAACUAGUUGAAAAUUGUUUGAGCAAAUUACAUUAAUAUAAUGAUACCAAACUGAAUUAUUAACAUGCAAAAAUAGACAACUCCAUUACAAUAAUACCAAUUUCAUUUCACAAUAACAACCUUAUUCAUUCAAAUUUGAUUAUAUUACACAAUGACAUUACAAUUUAAACCCUAAACACUUAACCUUAUUCAUUCAAAUUUGAUUAUAUUACAACUUCAAUUCAUCAUCAUAAUUUUUUGUCACAUUAUCUUUCUUCUUGAAUUCAUCAAAGACAUAAUAACUUCUUUUGUUCGUUUUGUCAUUGGUUCAUCAAACCAAUAAAAAAAUUGCAAGAUUUUUUACUCUGUAACUAAAACAACAUAACAAAAAAAAAAGAUUGAAUAUUCUUUCAAUGAAUUUUCAUAAUCUCAAAACAAUACAACAAAAAAUAAAAUCCAGAAUUUUGAAAUAUAGUUACCUUAUAAAAUCUACAACCAUAAAACAUUCGACAUGGAUUUUCAGUCGUCCAAGAAGUACACAAAGGAGAUUCAAGUCCACACAAACAUUCUCUCCUUCUAAUUCUCAAAUGAGAAUUAUUGCUUGUAACUGAAUACGAACGGGAAGACAUUUCCCCCCCUCCCCAAAAAAAACACAAGGAACAAAAGAAGAAGAAACAAACCAGAUGAAGAAGAAGAAACAAGAGAAGAACAAAGGAAGAGAAUAAGAAGAAGAAGAAGACAAUUGAAGAAUACAGAUGAAUAAAAAGAAGAAGAAGAAACAAAGAUGAAUAAGAAGAAGAAGAAACAAAGAUGAAGAAGAAGAAGAACACGAAUGAAGGCUUAGUCGAUUUUAGAGUUCAUGCCUCUUACUGUGCGCGUCUGAUUUGCGUUGAUUUGAGUCUGAUUUUUUUUUAAUUGUUUGGCUUAUUAAAUGUUGUUUUAAAAAUAUGAAUUUUGUUUUUAAAAACAUAAAUUGUAUUUUAUUAAUUUAGAAUAAUAUAAUAAUUCAUUUAAUCCACAAAGACGUCUGCCACAUCACCAUGUUUUUGACACAUCAUUAAAAAAGACAACUCAUCAAGAUUUGGAUCCACAUUCUGUUUGGAGGACCAAAACUGGGGACAAAUAAAAUGGGGGGGACUAUUUUCGCGAUUCACCUAAAAUAGGGGAUCAAAAGUGUAAUUAAGCCUAAAAAUUAUUGUCAAUGAAAAUUUGUCUUGACAAUGGUAUCUCAUUGUCAUAUGUGUCAACUUGUCAAAUAUAUGAUAAUAAUUUUUAUCAGCGACAACUUGUCUCAUAUUUUUUUUAUAAGUACUUGUCUCGUAUAUAAUAAUUAUGUUGAAAUUUUACCAAUGAAACUUAUCUGGUGUAUGAUAUUUCAAUUUUGUAAGUGAAUAUUUGUCCCGUGUAUGAGUUAUUUUGAAUUUUUUAUCGGUAAGAAUUUGUCUCGUGUAUAAAAUUUAAAUCAUAUCACUUACAACUUGUCUAUGUAAGUUAAUUAUUUUAAUUUUUUAUCGAUAAGAACUUGUCACGUGUAUGAUAGUUCAAUUUUAUCAGCGACAACUUAUUUUGUAAAUGAUAAAUCAAAUUUUUUACCGUGUAUGAUAGUUCAAUAAAAAGUUUCCAUGUGAAUGAUUAACUCAUCACUUACAACUUAUCUCGUGAAAGAUGAUUAUUUUGAAUUUUUUACCAAUGAUAAUUUGUCUCAUCUAUGAUAGUUCAAUUUUAUCAAUAACAACUUAUUGUGGAUGAUAAAUCAAAAGUUGUCUCGUGUAUGACAGUUAUUUUAAAUUUUUUAUCAGUGAAAAUUUGUUUUGUGUAUGAAAAUUAAAUCAUAUCACUUACAUCUUGUUUUGUGUAAGAUAACUAUUAUAAAUUUUUGUAUCGAUGACAACUUGUUUUGGGUAUGAUAAUUCAAUUUUAUCAGUGACACCUUAUUUUGUAGAUGAUAAAUCAAAACUUUUACCCUGUAUGAUUGUUCAAUCAAAAGUUGUCACGUGAAUGAUAAAUCUCAUCACUUGCAACUUGUCUCAUGUAAGAUGAUUAUUUUGAAUUUUUAUCAAUGAUAAUUUGUCUCGUGUAUGAUAGUUCAAUUUUAUCGAUAUCAUCUUAUUUUGUAUAGGAUAAAUAAAAAAUUGUCCCGUAUAUGAUAGUUAUUUUGAAUUUUUAUCAGUAAGAAUUUGUCUCGUAUAUGAUAGCUAAAUCAUUUCACUUACAAUUUGUCUCAUAUAAGUUAAGUGUUCUGAAUUUUUUAUCGACGAAAACUUGUGUUGUAUAUGAUAGUCCAAUUUUAUCCAUAACAACUUAUUUUAUAAAUGAUAAAUCAAAAGUUGUCCCGUGUAUAUGAUAAAUCUAUCAAAAGUUGUCCUAUGAGCGAAAAAUCUAAUCACUUACAACUUGUCUUGUGUAAGGUAAUAAUUAGUUUGAGUUAUUUAUCAAUGAUAAUUUAUCUCGUUUAUGACAGUUCAAUUUUAUUAAUAACAACUUAUUUUGUAGAUGAUAGAUAAAAAUUAUAAUAUGAAUGAUAGUUCAAUUAAAAGUUAUCUCGUGAAUGAUAAAUUGUAUCACUUAUAACUUGUCUCGUGUAAGAUAAUUAUUUUGAACUUUUUAUCAAUUAAAAUUUGUUUCUUAUCCCAUGAAUUAUAUAUUUCAUCACUUAUAUCAAAUAAUUCUUUAAUUAAUUAAAUUAUAAAUUAUAAAUAUACAUUCUUAAUUUUUAAAAAUAACCAUUUUAAUUAAAGAAACAUAUUUUAAAAAGUCGGAUUCAAUCAUUAAUGGAGAGUAAAGUUAAUGGGAUACAACUAACCUUUCACCACUAACCACACACGUCAUUUAUUUUUAUUAGUAUUAUUAUUAAUAUAUUUUUUUUUUACAGUUUAUUAUUAUUUUGAUCUGUGUAAUUUAGAGAAAAUAUAAUUUUAGUUUCUUUAAAAUAUGUAACUUAGUAUUCUUUCUUUUUUAGUUCUUUAAUGAAUUUUGACAUUUUUAAAAGUUGACGUGGCAUUGACACAUGAAAAUUUUGUGGUGAAGUGGAAUAAUAAAAAAUAAUUAUGAAAAAGAAAUAAUAUUUUUUUUUACCAUUUACUUAUAUUUUUUAUAAAUAUAAAAACAAUUUUGUAAAUAUAAAAUAGAAGAAAAAAAAUUAUAUUUGUUUUGAAAGAAAUCGAAGAGAAGCAUAAAUGUAUUUCUUCAUCUUCUUCAUGUGCUCGUCUUUCACCUUCUUUUAUAUUUUUGUACCAGUCUGAUCUUAUUUACCGACAUUGUUAUUCACAAUCUUCUCACCUCCUUUCACUCAGCUAGAAAUUAAUGAGUUUUUACCUACUUUGAAAAUCAAACUCGGUACCUAUGGGAUAAAUAUCACCGUUCAUUAAUUCUCACUACCAAUUGAGCUUCAAUUUUUUUAAAAAUUGUUUUUAAUUUAUAUUAAUAAAAAUGUAAGUAAAUGGUAAAAAAUUAUGAAUUCACCUUGCCACAAAUUUUUUUUUGUUUUGAUAUCACAUUAGCUUUUAGAAAGACCAAAAUCAUUAAAAGAUCGAUCCACUAGCGCGCACGGGUAAAAUACGAGUAAUAAAAGUGUAGCUUAUGGCAACAAUUUGAGUCAUCAAGCAAGGACUUAUGACAUUAUUAAACGAAUUCUGAAUCAAUAAAAAAUAAAAUAAAGAGGGGGUUUUGAAUUUAAGUUCGGAAAAAUUAAUAAAACAAAUUACAAUCACGUAUAUUGGAACAAUUAAUUUACUGGUUCGAGAAUUUCAGACCUAUCACAUAUUCUAUCAAUGGACAUAAUUUUUAAAUUGAGACUCUAUUCUUGUUUGAGUAUAUAAUUGAUCAAACAAACAUAAUCAACCAUAUGUAAAUUCUACUCCAUUGACUGGAUUAAACAUCAUAGUAAUCGAUGUAUUGUAGUUAACGAUCAAACGUAAAAAAAUUACAGUUAAUCAACUUAGUAGUCGAAUUCUAUCAAAUCAAAUUAUCAACUCUAUUGACAUUUGAAUUAAGAAAUCAGAAAACAAUUUAAUCGAGAAAAGCGAUAGAAUCAUCAACGCGAAAUUAACAUUAUAAAAUAAACCUUAAGGUCUUGAUGAAAUUCUGAAACAGUGGAUUAAUCUUAGAAAUUAGUUUUCCAUCCAAGAAUUUAAAAAUAAAAUAUUAUUGAUCGAAAAUAAACUCUAUGAGCAUUUGAGUAUCUCUCUCCCUUUGUAACAAAAGCAACCUUAUUCGUUUUUUGUCUCUAAAAGCUCCAGGGCCAAAAAAACAAGUGGUCCAAUACUAAAUGUUAUUACAAAUAAAACUUAGGGCAUGUGAUCAAUAGUUUUGACCAAGUAAAGUUCCUAGUUGAGGUUUUCGCCAACAUAAAAGUUGUAACUUUGAAUCUCAGUAUUACAAUGUCUGUUUGCAUGAGUUAAUCGGGUAUCCAUAGCUCAAAUUAUGGCAUGCAGAGCGAACAACGAUCAAUAUGCAAAUAAUUACAUUAAAACUCAAAGUUUAAAAACAAAGUUUAUAAACUCAAAUUAUGGCCCAAAGUUUAGAAUAGUACAAUCUCAUUAAGCUUGAUAAACUUGAUUUAAGUAUAAUUACUUGGUUUAAUUCUAAAAACUAACUAGUAAUUAUAAGGUUUUCAUACAAAAUUUCGUUUCAAAUUAAAUAAGAAAAUACAAAUUACAACCAUUAUUCCUGGUAUCACCUAUCAGAGCGGGGUUCCUCCAAAACUUGAACUUCAAGACUCAUUAACCUGUAACAACUGCGAUUUCGCAAACGCAUGGCCAAUCUAGUCAAACACAAACAACGAAUGAGGUGAGUUUUGAAAUCAUGUCAAUAGUAUAAUAUAAAUAAGAAGAACACGCAAUUAAUCAUAAAUAAACUGUAUCAUUACACAAACAUUCUUCAAUGAAAAACAUAACAUUAUAAAGUCAAAACCACUCAAGAAAAAUCAAUAAAUUUCACUAUACAUCAAACCAUCUAAGAAAAUUAUUAUCGCUUUUGAAACACACCAAUCACAACAAAACAAUCACAAGGAAAUGCAAUGCUAAGCAUGAGCUUAGACUCUACUUCACAAUGUGGUACCAUUCUAACUCUGAAGUACUUGGUUAGGAGGCUUGAUACUAUGCCACCAUCUCGAUGGACGGACAAUUCAAAUUGACCAUGUCCUCAUAGAUCCCCUCAACUCAACCCGAGACACAUAUACAUGACAAUCGAGGUAAAUGUAUGUUGUGUGGUAGCUCCUGAUAUUUGGAGUGCUACCUCCAAGUCACCUUGGAAUUCUCCACCUGUAUACCUCCAAGGUCUAACAAUCUUGCCUUAAGGCUCGACAACAGACCGCCACGAUCAGACUCAUUCAGUUGUACUUCCCCAGAAUCACUAGGCUUGUCAGACUCUACCUAUAUGAUGACAAAAUAAUCUUCACUUCACAAAUUCUCAAUAUUUAUUUUCUCCCCUCGUUAGCUUAGACUACUUCCUUAAGAGCAUCAUCUUUAUAAAUCAUCACUAUUUCAUCAUAUAUGGGGUACAUUUUAAUAUUCUCGUAAUAAUUUUAUAACAUCAUUAAUCAUACAUAAUUAUAAUCAUCGCAUAAACUCAUCACAAUUUUAUAACAUCACUAACUGUACAUAAUCGUAAUCAUCAUAUAAACUCAUCACAAUUUUAUAACAUCACUAUUAUCGAUAAAAAAUCAGCAUUAUCACCCCGCAUACAUAUAUCAUACCAUGCAUCCAUAUUUUAUUAUCACAUCACAUAAAUUCGUCUAAUCAAAUAUAUGCAUCAAAUUCAUUUGAAAUCAAAUAUCAUAAUAAUAUCAAAUACCACACAUUUAACGAAAUUAAAUCAAUCAACACCUUAUAAAUAUUUCUAUUCCAUAUUUUUAUCACACAAUUUCCAUAUUUUCACAUUAAUCAAUUUAUCACUCAAAGGGCUACUGUUGUACGUAUCGAGCCUCAGAUGAAUCGUUGGAAAAUAAAGUUUUUCCGUUCAUCUCACAUUAUAUUAUACUCAUGAACUCAAACGCUCUCUCACCCUUUACCUUAUUUCGACGCUUUCACACACGAAUACGAUUCCACGAGAAAACAGUCUUUGUUCUUUGACUUUUUGUCCUUCAAUCGAUUUAACUCGACAAUUUAUGGGUAAACGUCAAAAUAAAUUAUGAGAAGAUACUCUAAAAACUAAAUUCGAAAUUUGGUCAAGAAAAAUUACCAUAAAUCAGAAAACCAAUCAGUGGAUAAUAUAGUUACUUUUCAUAUGGUCGUUUUGGCGUUGGUUUAAAAACAAAUCGAACUUACGAUGAAGAAAAACGGUACAAAAUAACGAAUUCUACCAACGGAGAAAUCGAGUAUUUUAGAAAGAUAUUGGGGUUGUUAAAAAUUCAAAAAAUUAUGUUUAAUUGAGUAGCUAAAUGAAUGAAACAACAUACUCAAAUUUGGGUGAAAAUGGAGAAAGUUUUCUGGAACAGUCAUCGAUCACCGGUGUGAAACGAUAGGUUUUUGUUGGUUUGCUCAUGGUCUUAGGCAGCUGACAGAAGCUCUCUCUUAUUUCUUUUAUUUUAAUUUAUUAAGACAAUUAGGGAUUAUGGUCAAUCCCAUUAGUCUUCUUUUAUGUUUUACUAUUACUAUUUUUAUUUUAUUUUUUUUUAAACACAACUUCAUUAAUAAAAUAUUAUUAAUAUUUCAAAAUUAAUAUUUUAUAAAAUAAAAUAAUUAUUUUUAUAAAAUAUAAUAAUAACCAAAACUCUCAUAUUCAAAUUAAUCACUAUAAUUAUACUUAUUUUUUCAAAUGCUUACAUUAGAUUACUACCAUCGUUAGAAAACAUUUGAAAUUAUAAAAUAAAUAAAUAUAACAUCAACACUUUAUAUUAAUUACUAAAUCUUAAAUAAUAUAUAUAAAAUCACAAUGUCAUAACAAGUAUAUAAAAAUAAACGAAAUCAAACACAAUAUCAAUUUUAUCUCAUGAUAAUUAUUUAUAAAAAAAAUAACUAAAAAUAGAAAAUAGUUAUAAAUAGUUGAAAUAUAACUACGGGCAUACUUAACAUGAGUCAAGUGCAUAGAAAAAUAUUACAUUAAUUGAGUACGCAUAUAUACACAUAAAAUCGCAUAAAAUCUUUAUCUUUAAAAUAUUACACUAAAAUACUAUUAUUUUUUAAAAAAUAUAUCAAAUAAUAAAAUAUAAUAUUUAUUAUUUAUAUCGCUCAUUUAAUCUAAUAUUUAUAAAACUAGCACAUCAUAGAAAACACCUAUAUAAUGAAAAUUGUCCCAAAAUUUAUCAACAUAUAUUAUAAAAUAAUUUUACUAUUAAAUUAAUUAUUUAAAAUCAUAUUUAAUUAAUAAAAUUGUUUAUUAUAAAAUUUAGAGUAUUGCACCUUACAUGCUUUAAAAUAUAUGUAAACUAUUUACAAUGAAAGACUUGUUGUAUUUUUAUCUCGUCUUUGGUAACUUUACAUUCGAUCCAAUAUUAAACUUCAACAAUUUGUGAUAGUAAUCAUAUAACUAUUUGAAAGAACUAUAAAUAAAAAGAUUGACAUUUAUCAUUUACAAAUAAGAUAAAAAACGAAAAUAAAAUAAAAAAUAAAACAGCAAAACGAAAAUUUAAGAAAACAUAAAUGACGGAAAAAGUAUAUUUAUGCAAAAAAAAUAUACUAUUUAAAAAUCUUUUGGAUAAAUAAAUAAAUAAAAUAAAAAUUAGCAGCCACCUAAGAAGAAGAAGGAAAACACGUAUAUAGACUCAAUAUGCGUGUGAUGGGAAACCUUCUUAUUUGUGUGUGGUUUUCAUUUAUGCAAAACACAAACCACACCCUUCACUUUCACUUUCCCAUUCUACGAUGUACAAGCUAUUUACUACUCAAAACGUCUUCGUUUGAGUCUCUAGUUUUCGUUCCCUCUCUCUCUUCUUUCACUCUCCUUAAAUAACUUUUAUAUUGUUUUGAUUCUCUCAGUCUUGUAUUUCCUCCAAAUCCUCCAAAAUGAAGGGAGAUAAAAAUGAGCUUUAGAUGAUAUUUUGGCUUCCUCCUCUCUUAGGUGGCGUUUGUUUCAAGUAUAAGAAUCACACUCUCAAAAUAAAUGAGUAUAUCCAUAUUUGUCAGGAGGUUUUGAAUUUUUUUUUCUCUAGAUAUUAAGGUUUUCAGAAAUGAGAAAACUUCCCAUAUUCCAAUGUUUUUAUUCUCAUAAAAAGAUGUGGUAAUAAAAGUUCAAAAUUGCUAUCUAUACCCUCCUUUUUAUUACCCUGUGAACUCAAUUUACGCACGCAUCAUCUACGUAACUGAUAUAAUGUAUACGUGAACUGAGUUCACGUAGAUGUACGUGAAUUGAGUUCAUGUAAGUGUACGUGAACUGUAUUCACGUAUUGCAUGUGAAUUCUUAAAUUUCAUUGAAUACCAGAGCCGACCCAAGGAUAAAGCCACUAAAGCAAGUGUCUCGAAGAUUCAUCUUUAAGAAAAUUUUAUCAUUAAAUUUCACAAACAUAUUUUUUUACCAAUAAAUCUCUCAAAAUUUAUCAACUAGCAAUCACCAAGAGAAAUUAUUAGUUGUUUUGAUAAAUUUAUUUAUAUCCCUUUUGCGAUUCAAUAAAAGUUUCAACUCUUUUUAUUUUUGUAAUUUUAAAUAGUAUGAUUCAUAUUUUUGAGUUUACAUUUAUAUAUUAGAUUAUUUAUUAAAUUAAUAUAAUUAAUAUCACAUGAUAUUUUUUUUACAAGUGAUAAUAAUGUCUAUUGAUUUUAAUAUUUAAAAUUAACUUAAUUCACGUAUACGUGAAUUCAAUUCACGUAAACGUACGUGAAUUCAAUUCACGUAAACGUACGUGAAUUCAAUUCACUUAUACGUGAUUUUAAUUACAUAAAUAAGACGUACGUAAAUUAAGCUCACGUAAUUAUACAUAAAUUGAGGUUACAUAAACGUACGUGAAUUGAGUUCACGUACGCGUUCGUGAAUUCAAUUCAAGUAAAAGUUAUAAAUAUUAUAAAUAGGUAAGGAUAUUUUAGGUAGUUUGUUCUUAUAAAAAAAUUGAGGGGUGUGAGUAGCAAAAAUGGGGAUAUAGGUAGCAAAAUUGUUAAAAGUUUCCCAUGAAAGUGAAAAUAAAAUUGACGUAAUUACUCAUGUAUUCACUUCAUUAAAAAAAACUCUCAAGAAUAACAUAAGUUUUAGCCAAAUAAUUUUUUUAUAGAAAAUACAUAGGAAUAAGUUUCCUGUCAUUGCUCUCUUAAAAAUUGAACUAAAUACAAAACUUACAAAUAUUUCGUCUCUUUCAUCUACCUUCAACCAAACAUACCUUAAAUGAAACGGUUGUAAUCGAAAGAAGAUUAAGUGGGUGGUUCGAAGGUGGUGUUCCAUAUUUUGUUAUAUAUUGAGGGAAAAAAAGUGUUACUAUCAUUUUGGUUAGUGUCAAAUCAACUAUAUAUAUAUGAUAGUAAGAGAGUGACACAUCAACAUCCAUGUCACCAAGUUUACAAUAAGCUUAGCAUUAGAACUAAACUAAUAGACACUUUGGUGAUUCAAAUACUAAUUUAGGUUUUUAUUGAGUUAGAAACUAAAGGGACAUCACUUAUACACUUUAUGGGACCAACAUGGUGCUUUCCCAUUUUAUAAACUAGACAUAACUUUUGAAACGUGUAACGGAUUGGUUAUUUCUUUGGUUAAGGGUCACUAUAUUUUAGAAAUUGUUCAUCCCCAUAGUAAUCAGAUCCUCUGAAUUUCUCAUUUUAUCUAUUACUGGAAGUUGACUUUCGGAUUUGUAAUUUACCGAAACCACACUUCCAGUAACAUUGUGUAUAAAACACAACAAAUUUUCUCACUUAAUCUACUUCAACACCCUAAAAAAAACUCAAAACUUACUUUCUACACCAUCAUAUCAUAUCAUGCAUUACAUUACACCUGUCAACAAUAUUUUCAUUUCAAUUUUGUGAUAUCAAAAAGUGAAAGAAACAAUGAUAGUUUUUUAAGUAUCUAUACUUCACAAUAAAACACAUAAGAUCAAUCUAAAGGUGUAUCUAAAAGGUCUAGUGUUAUUGAAUUUAUGUAAUAUUAGACAUAAAUUUGAAUAGAAAGGUUAGGAAGAUAUGACAAGGGUACCAAUUCAUAUCUAUUAUAAUAUAUUAAAUUAGACUCAUAAAUUCUCAUGUUGAUACUUAAGCUCGUUGUAUGUCAAGUAAUUCUAUUUUUGCCACAUCACACAAAAUCUCACGUGUCAACUUCUAACUCACACUCUCUAAUCUCCAAAACACAUUCUCAUUCUCCUAAAUUCCUUUGAUUUGCCUACUCCAAAUCUCAUUCAUUUAUCCAUAAUUACUAUUUCGUAAAUUCUCAUUAAUCUCGUCAAUAACACUCAUUUAUUUAUCCACAAUUACUAUUUUAUAAAUUCUCAUUAAUCUCUCAAUUUAAUCGACAAUGCAUACUUGAUACAUCUUCAAAGCUCAACAACCCACAUGCUAUAUUCCUACUCCAAAAAUCUUUUUUCAAUUAUCUAUUCAUUUAUACUCUGAUCUAUAAAUUCAUUCUUUGUAAUUUUCUGGUUUUACUUUAUCGGUUCACUAUUAUUUAUAUUAUUUAUUUCUUUAUCAUGUUGAAGGUAGUACUAGAGUUCAUAACAACAGUUUAUAGUUCGGUUAAAAAAAAUAGGAAUAGUGAUUACAAUAUAAUCUAUUUCAAUAUACAACGAGAUCUUUGAAACUUCAUUUACCAAUAAAUGUCUCAUUCACAUCUUUCUUUUGUUUGUACAAGUCCCAAUCACAUACCAUUAAGUGUUUGUUCCUUUUUAAAAUUUUAUUUUAUUUAUUUUCCUUAUUUCAGGAGAUGGAUUCUAUCUUGAUCAGAGAUAAUGCAUCACUUAGUUCUUCUUCACCGGUAUAUUACAUUAUUAAUUAAAAGUAAUCUUCUUUAUCAUUUAUUUGCCAUAAUUUGCCUGAACUAUUUUGAAGCAACACAAUUGAUGAAUGAAAAUUUUGUUGCCUAUUUGUAAUCAUUGUAUAAUCACGUGUUUCAUUAUGUAUAUGCUAAAUGGAUGAAUGUAACCCAAAUAUUUAUUUAAAAAGGUGACCUAAAAUCAAUUACUAACGUAUAAUAACAUCAUAGUCUGGACAUCGUUAUCUAUGAGAUAGGUUUCUAGGGUAUCAUACAUAUUUACUUCCUUUGUUUUCUAAUGUGUUUGGUUCAUAUCAUUCAAAUGCCCAAACUUAUAGUCUAAUAUCUUACCUUCUAAAAUUUCUUUGGUAGAAGUUUGUAGAAACAUAAAGAAAAAAAUAUUUGUUAUAUAUAAAUAUGAAGUUAAGAGUAUAGUUUCAAUUGUAGUUUGUAACUCCAAUUGUGGUCAUAAUAUUAUAGAUUUGGAAGUCACUGCAACAAAUUUAAAUAUUUGUAGAGUAAAAUUGACAUAAACUUAUGAGAUUAUGAAAACAUGCCAUAAUAUAGCUAAAUAAGUUACAAGAGACUUAAUGUCAUAGUAAAAAACAACACUCAAGAUUCCUCCUAAAUAAGUAUUUUCCAUAUUUUUCAACAAUUUAAAUACUUUGUAAUAAGAAUUAUUGGUAUAAAGUUUUGAAAAUUCAUUUGACAACAUAAUUGUCUAAUUAUUUCUAAUGUCUUUUAAAAAAAAUCUAAUAAUAAAAAUUUUACGGUACUUUUGUAAUUUCACAUCUCAUACCUUAACUAAGGUUUGAAUUUGCAAAAAGAUUCAGUUUUAUAAGUCUUAUAUCAUUAGACUACAAAAUUUCUACUCUGGAUCAAAAAAUUAGCUUCACGACUCAACAAACGUUUGAAUUAUCAAAACAAGUUUAAAGCUCGCUGAAACAUGCUACUACAUAUUCGAGAACAAUGUUAUGGAGACGUUUAAUAUAUUGGAGUGCAGAUUUAAAUUCACAAUAUCUGACUUUUCAAGAUUCAGUGUGUGUUUGUUUCAUCACUAAAUAUCGAUCAAAAAGACCUUUAUAUUUUAUUUGUUAUGUACUGCUAAAAACACAAUUUUUAUAUUUCAAAAAUAAAUUUUCAUUCUUUUACAUAAACGAUAAUGUACAUUUUCCUCUAAUUCAACAAAUAUUAAUUUUAAAAUUUUAUUUACUUAUUCACACACAUAAUAAAUAAAAUAGAUGACUAAUUUAUAUUAAUUUAUAUUAAUUACAUAAAGUAAUGUAUUACGCAAAUAAAUAGAUGACUAUAACAUCAUCCUUUAUUAAGAUAAAAGGAGCAUUAAUUUAAAGUUUUGACUUUAUAAUUUCAAUAAACGAAAUUUAAAUUUUCACAUGAACAAUUUUAAAAUAGUCGGUAGUAGUACUUUUAUUAUUAAUACUUCCUCUUUCCUCAAAUUUAUAAAAAAAUGUUCAAUAUACUCACAUUUACUCUUCAAACAUAUCUAGAGAAAUACAUAUAAUUCUAAACCAAAGAAAGAGCUUGAACUUGAAGAGAUUGAACCCUCUUUAAGGUUAAUCCAAAUUGCUCCUCCAUGUUCAUGUCUUCUGGCUUUAGCCCAUCAACAAGAUUCCAUUCAAAGUUGUGUAGAAGGGAUGCCACCAUUAAAUGUGUGGUCCUAUGAGCUAAUGGCAGUCCUGGACAAAUUUUUUUACCUGUCUCAAAGGGUAUAAGCUCAACAUUAUUACCCUUAUAAUUAAUAUCACACUCCAAAAUUAUUUUCUUGCUUUUAUUAAUUUGUCAGGGUUCCGUAGUAGCUCUGCCAUGGCAUAAUCCAUUAAAUAGUGCUUGAUGUUGGUGUCAAUCCCAACAACAUAUAGGACCUAACAUGACAUUAUUUCCAAAUUCAAUUAAAUAUAACCUAUAUUAUCGAAAAGGUGAGGAUUAAAUAUUAAACCAAAAAUAAGAAAGUAAAAAAAAUAAAUUAUUAUCUAUUUUGAUAGCACUAUAAAUUACCUAGACAUCAAUUUAGUCGUGCGUGGCCCUAAAAAAAGUUUAAAUAAGUCUCUCAUUCCUAUAAAUAAAUUAUAUUUAAUUUUUAAUUCUUUUAAAUUAUUUCUUUAAAUAACGAUCUUUCAAAUAUUUUCAUCAAUAAUUUUAGUUUCUUUUAUUAAGGCAAUUAAUGUGUAUCAUUCAAAUUUCUCCUAUAAAAUUUUAGAAAUAUUUAACAAAAAAUAAAUUAAUAUAAAUUUGUAAGCGCUAAAAAUUUAAAAAAUAUAUUUGGCUCAUUUUUAUGAAAGAAUUUUAAAUUUUGUAUGAGAGCUUUUUAUAAUGUUAUAAAUAUUUAUAUAAAGUAUUAUUUAAAAUUUUAAAAAAUACUCUUGAAUUAAUUUUAAAGUAGAGAACAAAAUUAUUUACGAGUAUUUUUUGAAAGAACAUAAUUUUAGAAAAACAUUAAAGAAAUUAAAAAUGAAUUAUAUAUAAUAUAUAAAAGACUUAUUUAACUAAAGAAAAUUAGUCAUAAGUGUGCCAUAUCAAUAAUCAAUGUAAGGACCAGAUGAAUGUUAAUUAUUAUUAUUAUUAUUAUUAUUAUUAUUAUUAUUAUUAUUAUUAUUAUUAUUAUUAUUAUUAUUAUUAUUAUUAUUAAAUAUGUGUAUAAUACAUAACCGAUUUGUUAAAAGUAAUUAUAAAAUAAUAUUUUAUAUUAAUUCACUUUAUUUUGAUGGAAGUUGUUUGAGUGCUCCAAGAACCAAUAUUCAUAUUAUUACUCUAUUAAAAAUAAUUAUUUUAUUUAUUUAUUUAUUAUCAAGUAUCAUGAACUCAACCAAACCAAACCGAUUAUGUUGAGAUUAGUUGGUGUGCUAUUAUAUACAAUAAUAAUAUUAUAGCACUGAAGUUAUACAAUAUAUAAUAAAAAUAGGUUAUACCAUCUUUUACACAUCAGAGCAAUAACUAGUGAAUUAAUUAAAAAAGUAUCGAUCAAUUCAAUUCAGCUUUGACUCAACAUAUGAAUAAUCAUAUCCUUUAAAUCUUUUGUGAAACAUUUAUUUUGAGAAUUUGAAAUGAGAAAAGAGUUAGACAUGUUGGAAAAAUAUGACUUCUUUUGAUUAAGAAUAAGAGAAUUAAGAUCAAAUACAACGUGUUCAAUUUUAAUUCAUAUGUUAACUAUGCAAGACUCAUACACAAAGUACACAGCGGAAAUAUUAGAUCGCAUACAAGAUGAAUAUGAAAAGUAAAGAGAUAAGGGAUAGAGAGAUGGCACUAAGAUUUAUCCUGGUUCAGCUGUCAGUAUGACAGCCUACAUCAAGUCCUGACAAUCCAACUGGAUUUCAGCUUUUUCUCCAAUAGAAAGAAUUAAGACUUGUUUACAGAUUGUCCAGUUUUCUCGAAACCUAUCAAUCUAACUCGAAUUCUUUCCUAUUGCUUAACCCCUUGAUCCUUGCAGUCAAUCGUCAAACAUACACAAGAUCAAGUGAAGCUCCUUCUUGAUGAUCCUACAUCAACGAAGAUCGCCACCAGUUUCUAAACUGGAUUUUCCAAUCCUUUAAUUACAAAGAGUUGUGUUUUUCAAGAAUUAAAGAAAUACAAAGAUUUGACUCAAAUCACUAUUUUGGUUCUCACACAAAAGUAUUUUUGGGCUAUGAAUGUUUGUGUGUGUGUGUGUGAAAAACUUUUCUGUCAAAAGUGUUUUUCAAGUGAUUGUCAAAGAUUAUGAAAAGUAUGCAAAAGUUUUGUGCAAAAGUUCUUUUCAAAAGUUCUGUUCAAAAACGUUUGAAUCAGCUUAUAUAUAUUCAAAGAAAACAUUAGGACAAUCGAUUUCCUAAUCGAUUUCAUAAAGCAUUAAUUGAUUGCCUAAUCGAUUUUCGCAGGUCUUGUUUUUCUAGAAUCUUGAAUCAUAUAAGCAUGUAUCGAUUUGCCAAUCGAUUCUUUUAAUACAUUAAUCAGAACUGGAACUAUGAUUUUAUCCAAAUCGAUUGAAUAAUCGAUUAUAGGUGUUUUGAUUCAACAACGAAAUCAAAACAAUCGAUUCCUCAAUCGACUUCAUAAUCGAUUUGGCACUUAGCUGAACCCUUUCUGUAACUUGAACAUUUUCUNNNNNNNNNNNNNNNNNNNNNNNNNNNNNNNNNNNNNNNNNNNNNNNNNNNNNNNNNNNNNNNNNNNNNNNNNNNNNNNNNNNNNNNNNNNNNNNNNNNNNNNNNNNNNNNNNNNNNNNNNNNNNNNNNNNNNNNNNNNNNNNNNNNNNNNNNNNNNNNNNNNNNNNNNNNNNNNNNNNNNNNNNNNNNNNNNNNNNNNNGUUUCACCAAAAACAUUUAACCAAUCGAUUGCCCAAUCGAUUUGUAUAGUGAAAACACUUGUUCUGAGUCAGACAAUCGAUUUAUCAAUCGAUUCAUCAAUUGCUUUAUUUGUUGAUUGAUUUAUAUUCAUUGGCAAAGGCUUAAGUGUGAGACCAUAGUGAUUAGUCUACUAAACUUAUUACUAUGACACCUAAUAACACUAUACAUUGCGUCUUUCUCAAGUGCAUCCUCCAACUUUGGUUGAUUCCUUGAGUUGCAAGCUAUUGUUCCAAGUGUGUGGUGUCUUCUUGUUUGCCUGAAAUAUUUCUCAAUUCAAAACAUUAGAUCAAUCAAAUAUUUCACAUGUACUGUGUGUUUGGGAAUUAAAUCAAAAACAUGAUCAGGGAAGCUCAUGACUUACAAACUCCCCCUUUUUGAUUUAAUGACAAAUACACAGUUUUAACAUUGAGAUUAUUUUAAAAUCUCCCCAUGAGUUUUGGAAUGUAUGAUACAUUUCAACAACAUCAGUAUAAAAAGGUAUCAGAGUGCAAACAAGAUACAAUGUUGUGUAUCAGAGUACAUUUCAUCAGAGCGAUAUGCAUCAGAGUAGUAUUGUAUCAGAUCACAAGUUAUUGUAGCAUAAUAUCAGAUCAUAUGGCAUCAGCAUCAGCAUUGCAUAUACAUAUAUCACAGCAUAUAUCCAUACAUCAGAGUAUUAUAUGAUCAGUAUGUAAACUAUCAGAGCAUAUCAGAGUAAAUAAUCGCAAGUUAAAUCAAUCUCCCCCUUUUGUCAUAAAAAGCAAAAAGAAAUAUACAAAGAGAGAUGAUGAAACAAACUGAUAUAUACAUAAAAACAAUUACAAGGACAACAAAAACAAGAGUAGUACAAGAGUAAGACAGACAACAAAGAAACUAAACCUAAACAACUAAUCUAGGGUUGAUCCUCAUUAUCACCAGCAGGAGAAGGAGAGACCGCUGUAUUAACCUCAGCAGGUGUCUCCUUCCCAUGAGGAUCAGAUCCAUCUAGGUUGACAGGGUUAGGUUCUCCAGUUGAUUGCUGUCCGAUCUCUGCAAUGUCUUCAAAAGACAUUUUGAGCCCCAAGUGCUCCUGGAUUGCAGAAAUAUCCUGAACGACUGUGUCCAAAGAUGCUUGAAGUUUGUGAAGAGAGGCUUCCAUCCUUUCGUUGUGGGCAGCUUGAAUCUUCAUAAACUCCAUCAGCUUCGCCAUGAUCUCAAAAGAUGCUUCAGAUUGUGCAGGUGGUUGGGCACUUGCUUGGGCUUGAUCAGCACUGGGUUGUGCAUGAUCAGCAAUAGAUGGAGUUCUUGUCCAUACUCCAUUUAUGCGUCGCAACUGCAUUUGGUUCACAAUUGAUUCACCAAAUGUCAGUGUGGUUUUGAGAGAUUCUUCAUUGGCUAGAGACACCUUGAAAUGCCUCAGAAUCCUCGUAAACAUUUGGGGGUAGGGUAGGAUGUGCUUUCCAUGUGCUGACUCGUCCAUAUUCAGCAGCACAAUCCAAGCCCAGCUCAUCCUGAGCUCUUUGUACAGUCCCCACAGCAGGAUAAUAUCCAGCCACUGUACAACCGCAUGAUUUCCAGCUCUAGGUACUAACAUUCUUGUUAGCACAUACAUGAGCAUCCGAUGCUCAACCUUCAUCUGGCCUGUUGGAAGAGAAACCUUCUCAACGAAGCUGUCGAUCAUUAGCUCCUUAGUUACCGCAUGCUUGUUUAUAGAAGUUUCCCAACCUUCAUCUUCCGGAGCAUCCUGUGCUCUACCAUCAAUGGUGAAGCCACAGAAUGUCAAGCCAGUGAGUUUCGAAAACUCCUCAAAAGUCAUUGCAAUCUUUUUGCCUUUGACUUCAGCAGUAAAACCCGUCUUGGUUAGAAUGAAGGUGGAGUAAAAAGCACGUACCAACUUCAGAUAGACUUCCAGUGAUGAAGAAAGGAAAUCUUCCAUUCCAUGAAAUCUCAAAUGAUUUUGAAACACAACCCGUUUGUAUCAAAAAAGGUGAAAUCCAAAGUUCUGGCUUCUUGGAUUUUUCUUUUUAGAAAAGAAUCAGGAAGAGAGUUGCCUUCCACUUGUUUUUCCUUUGAAGGCUGAGCCUUCUUUGGUGGAGAUGAAGGCUUCUUCUUCUUCUGGGUGGCUCCCUUCAUAGCAUCACCCAUUAAUUUUCCUGACUGAGGAGCCUUCCUCAACCCGUUUGUAUCAAAAAAGGUGAAAUCCAAAGUUCUGGCUUCUUGGAUUUUUCUUUUUAGAAAAGAAUCAGGAAGAGAGUUGCCUUCCACUUGUUUUUCCUUUGAAGGCUGAGCCUUCUUUGGUGGAGAUGAAGGCUUCUUCUUCUUCUGGGUGGCUCCCUUCAUAGCAUCACCCAUUAAUUUUCCUGACUGAGGAGCCUUCCUCUUCUUACUUGAUUCCUGAUUUGUGGCAACAGCUUUGCCUUUAUCUUUGGCUAAAAUUUUAUGGGUAGGGAUUGAAACACGUUUAGCUGGAGGUGAGGGAGGUGGAGGAGGUGAAGGUGAAAGAGUUCUUCCACUUGAGGUAGAAGAAGAAUCCAGUGAAAUGGAUUUUGAAGAUGAUGAUGGUCGUCUGGCCGUUUGCUUUACUCGAGCCAUGGUAAAUAGUUGAAGAUUAAUGACUAAGAGAGAUUAGAUGCUGAGAAAUUUGAAGUUGAAUGUGUAAACUGAGAGCAAACUGUGAAAAAAUAGAUUGUGAAAUCGAUUUAGGGUUUUCCAGGUUUUAUAGCACAGUUCGGAAUCGAUUGCCCAAUCGAUUAUUUUAUACUUUCUGGGUUUACCCAAUCGAUUGCCCAAUCAAUUAUGUUAACUUGGUUCAAAAAGUAUUCGUUACACCCAUUCCAACGGCUAUAAUUUUUACUCAACGGAUAUAUUGUCAAUCAAUUUCCCAAUCGAUUUUGUAAAAGAUCCUCCUUUACUACAUCGAUGUUCCAAUCGAUUUCCUUUUAAAUUCAGAAAAUUUCAAAAUAUCUGCAUCGAUUCCCAAAUCGGUUCCUUCAAAGACAGAAACUCUCAAAAUUUUACCCAAUCGAUUGUUUCUUAAAUUCAGACAACUUCAAAACGCAACCUCGUCUCACAAAUCGAUUGUCAUAAUUAUAGGUCCAAAACACAGUUGAUCCAAUCGAUUUCCCAAUCGAUGCUCGGGCUUGAGUCUGAAAAUCUUCUCAAAAGUGUAGAUGACCUGCCCACAUAAUCGAUUAUCCAAUCGAGUUUUUAAACUAUUCUCCAAGUAUACAAUCGAUUUACCAAUCGAUUGAGAUAAAACAAACUUCAGCAACUUGGCUUCUGAGAUGUGAUCAAUCGAUUUUCAAAUCGAUUCUAGUGAAAGUAACACAGAGAAAAGAACAUAAAGUACCAAAAAAAUCGAUUUAGCAAUCGAUUAUCGUGUUUCCAAAUUACCAAAUUUAAAACACUAUGCAUCAUAAAUCAAUUAUACAAUCGAUUUGGUAAUGCAUUUUUCCUAUCUGGCCACAAGAUAAUCGAUGUAGCAAUCGAUUGUUGCAUAUGGAUCAUAUUUCAUUGAGAUCAAUAAUGCCAAGUUUCAUUCUUAUAAAGAAGAAACUGUCCUUGGGCAAGGCCUUGGUGAAAAUGUCAGCCAACUGCUCAGUUGUAUUGACAUAUUCCAACUUAAUCUUGCCCUGUUGAUAUUGGUCUCUAAUGAAGUGAUGCCUAAUCUCUAUGUGCUUAGUCCUAGAAUGCAUGACAGGGUUCUUAGUGAUAUUAAUAGCACUAGUAUUAUCACACAAGAUGGGCACUAUUCCUAGAUCAACACCAAAAUCUAAGAGGUGUUGCUGCAUCCAAAGAAUCUGUGAACAACAGCUACCAGCUGCUACAUACUCAGCUUCAGCAGUUGAGAGUGCAACACUGUUUUGUUUCUUGCUAUGCCAAGAAACAAGAGAGUUCCCUAGUAGUUGACAAGUACCAGAUGUACUCUUUCUGUCCAAUUUGCAUCCAGCAAAGUCAGAAUCAGAAUAACCAACUAGAGUACAAGUAGAUCCCUUAGGAUACCACAAACCUAGAUUUUUGGUUCCUAUGAGAUAUCUAAAAACCCUCUUAACUGCACUAAGGUAAGAUUCCUUGGGAUUGGCUUGGAAUCUAGCACACAUGCACACACUAAACAUGAUAUCUGGUCUACUAGCUGUUAGGUAAAGUAAGGAUUUCUUUAAAAGAUCAUUACAGUAUUUGGUUUGACUUAGGAAAAUGCCAUUCUUGCUUUGUUUGAUUUGAAAUCCCAAGAAGUAAGUCAAUUCUCCCAUCAUGGACAUUUCAAAUCUACCUUUCAUUGUAUUUUCAAAAUCUUUACAAAGCUUAUCAUUUGUUGAUCCAAAUAUUAUGUCAUCAACAUAAAUUUGUACCAAUAGAAUGUCUUUUCCUUGUCUUUUGAUGAAAAGUGUCUUGUCCACAUUUCCCCUUGAAAACUUUUCUUGUAAGAGAAAAUUGCUCAGCUUAUCAUACCAAGCUCUUGGAGCUUGUUUCAAGCCAUAGAGAGCUUUUGUCAGUUUAAACACAUGAUUUGGAAGCUUAGGAUCUUCAAAACCAGGUGUUUGACUCACAAAAACUUCCUCCUGGAUGUCUCCAUUUAAAAAUGCACUUUUAACAUCCAUCUGAUAAAGUUUAAAGUCCAUUAUACAUGAAUAAGCAAGCAGGAUUCUAAUGGCUUCUAGUCUAGCUACUGGGGCAUAGGUUUCAUCAUAAUCUAUUCCCUCUUCCUGGUUGUAACCCUUGGCCACUAACCUAGCUUUAUUCCUAGUAAUAACACCAUUCUCAUCCAUUUUGUUUCUGAACACCCACCUAGUUCCUAUGACAUGUUUAUCCUCUGGUUUUGGAACUAGAGUCCACACUUGGUUUCUCUCAAACUGAUUGAGCUCCUCUUGCAUGGCUACUAUCCAGUCAUGGUCCAUAAGGGCUUCCUUAAUGUUUUUGGGUUCUAUUUGAGAAACAAAGGCAGUAAAGUUGCAAAACUCUCUAAGUGAUUUUCUGGUUGAAACUCCUUUUGAGAUCUCUCCAAUAAUGUUGUCUAUGGGAUGGUUUUUGGUAAACUUCCAUUCUUUGGGUAAAUCAUCUUCCCUAAUAGGUUCUACACAGUCAAUGUUGGUUGGAGGUACAUGUUCACUGGGUUCUAUUGGUUCAGACUCUACAAUAUCAUCCAAUGAAUUACCAACUAUAGAAGGAGUUUUGUUCAAGUUUUCAGCAAACAAUUCAUCAAACUUUACAUGAACUGACUCCUCUAUAGUUUUGGUUCUUUUAUUGUAGAAUCUAUAAGCUUUACUAAACUGGGAAUACCCUAGAAAGAUACCCUCAUCUGCCUUAGGAUCAAACUUACCUAGAUGUUCUUUACCAUUGUUUAACACAAAGCACUUACACCCAAAGACCCUAAAGUAAGAUAUGUUAGGUUUUCUACCCUUGUAUAACUCAUAGGGAGUCUUUCUAAGUAUAGGCCUAAUAAGAACCCUAUUCACUACAUGAGUGGCAGUGUUUAUGGCAUCAGCCCAAAAGUAUUUAGGAAGGUUAGAGUCCUUAAGCACGGUCUUAGCUAGUUCCUCUAAGGAUCUAUUCUUCCUUUCUACUACUCCAUUUUGCUGUGGAGUUCUAGGGGCUGAAUAUAUGUGUUGGAUACCAUGAUGUUCACAGUAGGUUUGAAAAGAAUCAUUUUGGAAUUCACCUCCAUGAUCACUUUUAAUGGAUAUGAUUUUCUGGUUAUUCUCAUUUUGAACCAAAGUAGCAAAUUUCUUAAAAGUUGAGAAUGCCUCACUCUUGUGAGUCAGAAAAUAUGUCCAUGUGAACCUAGUGUAAUCAUCUACCAGCACAUACCCAUAUAGGUUCCCUCCAAAGCUUCUAACCUGAGAUGGACCAAACAAGUCCAUGUGUACCAACUGUAAGACCCUACUGGUUUGAACUAGGUCUAUAGGGGGGAAAGAAGACUUAACUAGCUUACUCCUCUCACAGGAGUCACAUAACCUAUCCUUAGAAAACUUCCUAUUUGGAAGACCUAGGACUACCUGCUUCCUAACUAGUCUAUUCAAGUGAUCCAUAUGAAUAUGAGCCACUCUUUUAUGCCACAGCCAGUUCUCAUCAGCAUUUGAUAAUAAGCAACAUAUGUCAUUUGCAGGUAAGGAAUCAAAAUCUAUCAUGUAAACAUUGUUAACUCUUUUACCUGUCAAUUUCAUACCUUUAACUUCCUUAUGCUCAAGUGUGCAACUCAUAGAGGUAAAAUGUACCUUGAAUCCCUUGUCACACAGCUGGCUGAUACUUAGCAAGUUGUGCUUUAGAUCCUUGACAUACAGAACAUCUUUAAUCAAUGUAGAUGAUUUGUUUCCGAUGUCUCCACAUCCUAAGAUCUUCCCUUUAUUAUUGUCACCAUAUUUGACAAAGCCUCCUUCCUUUAAGUUCAGAGACAAGAACAUUGACUUGUCUCCAGUCAUAUGCUUGGAGCAUCCACUGUCCAGAUACCAUGAUUGAUUCCUGGAUGCCAAGCAUAUCUGCAAAAAUGAUUCAAGUUUUGGAUUUAGGUACCCAAUUCAAAUUGGGUCCUAGGGGGUUAGUUUCAAAUGCUUGUGACUUAACUUUCCAAAUUUGUUUCCAUCCUCUGUUGGCAAGUUUUUUCAGUUUGCAGUUGAAAACCAUAUGUCCUUUUUUGCAACAAAAAUGACAUACAACAGCAGGGGAUGAUUUCAGAUUUGGUCCAGUAAAGUUAUCAUGCAUUUGUGUUGAUUUAACANNNNNNNNNNNNNNNNNNNNNNNNNNNNNNNNNNNNNNNNNNNNNNNNNNNNNNNNNNNNNNNNNNNNNNNNNNNNNNNNNNNNNNNNNNNNNNNNNNNNNNNNNNNNNNNNNNNNNNNNNNNNNNNNNNNNNNNNNNNNNNNNNNNNNNNNNNNNNNNNNNNNNNNNNNNNNNNNNNNNNNNNNNNNNNNNNNNNNNNNNNNNNNNNNNNNNNNNNNNNNNNNNNNNNNNNNNNNNNNNNNNNNNNNNNNNNNNNNNNNNNNNNNNNNNNNNNNNNNNNNNNNNNNNNNNNNNNNNNNNNNNNNNNNNNNNNNNNNNNNNNNNNNNNNNNNNNNNNNNNNNNNNNNNNNNNNNNNNNNNNNNNNNNNNNNNNNNNNNNNNNNNNNNNNNNNNNNNNNNNNNNNNNNNNNNNNNNNNNNNNNNNNNNNNNNNNNNNNNNNNNNNNNNNNNNNNNNNNNNNNNNNNNNNNNNNNNNNNNNNNNNNNNNNNNNNNNNNNNNNNNNNNNNNNNNNNNNNNNNNNNNNNNNNNNNNNNNNNNNNNNNNNNNNNNNNNNNNNNNNNNNNNNNNNNNNNNNNNNNNNNNNNNNNNNNNNNNNNNNNNNNNNNNNNNNNNNNNNNNNNNNNNNNNNNNNNNNNNNNNNNNNNNNNNNNNNNNNNNNNNNNNNNNNNNNNNNNNNNNNNNNNNNNNNNNNNNNNNNNNNNNNNNNNNNNNNNNNNNNNNNNNNNNNNNNNNNNNNNNNNNNNNNNNNNNNNNNNNNNNNNNNNNNNNNNNNNNNNNNNNNNNNNNNNNNNNNNNNNNNNNNNNNNNNNNNNNNNNNNNNNNNNNNNNNNNNNNNNNNNNNNNNNNNNNNNNNNNNNNNNNNNNNNNNNNNNNNNNNNNNNNNNNNNNNNNNNNNNNNNNNNNNNNNNNNNNNNNNNNNNNNNNNNNNNNNNNNNNNNNNNNNNNNNNNNNNNNNNNNNNNNNNNNNNNNNNNNNNNNNNNNNNNNNNNNNNNNNNNNNNNNNNNNNNNNNNNNNNNNNNNNNNNNNNNNNNNNNNNNNNNNNNNNNNNNNNNNNNNNNNNNNNNNNNNNNNNNNNNNNNNNNNNNNNNNNNNNNNNNNNNNNNNNNNNNNNNNNNNNNNNNNNNNNNNNNNNNNNNNNNNNNNNNNNNNNNNNNNNNNNNNNNNNNNNNNNNNNNNNNNNNNNNNNNNNNNNNNNNNNNNNNNNNNNNNNNNNNNNNNNNNNNNNNNNNNNNNNNNNNNNNNNNNNNNNNNNNNNNNNNNNNNNNNNNNNNNNNNNNNNNNNNNNNNNNNNNNNNNNNNNNNNNNNNNNNNNNNNNNNNNNNNNNNNNNNNNNNNNNNNNNNNNNNNNNNNNNNNNNNNNNNNNNNNNNNNNNNNNNNNNNNNNNNNNNNNNNNNNNNNNNNNNNNNNNNNNNNNNNNNNNNNNNNNNNNNNNNNNNNNNNNNNNNNNNNNNNNNNNNNNNNNNNNNNNNNNNNNNNNNNNNNNNNNNNNNNNNNNNNNNNNNNNNNNNNNNNNNNNNNNNNNNNNNNNNNNNNNNNNNNNNNNNNNNNNNNNNNNNNNNNNNNNNNNNNNNNNNNNNNNNNNNNNNNNNNNNNNNNNNNNNNNNNNNNNNNNNNNNNNNNNNNNNNNNNNNNNNNNNNNNNNNNNNNNNNNNNNNNNNNNNNNNNNNNNNNNNNNNNNNNNNNNNNNNNNNNNNNNNNNNNNNNNNNNNNNNNNNNNNNNNNNNNNNNNNNNNNNNNNNNNNNNNNNNNNNNNNNNNNNNNNNNNNNNNNNNNNNNNNNNNNNNNNNNNNNNNNNNNNNNNNNNNNNNNNNNNNNNNNNNNNNNNNNNNNNNNNNNNNNNNNNNNNNNNNNNNNNNNNNNNNNNNNNNNNNNNNNNNNNNNNNNNNNNNNNNNNNNNNNNNNNNNNNNNNNNNNNNNNNNNNNNNNNNNNNNNNNNNNNNNNNNNNNNNNNNNNNNNNNNNNNNNNNNNNNNNNNNNNNNNNNNNNNNNNNNNNNNNNNNNCGAUUUUCGCAGGUCUUGUUUUUCUUGAAUCUUGAAUCAUAUAAGCAUGAAUCGAUUGAAUAAUCGAUUAUAGGUGUUUUGAUUCAACAACGAAAUCAAAACAAUCGAUUCCUCAGUCGACUUCAUAAUCGAUUUGGCACUUAGCUGAACCCUUUCUGUAACUUGAACAUUUUCUUCAAUCGAUUCGUCAAUCGAUUGUGCUGAUCAUAGUGACUCAGACUUUUCCAUCAAUCGUUGCAUCAAUCGAUUGUGCGUGUUACAGAACCUCAGCUAUUUUGACAAAAUCUAUUUGCCAAUCGAUUUGAUCAAAGUUGUUCUGAUGAAUGAUUAAUUUGCAAUCGAUUGCCUAAUCGAUUGCGUCAAACUUGGAUUUUUAAGAAAACUAAAUCAAUUGAUGUCCCAAUCGAUUUGUUGCAUCACAGAACUUUAAACCUGAUUUUAAACUUGGUAUCAAUCGAUUUGGUAAUCGAUUGUUCCCAUCACUGAUUGUUUCUGUGACUUGCUAAAUCGAUUGCUCAAUGGAUUGCCCAGUCGAUUGUCUAAUCGAUUGAUUGUAUCCCAGAACUCAGGUUUCACUUAAAAACAUUUAUCCAAUCGAUUCCUCAAUCGAUUGAUGUAAUGAAAACACUUGUUCUGAGUCAGACAAUCGAUUUAUCAAUCGAUUCAUCAAUUGACUUUUUGGUUGAUUGAUUUUCAUUCAUAGGCAAAGACUUAAGUGUGAGACCAUAGUGAUUAGUCUACUAAACUUAUUACUAAGACACUUAAUAACACUAUACAAUUUUUGCGUCUUUCUCAAGUGCAUCCUCCAACUUUGGUUGAUUCAUUGAGUUGCAAGCUAUUGUUCCAAGUGUGUGGUGUCUUCUUGUUUGCCUGAAAUAUUUCUCAAUUCAAAAUAUUAGAUCAAUCAAAUAUUUCACAUGUACUGUGUGUUUGGGAAUUAAAUCAAAAACAUGAUCAGGGAAUUUUAGAUUAUAAAAUUUAUUUAUUUACUAUUUUGUUUGUUGAAUUGCUAUUUUUAUGAUUGUUCGAAUAUACAUUCUUUGAGAUAUUGUUUUAUUACGGGUUAUUGUUGUUAUUGUAUGUGUUCGAAAUGUGCUUAUGCUCCAUAUAGAUGAGUCUUGUACCCCAGAGUUAUUUACAUGGAUGAUCUAUGUGCUCUAUAUAGAUGACUGUUAUAUCUCACAUGAGAUGAAUUUUAAACUUCAAACAGAUGAAUCUUAUACUCUACAUUAGAUGAGCUAGUACUCCAUAUGAUGAGAUGAUACACACUUCACGAAAGUAGUAUAUCUUCAUAUAACAACGGAACAUCAUUGAAUUGAUUGAUGUAUUUUCUGUAGAAUAAAUGUGUGUAUUUUAUUUAUCUUAUUAUUAUAGAUGUGAAUUAUUGUUGAUUUUAAGUGAAUGAAUUUAUAUUAAUUAUUGAAAGUGAUUUUUUGUUAUAGAAAAUUAUUUAUAAUUCUAAAGUAUGUUUAGAAGAAUGCGGGUGCCGUGGUCCAUUUUUUCGGUUACCGUACCGGUUAAGAACAAUAUUUGUUUUAAAAUUGUGUGCAUUAUUCAAUGGAAUUUAGUAUCUCAUUAAAUUGUUAUUUUUAGAGUUUGAGAAUGAGACGACUGAGAACGUCGAGAACUAAAGACUUCUACAUUUUUUGAUAAUCAUUCCGUUAUAGUAGGUUAGUAGAUCAGGAAUAAGUCGACUCAAUGUCUACAUCGCAUUUUAUUUUGAGAUUAGUUAUUAAAUGUUCAAUUUAAAUAUUUUGAUUAUUAAAGAAUUUUCAAUUGAAAUAAUUUAAUUUAAAGAUUUUAUAAUAUUAUUUUUUUGGGAUAAUUCAUUAUUUAUUAUUAGUAUAUUAUUCUCUUAUAUAAAUAUAAAAGUUUUUUUUUGUUAUUAUCUCAAUUGUUAAACUCACGUUACUAGUAUCUUAUUCUCUUAUAUAAAUAUUGUUAAUCAUAACCGUUAGAUCAUUAAAAUUAUUUGACUUUUAUCAUUAUUACUUUUUUUAAGCUAAAAAUUUAUUAAAAAAAGAAAGAAAACAAAUAGGGGACAUAAACUUAACACAUGAUAAAAAUAAGAAAAAAAGAAAGAAAAAUGUGCUAAAAAAGUCUUCAAAUAAUGCAAGUUUUCUAACUCUUGGACGGAAAUUAUAAAUUAUAGCGUCUUUCUAUCUAUAUUUUUUCCUGUCCUUAAAAGUCACCUACGUAAAAAACUUUUCAGUAGACUGAUGUGCUUCUCUAGUAUCUCUAUCCUUAUAUAAUCUGAAACUUCUCAAUAUCUCUAAGUCAUGAAUAGGCAUGGCAACAGGGCGGGUCGGUAGCGGAUUUUGCCUCCUCCACCCCCGUGUCCGACUAAUUGGGGAAAACCCGCAUCCGCACCUGUUUCAUAGCAUGUGUGAAACUUAGACCUCCAUCGCCGCCCACAACGGGGUUCGGGUUUCCCCGCCCACACUCACACACAUAUAUAUAUAUAUAUAUAUAUAUAUAUAUAAAUUUAAAAAUCAUAUCUAUUAUAAUUAAUAUAAUAAAAUAAUAAUUAUUAAUAAUAAUAAAAUAAAAAAUUAUUUUCUACAGAGAUUAGAUUAUAAUUUUUAAUAUUUUAAAAAAUAUUAAGUAUAUUUAAUAUGUAUAUGUAUAGAAAAUUCAAAAAUUAUUAUAAUAUUAUCUGCGGGGCGGAUUCCGAAAUCCGCCUCCGUCCCCGAAAUUUAAUUUCAGAGAAAAUCCUCACCCGCACCCGAUCAAAACAGAUUUUCCCACCCAAAUUAAACGGGUUUGGGUGGGUAUCCGCUGGUGCGGAUUAUAUUGUCAUCCCUAGUCAUGAACAAUCCUAAGAUGUAAAUUACCAUCAGUAACAUUAACAUUUGGAUAAAUCAUGUUCGAUACCAUAAACUUUGAAUAUAGAUCAAUUGGCAAAGAAAUUUUUUUUUGGUGGUUUUGAAUAAUGUUCUCCUCUAACACUACAUCACUCCAAGAACCAACAAUACACAUUUUCACAUUGAUGAUCCUCCUGCAUAUGCUUUGCAUUAACUAUAUUAGAUAAAAUGAAAUCAGAUAUCUCUUGAAUUACAUUUUUAGGACUUCAUGUAGCCUAUAACUCAGAUUCCUGAGGCGUCUCUGGAAUGAUUCCUUAUUCUCCUAAAUUAAUUGAAUCCAAUUCAUAAGCUUCUUCAUGGUUUUUUUUAAUCAAUUUUUUCCUAAUUAGAGGGAGGUUCUUGAAUGCUGGAGAUAUGAUCAACAAAAGAAGAGUUAACAACACGAUGAAUAUUGUUACCUUAAAUAUCUUUGUUUAUACUUUCAGUUUUAACCUUGUCCAGAGCAGCAAUAUUUUCAGAGACAUACUUUAAACCAACUUCUUUAAUGCUGCAACAUCUUCAAUAGAGUUAGCUAUUCCAUCACCAUUAGAAUAUUUUCGACAUUUAUCUAUGGAAUGCCCUACAACCUUACAUGAUUCCAAAAAAAAAAAGUAGUUUUUUUUUAUCAUCAAUGUAAACAAAAAAUGCAUACCAUUCACGUUGAACACGAAUGUGAUAUCUCAGCUCUUGUAAUACAUCCAAAUUGACCAAAACACGAGCGAAAUCUCCCAACGCUUUUGAGUUUGUUGUUUCCUUAAGAGAUAAUGGCGUGUCAAUACCUGAAGCAAUUGUGAAAAUGAUCUUUGACCUCCAAUAUUCUUGAGACAAAUUGUAGAUACAAAUCCAACAUUGAGUCUUUUUGUUUCUUAACAAAUCCAACCUAUUUGUUUUUUUUACCAAACCCAGAUUGAAGUCUUUCGUCCAAGAGAAAACUCAAAGAAGAAUAGGUUUCAUUAUCUAGGUUUCAAUUAUUCGAACACUUUGCAAAUUGUCGAGAAAAGCAAAAGAGAACUCAUAAAUUAUUUUCCCGAAGGGAACAACUUGCCAUGAACCAAUCAAUUUUCAUAUUGUUAAAAGUUUUUCAUGUAAAACCGACAAUGUAAUCAGUGUAUUACCUUUAGACAUAGUGACUCUACCAUGAAGUUUAUUCUUGCAACUCAUCAAAUCUAAUUGAUAUUCAUCUUCUGAAAUUUUGGUAAUGGAUCUCAACCCUAUUACUUUUAAAAUCAUAUAUAUAGAUGAUUGUGAUAUACUAGCAAUAUAAUUUUUUUACACGGACGGCAGUGCACCGUAAUUAAACUCUUGUUUUUAUUCUUUCUUAUUUUUUAUCUACCAUCCUUUCGUUUUCUUUGAUAAUACCAAAGGAAGAAUAGAGUUACUUUUAUUAUUCAGUCAUCAGUAGUAUUCAGCGAAAGGAAUUGAAUCAGAGUUUGAAAGGGAUUGAAUUAAAAUGACAAGAGAGAAAUGAAGACAUAACUUGCAAAAAAAAUUGUCCUCAACACUUAUUCCAUGUAGGUUUUACACAAAUAGUCAUAUUCUUCUUUUUGUUCCAUUGUUACUUAAUAAUUUGCACCACUAAGAGACGAAAAUGACAUAUUUUUUAAUGGAACAAAUGACAUUAACCUAUAUUAUAAUAUUAUUAUUAAUAAUAACUCAAACGUAGAAAUGUGGGGAUAUGCAAUACUAUAGCAUGAAGACCAUUACUUUGUAAUAUAAUUAAUCAUGGUUGAUUGAAGUAGCUUGAACUCGAAGAGGUAGAACCCUCUUUAAGGUUAAUCCAAAGUGUUCCUCCAUGUUCAUAUGUUCAGGCAUUAGCCCAUCAGCAAGGUUGAAUUCGAAAUUAUAUAGAAGAGAAGCCACAAUUAAAUGCACACUCCUAUGAGCUAAUGGCAAUCCUGCACAAAUUCUUUUGCCUGCCCCAAAGGGUAAAAGUUCAAAAUUAUUACCCUUAUAAUUAAUGUCACACUCCAAAAAUCUUUCAGGCAUGAACAUAUUUGGAUUGUCCCAAAUGGUUGGAUCUCUUCCCAUGGCCCAUAUAUUGACUAAAACUUGUGCAUUUUUUGGCACAUUGAAGCCUAAGAUGUCCACAAUUUCAUCACAUUUAUGAGGUAACAAAAAUGGAAUGGGUGGGUGCAUACGAAAACUUUCCUUCACCACUGCUUGCAAGAAAGGUAACUUGGAAAUAUGUGAUUCUUCAAUUGUUUCAUCUUUCCCAAUUGUUUCACAUAACUCUUUUCUUACCUUUCUUAGUAUUUCAGGAUUACGAAGUAGUUCUGCCAUAAUCCAUUCGAUGGUGGUUGAUGUUGUGUCAAUUCCAGCAACAAAUAAGUCCUAAUAAAAUAUCAUUUCCAAAUUCAAUUAAAUACAACAUAUCAUAUAGACAUGAUAUAGAUGUAAUUAAAAUAUACUUAUGUUUAUGGUUAAGUGGAAUUAGUUAAGUUAGUUAUACUCUGCUUCAUAUUUUAAUUGUAUUAAAAUUUUCUACUUAAUUAUUUUUAUUUUUAUUUUUCUCUUUAACUAUAUUAAAUUCAACCAUGAUUCUCAACAUAUGAUAUUAGCAAAAGGUGAACAUUAAAGAUUAAACUAUUUUUUUUUAUGAAAAAACAAUACCAUUUAUUGUUUUAAAUACAUAAUUGAUAUAAUUUCAAUCUAAAUCUUUUUAUAAGUGUUCAAAAAUUUAUAAAAUCUUUCUUAAUUUCAACUGAAACAUCAUACUCUCAAUAUAAAUUUCUUUUAUAAAAAAUAUACAUAAUUAAUAUUGAAUGCCGUGAAUAAAUCCAUAAUUGAUAAAAUUGGAGAAGAUAAAUUAUUAUUAAUUUAAAUAAUUAUAAUAAAGAACUUAUAGUUAUUUUACAACUCAUUUAAACUUACCUCUCUUGAAGAUACCUAAGUAAACUCUUACCAGUCAUUAUAUAUAUAUAUGACACCUCAUAAACAGUAAAUGAAAAUUGAUUAGUAUUAAGCAAUGUCGAUCAAAUGCCAAAAGUGGUCCAAACAAGAAGUGCCCGAAUAUCAAAUUAGUCAUAAUUGUUCCCAUAAGAACAAUCAAUGCAAGGACUAAAUGAACGUUGGGAUAUUCUACAUUGGUCCACAUGGAUGUAGCAUACUUAAGAAACACAAGUUUGUACGUAGAAACAAUAUUGGAUCUCCAUUUCCAUAUAACACAUUUGCAAUGGAACAAGAAGUUUAGUUUAACUAGAACUGGAAGAUUUGUCUCAUUUAAAACAUCACAAAUUGUUUAUUUAUUUAUUUUUGAGUUAAAUAUAAUUUUAGUCUUUAUAAAAUUUUAAGUAUUAGUUCCUAUAAAAAAAAAUCAUAUUUUUUAGUUUUUAAAAAAUUAUUCUACAAGCAGUUUUAUUUUAGUAACUUUCAACUCAAACUUUUGAAUGAUUUUUUGAAUAAUGUUUAGAAAAUAAUAAAAAGUUCUUUCACAAAUAUAAAAAACUCAAAAUAAAAGUAGCAAAAAUAUGGAUCUCAAAAUUAAAUUUUGUGUUUAUUUUAUAGAGAAAUUUUUUAUAUUAUUGUAAAGAUACUUUCAAAAAUUCAUUUAAAAAUAUAUGUUGAUUUCACAAUAGAAGUUAAAACUGUAUAAAUGAUAAUUUUGUAAAGACUAAAAAUAUAUUUUUAUUUUAUAGAGAUUAAAAUUGAAAGGUUGAAAAUUUAUAGAAACUAAAAAUAUAUUUAACCUUUAUUUUAAACAUACAUACAAAAAAUACUCAAUAAUGUAAUUUGAAAUUCUAGCAAAGAUUAAAAUUAUUUAUAUGAUAAUUUUAUACAAGCUAAAAUAUUUGAUUUUUUUAUUGGAUUAAAAAUGAAAUUUUAUAUUUUAAUAUUACUACAAAUUUAUUUACUUUUAUUCUAUUUUAAAUGUGAUAUAACUAAAACUUUAUUUAACUUUUUUAUUUUAUUUUAAAUAAAAAGAGGUGGUACGCUGUAAAUUUUAUUUAUAACUCAAUUGUCUCUUAUAAAAAAGAGUGAAAACAUAUUUUAUACCAAUGAAGUGUUGAGAUCUAGCAGAAUGAGUUAAGCUCCUAUAAUAUGAUGAAUCUGAAUCCGAAUUCGAAUUCUAUUUAAAAAAUAUAUCUGCAUUUAUUGUCUAACGUGUGUUGAAUAUAAUUACUUCUUAUUAAUGGAACCUUUUGGGAAGAAAAAGAUAGUAAUAUUUUCUAUUUAUGGUGGACUAUCAUUUAUCAAUAUAAAUUACUUUGCAUUCAACAACUAAUAUGACAACUAUUUAAAAAGUUUAUAUAAAAAAAUAGCUAUUUAAAGAGAAUUUCGGUAUAACUAAUUACUAUAUAAAAAUUAAAUCAAAAUAAAUAUAAAAUUUUGAGUUAAAUAAAUUUUUUUAUCUUUAUAAAAAUUUAUAAUUUUAUUUUUACUCUAUAUAAAAAAUUUUCUUAACUUUUUAGUCCUCAAAUUUUCUCAUUUUUAUUUAUGGAACAUACUUAUUUAAGUCAACUCAUAUGUAUCAGUCUAAUUUUUAAAUAAUAUUUUGUAGAUAUAUUUAAUAAAUUAUGAAUAUCUCACUUAUAAAAAUUUAAAUUUUAUUAACAAAACAUUAAUCAAAUAUAAAUUUCUAACUAUUUGGUGCUAAAAAAUUUAUAUUUUAUUCAUAUUUUGUAUAAAAAAAUUAAAUUUUUAUGUGGUAGAUUCUUAUAAUAUUUUAAAACUAAUAAAAAAUUAGUAAGUUAUAAACGAAUAAACUUUAAAACAGAAACAAAAAAUAACAAAGGAAAAAUUUUAAGAAUUAAAAAACAAGUAUAUAAACGAAAAACUUAUUUAGCUUAUUAAAAAAAUGAAUACUAACCAGAAAUAGAUGCAACAUCUCAUCGCGGGUCAAUUCUAAGCUUAUAUCUCCAGUAUUGUUAAGAAGUGAAUCUAACACAUUGUUGUAAACCUCAUAAUCACCUUUUGAAGCUCUUAAACAAAUUCUUUCUUCAAUAAUUUCAUCAAAAAUAUCACACAACUUCUUCAUAUGAGUGGUCAUUUUUCCAAGCACUCUUUGUGGAUCUAAUAGACGAAGAAUUGGAAAGAAAUCUGAAACAUUAGGCCUACCAGCUUCUUCCAUGAUACCAAAAAUAGCGUUCUCAAAUAAUUGAUGAUCAUACUUUUCAUCAGAUGUUGAAUGAAUCAAAUCCUUAGAGAACAGAGUGUUUGAAAUUGAAUUAAGGACAGUUGUGAAAACAACCUUACCAAUGUCAAAAACCUCACCUUUCUUGCUUUUUUCAUUCACAUAAUCCAAUAAAUCUUGCAACUUUUUUUCACGAAUGAUUUUUGUUGAGUCAAGCAUUUUUGGAGAAAAUACUUUUGUAGCACAAAUUUUCCUUAGUUUGGUCCAUGGUGUUGAUAAGGGAAGCCAUGCUACUGAGAAUUUGUAAUGUUGAGUGGCAUGGACAGCAUGUGGGAUUGUCCUAUUAGAGAAGAAUUUUGAAUUUUCUUGAAGCAAUUGUUUGGCUAGUUGUGGGGAUGAGAUAACUAUGGUUGUUAUGUUUCCUAGUUUUAUUGUCAUGAUUGGUCCAUAGAUUUUAGAGAGUUUUGUGAAUGUUUUGUGUGGGUUUUUGCCAAGUUCUAAGAUGUUUCCAAUAAUGGGAAGUGGGUUUGGCCCUGGUGGAAGCUUUGUAGAAUUUUGGGUUUGGUUUAAUUUUCUAAGUAUGAAGAUGAGAAUGCUUGCACUUACAAAGGAAAUUAGUAUCACAAGUUUUUGGUAGUCCAUGGCUUAUUGCUUUUGCCUUUCCUUUGUCUCUCUCUCACACACAUAUAUAUACUAUAUGAAAUAAUGUCACUCUUUUAUUAACUUCUAACAACCUUGGCCUCUACCUAAAACAUAUAAGAGUGUUUGCAUAUUCUCUCCACUUCAGAUUCCAGCCAACACCACCAUAAUCUUUUACUAUUUAAAACUAGUUUUAGAUGAAGGAUAAUUAUGUAAAUUUCAUUAUUUUUUAAAAGUAAAUAAAUAAUAUACAUGAUUUUCCCAUUUUGUUGCAACACUUCGUUCAAUGCUGGUUAUGGAGCUGAAUCAUUCUCACUCACACUCACACGUUGAACAUGUUGAGGAUGCAUAAUUAAAGUCACAUAUCAUUCUCAUGAAAUAUUUCAUUAGUUUGUAUGAUAAUGAAUUAAUGUCAUUUUUAAUAAAAGAGUUUAAUAAUGUUUUUUACCACGUAAUAUGGAGGCAAUCUAAUUUUGGUUCUGUAAAAAAAUUGAUUCCACUUCCAUUAUUUAGUAUUCUCUCAUUUUUUAUUUUUGUUAAAAUUUGGUCUUCACCAACAGACAAUAAAUUUGGCGAAAUCAGUUAAACUUCAACGUCAUAAUGAAUUUGAAUUUCUAUUAUAAGUAUCAUAUGUAUUUGGAGUAUACCUUUGAUGUAGAAAAACUAUGACCAUAUUAAUAAAAUAACAAAUCAAAAAAAUGGUGAUAUUUGAAUAGAAUCUCUUGGAUGGUCACAAGAUUUUGAUCACAAGUUUUAGGAUCAAUCAAAAAAAUGAAAUAAGAUAGAAAGAGAAAAAAAAAUGUAUACUUUUCAAAUAAUAAAAUGAUAUAUUUUUAUGUGUGGGGCUAAUACUGUGCUCAAAUUCUUUUGAUCAUUUAAGUAUUUUUCUAAUCGAAUAUCCUUGAUUUUCCAACACAUUAUCAUGUUACACUACUAAUAUAUUAUAUUAAUUUUUUUAUUAGUCUAUUUCUUGCUCUCUCAAAAUAUUUGAAUAAAAGAAAUAUACAUCGUCAGGGUAAACUAAUUUUAUUGAAAUUUUGUUGAAUAGUAACCUUUGGGUAAAAAAUGUUAACAUAUGACCAUCAAGCCCAAGGUAUUUGGGUAAAAAAUUCCAAAAAUACUGCAACACCACUCUCCUACUCCUUCCAGCUAUUCAACAAAUCCAACAAAAACAUCAAAGUUGAUCGCUUAUAACAUAGUCGAUAGUUAUUAAGUUAAUUAAAGUGUUUGAUAAAAUUAAUAGUUUAAUUAAUUUAAAAUGUAAAAUGAAAUAAAGAAUAUUCUUAAUUAAAAGAAAAUUUUGUCAAUUAACUUUAAAAUAUUUUAAAAGUGGUAAUUUUUUUAUUUAUUAUUAAUUUAGAAUUUAACAAUCUUAUAUAUAUUUUAUAUUUAUUUAUUUUAUUUAUUGUAUAUUAAAAAUAAAAUAAAUUAUUUUAAAAUUUUGAAUUAAUUCUACAUAAUUUUAAUUUAUAAUAAAUAAAUUAUUUACUUUAAAAUAUUAAUUCUUUUAAAUUUUAAAUUAGUUAUAAAUAAAAUAAUUUAAAAUUAUAAUAAAUAAAUUAUUUAUUAAUCCGAUAUAUUUUUUAUUUUAUUUAGCUAGUUUAUUUAUUUUAAAUUGUUUACUUUAAAAUAUGAUUUAUUAAAAUUACUUUAAAUUUUAUAAAUUAUAUAAAAAUAAAUUAUUUAUUUUUAAUUAUAAAAGGUAAAAAUAAUUAUUUACAAUAAUAAAAGUAAAAUUAGAAGAAAAAAAAUUGAUUUGCUAUAAACUCACAAAUUACUUGAAUUAAUUUGUAAAAAAUAUUAUAAGUUAUAAGUUCAUAAAUAAUUGUUACUAACGAGGUCUUAUAAUUUAUAGACUAUAAACUUGUUUUUUGGCCUUGCCAAACAGAACCUAAAACCUAGAAAAUUAGAGGUUCCGAUAUCUUUCUCAUAAACCUAUUGAAUAAAAUUUUUAAAAUUUAAUUUAAUGAAACCAGUUUAACAAAAAUACUUUCAAUAUUUUGAGUAAAAUUCAAUUAAUUAACUGAACCAAUUAAUAAUUACUAAAAAAGAAAACACAGACAAAAAAAAGAAAAAAUUUAAUGGAUGUGCAUUAUAAAUGUAAUACAUAAAUUUUAUUGGUGUGUAAAAGUGUUUUACUCUGACAAGGCACAUGCCUUUUCUCAAAAAAGAAAACAAAAUCCUAAUAACUCUACAAAACCAUUUCCCAGAAUUUCUUCAAACAAUACCCACAAGAAGGGUAGCAUAGUGUUACCUAUUGCUUUUGCUUUUAAGAACUCAAUGUGUUUUUCUGUAUGUUUAUUGAGAUUCCAUGUCGCCGACUUAAAUUUUUCUAUAACAAAAGGAAAGAUCUGAGAGAGAUUCAAGUGAAAUAUUGGAGAUAUUAGUGUUUUAAUUUUAUUUUUAUGGACUCAAAUAUUAUUAUUAUUUUGUGUACAGAAAAAAUACUAAAGACCUCGUUAACUCAUACUUAUAAUUACAAGGUAUCGAGUUUAAAUUCGAGUAUAAUAUAGAGAGAGAUUCAAGUUAAAUAUUGGAGAUAUUAGUGUUUUAAUUUUAUUUUUAUGGACUCAAAUAUUAUUAUUAUUUUGUGUACAGAAAAAAUACUAAAGACCUCGUUAACUCAUACUUAUAAUUACAAGGUAUCGAGUUUAAAUUCGAGUAUAAUAUAGAGAGAGAUUCAAGUUAAAUAUUGGAGAUAUUAGUGUUUUAAUUUUAUUUUUAUGGACUCAAAUAUUAUUAUUAUUUUGUGUACAGAAAAAAUACUAAAGACCUCGUUAACUCAUACUUAUAAUUACAAGGUAUCGAGUUUAAAUUCGAGUAUAAUAUAUAAUUUAGUAAUAUCGAUAUUUAUUAGUUAAAUUAAAAUUUAAAUAAAUAAUUUAAAUAUUAUUAAAAUGAUUAAUCACUUAAAUUUUACGACCAAAACAUUAUUUCGUCGUAUCAAUAUUUUUAUAACUGAGAGAAUUUUAAACAAUGAGGAUCACAUCAAAAACAGAAUUUUUAAAAUAAAAAAUACUAUUAUCUUACCUUUACUUUAGAUUGGAUUAUUGGAACAUCAUCAUUUCACUCUAAUUUUUUUUCCAUUAAAAAAGAAAACCUUUAGAAAUAGUAAUCUAUAUAAUAAUGAUAAUUGAAAGUUAAAAUAAUAAUUAAUGGUACAUCAACUCUCAUUAAUAAUUAAAGCCUCUGCAUAUAGUUUAAAGGGGAUAUGCUGUCGUGAAACUUUGAUUUGUAAUUGUAACUCUUAACUUAUGCCUCUUGGUUGAAUUUGAUAAUACUAGUGGUAUUAACAGAAUUUGAUAUACUAAUUUAACUUUUAUGGUUUUAUCAGUCUCAACACUUUAUUUUCCUCUUAAAAAAGACAAAAUACUUCCGACAAUUAAUUUCAGCUAAAAAUUCAAAUUUUUAUUUUUUUUUAUUAAUUUGAUCUUUUAUUUAAUUUUAAGUAACGAUCUAAUUAUUUAUAUUUUAAAAUAUUAAUAAUGUCUUUUUUAUAAAAAUCCAAAAAAUUCAUCAUCAUAUUCAAACAAAAUCUAGAAAAUUCAUUAUCAGUUUCAAAUAAAAAUUAUACAUUAAUCAAAUCUAUAACUCAAAUAUUCAAAUAAACUCAUAUCUCCAUCUCCAAUAACAACAUCACCAAAUUCAUCAAAUAAAAAAUUCACCAUAUAAGUUUUGAUCUUCAAUUCACUAAGACAAUAUCUUCUUCUUCAUUCUAUCAUUCUCCAAAUCAAAUCUCUAAUAUAAAUCUUAUUUGAUAAAUUAGUGUUAUUGUUGUUGAUGAAGAUGGAAAUUAUUUGAUUAAAAUCUGAAUUUUGUUCAAGAUAAUACUUAAUAUUUCGAGUGUUGUUUGAAAAUGAUGAAUUUUUUGAAAUUUUAUAAAAAAAUAAUAAUAUUAUUGAUAUUUUAAGAUAUAAAUGAUUAAAUCAUUAUUUAAAAUUAAAUAUAUAAUAAAAUUUCAAAAAAAAUAAUUAAUAAUUAAAUUAUCACUUAAAAUUAAAUUAAAAUACUGCAUGAAAUAUUAAAAAAAAAAAAUACUUUCUUUUCGGAUAAAAAAAUAACACUUUGUUUUCCAUUUUUUGAAGGCAAUAAUCUUUCACCCCUUUCUCUACUUGCAGAAUUUUUGUUCAAUGUCCCCCAGCUGGAUGUGUUUAUGCUCUUUUUCUUUAUAGUCAUUUAACAUUUUUUUUAUUAUAUUAUUAAAAUAUCACAUAUAUUAUAUAUUUUUUCCUUUAUUUCUUUUUUAAAAUGUACAUGAAGUGUAUAAAUAUCUUUAUAAGUUUCCCUUUUCGGGUUAUGCUAAGAAAGACACUUUUUUUUAUUUACUCAAUCAAAGACUCUUGUUAAAAGGAAAGAAAAAGAAAUUUAGGAGAAAUUUUCAAUUCUUACAAUUCAAAAGCUAUUUCCCUUUUCUUAAUUUUUUUUUAUUUGCAACAAAUUUAUAAUUUAUCAUUUUUUAAAAAAGUUUUAAAUUUGUGUAAAAGUUGUUAAAUAUUAUUACAAAAAUUAUUUAAAAAAUCUAAGUAAUAUACUGUAGUUGAUUUAAAAUCAAAGAUAAAAAAUAAAAAGAGAAAUUAAAGUGAGUAUUGCUUCACGUGAAUGAUUGAGUGGUUUAUAAUAAGCCACACUAUGGUUAAAGUGAAUAUUAUUCAGCUGCAUAACCAAUUAACCAUAUAUCUAUAAUUAAAUGGAAAAAAUAGAUAAAUUAAGGAUUUUAAAAUAAAAUAAAACUAAAUUACAAUAAUAACCUUUUAUAAAGUAGUGUUUUAAAAAGAGAUACAGAAAUGUUUUUUCUAAAUAAAAAAUGUGUAAGUUAUUAAUAUAUCCUUCUUAUUACUGUUGGAUGUGUAUAUAUAUUAUUUUUUAAUUUAUCCAAUAAUGAAUCCAUUUGUUUAAGUUUUUAAAAGAUAAUUUUGACUUUCUAUUUUUAAAAAUAAUUUUUACGAAUAUUUAUUUUAAAAUAGUAAAAAUUGUUGUAGAUUCAUUUAUUAUAGAUUAAAAAAAUUAGUUUUAAUAUUUAAUAACUUAAAUAUUUAUUAUUAAAAAAUUUAACAUGAUAAAAAUCAUGCUUUAUUUACAAAAUAUAUCUCUCAAACAUAAUUUUUAUGAAUAACUCUUCAAAAUAACUUCUUAUUUUAAUAAUUUUUUUGAAAUUUUAUUAAUAAAAAAUUACAACAAAUAAAUAAAAUACUUAAAAUGAUAUUUUAAGAUAAAUUAUUUAAACCACUUUUUAUUUGAAACUUUAUUUUAAUUUUUUAUUAGAAACAUAAUAAUAAAAAAUAAAUACUAUAAAAAUUGUUUUAAAUUUUAUUUUAAACGCUCAAAAUUUUAAAAUGUCACUUGUUACUGAUAAAUUCACCUGUCAAUUGAGUUGCGACGAAAGUAGAUAUUUUUAUUAAAUAAAAUUGAGAGUAUAAUACAUAAUUAUAUAUAUAUAUAUAUAUAUAUAUAUAUAUAUAUUAAAAAAUAUAAAAAUUAUUCAAUCUAAUAAUAUUAAUAUUUAUCAAAUAAAUUACCAUGAGAUUAUAUUUUAAUAUUGAGGGAGUACUGAUCCAACUUCCAAUUACUUCCCACAAGCAUAUAGUUUUGUCUUACUGUGUGCUUGUUGGCUUGAUUUUAAUUCGUGCGGCUAUUGUUGUCAUAUUUGACUCACUUAGAUGUUGACUUGGUUGUUCUCUUGCGUCUAACUUUUGUAGAUCUUGUGCACGUGAGAGUUAGUUUUUUUUUGUUUUUUUUUUGUCUACUACAAAUAAUUCACAUAGAAUUAGUUUUAAAUAAUAUUCUUUGAAGUUAAUUUAUAAAUAAAUUUUAUAUUAAUAAUUAAUUACAACCAUUAUAUUAUUAAUAAUAUUUGACUUUUGUCAUAACUAUAUAUAAAAUUAUUCAUUCGGAUUGGUCAUGAUGAGUCAACGUUGUAUAAAUAAAUUUUAUAUUAUUAAUUAAUUACAACUUUUAAAUCAUUAAUAAAGUUUGACAUUUCUCGUAACAACUUAAAAAAGUAUUCAUGUGAUUGAUUAUGAUUAGCAUAUCGUGUAUACCUUUUUACAUUGUUAAUACAUAAAAAUUAAACUCAUACUUUUUUACUUAUUCAAAACAUUCGACAUAACAAUAUUAGCAUUUUUCAAUUAAAUUAAAAUGUUAGGAUGCAAAAAUUAGUUUUUAAUAAUAUUCUUUGAAUUUAAUUUAUAUAGUAUAGAAAAAUUUUAUAUUAUUAAUCAAUUUGUAACUAUUAAAUCAUUAAUAAUAUUUGACUUUUGUCAUAACUAAUUAUAUAGUCACUCAUAUAAUUAUUUAUGAUUAGACAAUUGUGUAAAACUAAUGUCAAUACAUAAAAAUCAAUCUCAUAUUAUUUUGCCUCUCUAUCUCUUUGAAUUUUACUUCUCUUUUCAUUAUCUUUUAAUUUUCUAAGCAUUUUCUCUAUCUUAAUUACAAGAGAGAUACAAAUGAUUAAUAGAGAUUAAAGAAGAUUUAAACAGGUAAUGGAAGUACAAGUGAGUUAGUAGCUUUAAUAAUAUUAAUAUAUAGAAGUUCAAGUUCGAAUCUCAAAUUUAUCAUUUUACUAUAAUUAAGGUGUGUGCACAUAGAUUAGAUUAAUUGAUCCCAAAAAAAUUAGAUUUAGAGAUCAACAUCCCUUUCUCCGAGACAUAAUAGCUUCACUACGAGAUGUUAUUGUGCAGUGGUACUAUGUUAUCACUUUCUACACAUAUUUUCAGAGUGUGUUUGGUUCUAAGAAAAAAUUGAGAAGAGAAACAAAAAUAGAAAAAAAAAAUGUGAUUAGGAGAGAAAAGAACUAAAAAAUAAAGUAAAUUUGAUAUAAUGUUUUAUAUCAGACUACCAAGAGAGGAGGAGUAGAAGAGAGAAUUUUUUUCUUCUUUUGUUUGGUUUGAUAGAAAGAGGGAAGAUAUAAAUCAUAUUAUUUUCUAUUAAAACUGAAUUAUUAUUUUUUAAUUUAAUUAAACAAUUUAAUUUAACUUUUACUGUUAAACUAAUUCAAAUAAUAGAAUUAUUUAAGUAAUCUAAAAAACCAAAUUAGCUAAAUUAAAUAAUUAAGUUAGUUUAAAUUAUUAUUAAUCUAACUAAAUCCUUAUGGGAUUAAAUUGUGGGUUAGAUGCUAAACAAGAGAAUGAUGUGAGAAAAUGUGAUGCAGAUUCCAUGGAAAGUGAUUUUAUUUUAACUAUAAAUCUUCUCAUUAAAUACUAACAAAAAGUCAAUUUGUAAUAAACAGCCAAUGUAGAAUCAUAUUCAUAGAAAUAAGAAUACUCGUGUCUAUUAUAAAUUCGAGAUAAAAACAUUUAUGAUAUAGAGUCUUUUAGGAAUAGAAUAACUUUCAAUAUUUCAUAAGGAAUUAUUUUCAUGUUAGAGGUUGGAAAAAUAAAUUCUCAUAAAUUUCAUAUACAUUUUUUAAAAUUAUUUAUAAUUACUAAUCUUUCUAAGAAAUUAAUUAAUUAGAUGUGUGCCGAACAUUUUUUUAAAAAAUAUAUCAGUAUAUUCCAAAAAAAACUAUUUCUGCUGUUCAUCACUAGAAACAAACACUUCCCAUGGAACAUGAAGGAUCGCAUAAAAAGUGGUCUUUUAAUAUUUUUUGGUAAAUGUUAAUAAAUAUUCUUGAUGUAUUUUUUAAUGAUCUAAAGAAAAAAUAUUAAUCCAUUGGAAUGAAAAUAAGCAAAAAUAGUACUUACUCAGUCUUAUUUGCGAUUUUUCUCUAUAUUAAAAUAAUUGUCACUUCUUAAUACCAUAUUGUUUCCAUUUAUAUACUUUAAUUUAUUAAAUUGCAUUCCACUUGAUUACUCCACUAAUUAUAAUUAGUAGGAAUAUAUUACUUAGUUACUCCACUUCUAUACAGUAUUUAUAAAUUAUAAAUAGAAGCUAAUACGUAUAGAAUUUAAGAUGUCAAUUAAAGUUUAAAAUUAUGAAUAUAAAUUAGAAUGUCAAUUAAAGAUAAAAAAAGUUAAUUUUGUAGAAUGUCAAUUAAAAUUAAAAAAAAUUGUAAAAGUAGAGUAAAAGAAAUCCACAGAAAUAUUUGGUGUAUGGGAAAUUAUAACAAAUGCUUUGAUAGCAUUUUUUUUACGAUGAAAAUCUUGAAAACUCUCAUUCUUGAAUACUUUCAUCCUCUUCACAUGAGAUGCAUACGAUGCCUCCUAACUUUCAAAUGAUCCAAUUUGUGACCAAACAGAAAUUUUCUUGGAUCUCUCAUAACAAAAUAAGGGUAUAGCAAUGAAGCAAAUUAGAGGUAGAUUUUGCCUCUUCCACUCUACACCACAUCCAACUAAUCGGAGAAACUCACAUUCGUUCUCAUUUCAUAACGGAUAUGAAAUUUAGGUCCUCAUCUUCGCUCGCAACAGAGUUUGGGUUUCUCCGUCUAUGCUCGCACCUAUUAAUAUAUAUAAAAUUAUAAAUUUAAAAAUUAUAUCUAUUAUAAUUAAUAUAAUAAAAUAAUUAUUAUUAGACAAUAAUAAAAUUAAAAAACAUUUUCUAUAGAAAUAAAAUUAUAAUUUUUAAUAUUUAAAAAAAUAUUAAGUAUAUUCAAUAUGUAUAUAUAGAAAAUUUAAAAAUUAUUAUAAUAUUAUUUGCAGAGUGAAUAUUACCGCUUCAGACCCGUCCCUAUCUCGAAAUUUUAAUUUUAAAGAAAAUCCACAUCCUUAAUUAUAAUUAAUAGAGAUUACUUCAAUAAAAAUACUAAUACCAAAUAAGUACCAAGUACUUUCCUAUUUUAGAAGUAUCCUUCAACAUUAAUAGAACCUUUUUUUUUUCUUUGAAGACUGGUCCAUUAUUAAUUAGUCUUUAUCAUACAAAAAUAAUAGUUCAAUGCAAUCUUCUCAUUCAUUAAUAAAUGGUUGUUACACUUUAGUUAACUUCAAGAGAAUUCAAGUUUAAAUUAUGAAAUAUUUGUUAGUCUAAUUUUAUUUCACAACUAAAUUCUAAAUUAUUAAUAAUAAUUCAAUGCAAACAAUGACCACUUAAAUAAGUAGGGAUAAACAAAAUCAGUUGACCCGAUCGAACCCGAGUCAUACGAAUGAGAAAAUUUGAUAUGUGCGCAAAUUGCAUUGAAUCACGGGUUUGCAAAUGUGGAUGUAUACAAGUUUGAGUGGUCGAACACAGACGAAAAUAAAUAAACCUACAAUCACCCAAACGCGAUAGCUCCACUAAUCUUAGUUACAAAAACUCAUAUUUUUUAGAGUGAGACUCUCAAUGUUGCUUAGUCACCACACCAUCAAUUUGAUAAAUAGGUUGUUCGAUAAAAACAUAGUCAAACAUUAUCAAAAACAUUGAAAACUUAAUGCAUUUUUCUUAUAAAAAACACUUUGAAAAAAAUAAAUAAAAAAUUAAAGAAAAUAAACAACCUAAUAAAUAAAUAAAUAAAUAAAAAGCUCAUCACCCGGACCAAGCCACCAUAUAACCUACAAACUCGGCUAAAUCGAUGCCAAAAAAUCAAUUGAGAUAAGGUUUGUAAUUCGCAAGUUCAAGUUUGAAUGGUUUGAAAAAAUUAGCUAGAACCCACUCAUAUUCGAUCGAUACUCAGCCCUAAUGAUAAGCAAGGUUUCUCUAAGGGUAAGAUUUCUAAAGAAAUCGCUUUAGGCCACACAAAAAAAUUCAAAUUUUACUUAUUAAAAUGACCUCCAAAAAUUUUUUGUCCUUAAUAAAAAAGCUUCAUAUUCUCGUAUUUUUAAAAUAUAAAAUUAAUGAAAUCUUAUCUAAAAUUAAUAUUGUCUCAACAAAUAUUAAAGUAAUUGACUUAAUUAACAAUAAAAAAAGAAAUAUUAUAUAACAUCAUUUAUAUUAAUUUAAUAAAUUACUUUUCUUCUUAAAUGUCUAAAAGUUAUUUUUUUUAAAUUAAUAAUUUUACUAAAACACUAUUAUAGACUCAAAAAAACAUCAUAAUAAAAUUAGCUUUAAGUUCAACUGAAAAUUACCGAUACUAUUUCCCUGAAUAUCGUGUUUUGAGUUUAAAUUUAAAACUUCAUAGUUGUAUGUAAAUUUUUUUACCGCUUACUUUACCUAAAAAAAAAUAAAUAGCUUCAAGUCACCUUAUAUCUUUGGUCGGUCCUGAAAAUAAGUCACUUUUUUAUAGAAAAUGGAACGUUUGCACAUUGUUUUAUGGAGUCCUACUAAAUUUAAGGAUAGAUCAUCUUUAUUAGAUAGUAAUCAAAAUAUAAGUAAAAGUUAAAAUAGAUUUGAUCCUAUUGAGGAAUACCAUCAAUCACAACAAUAUAAUGUGGAAAUACUAAAAUCGGAGAAAAAUCACAGUUGUUGUCAUAUGACAACUAAAUAAUAACUUUAUGUAAAAAUUAUUAUAAUAUAUAGACUUUUCUCAAAUAACCUCAAGAUUCAUGUACAUCCGGGUACACUCUCCCAAAAAAGUACUAUUGAAGCAAAAUCUCAAAUCAAAUAUUUUUAGGAUAAAAAAAUAGUUAAUCAAUCAAUAAUUAUGAUUCUGAAUUAUAAUGUUAUUUAACUUGUGUUUUUGAGUAGUCUAUUUAAAGAUAGAUGAUCAAAUAUAUUCAUACAAAAAUCACAUGUAUCUCUAUGAAAGAAAUCAAGAACAUCAUGUCUUACAUAUUGCUUAAAGUUGUUCUUGAAAGAAUCCUCAAAAUCAAUAUCGAAAUGAAUUGGACAAUGAUCAUAAGAACAUUAUGGAUGUUCCUUAUUAAAUAAAAAGUCAAGACAUGUCAUUUUCUACAAUCCAAACCACAAGUUUAGAGUGUCAAAACUACUCAAAUCAGUGGUUAAGCCCAUAACUCGAGUUGAAGGCCCAAAGAAGAAAAACAAUCUUUAGAUUGAUCUCCAGAUUAAUGAGCUGUGAGUAAAGACAACUGAGACACAAGUACAUUGUUGUUGCACAUUGAAGUAGCAAUAUCAAUCACAAGGAAGGUGGUUUGAAUUGUGAUUCCCUUUUAAAAAUUAAUUCAUGCUUUUAAUUUUAAACUAACUCAAGAUUAAUCUUGAUUAUAAAAAAAUGCAUAACGUUCUUAGUUAGUGAAAAUAAAUGAAACAUAUUAUUUCUACGUAAUUAGUGAUUGCGAGUGAAAAAUAAUUAAAGAUAAGGAUAAGAGAAUCACACAAUGAUAUAUUCUGGUUCACCCAAGGUGAGAUACAUCAAGUACUCACAAUUUGUGAGUUUUUCCACUAAUGUACUUUACACAAGAACGUUCUUGCUUUCACAAAUACUUUUUUGAAUACUCUUGAUCAGUUACAGUUUUUUCCUUUCAACAUUGAAAUGAUUUCUUAUAAUUACCUUUUAGUCCAUACAUGAUUUUUACACGUUACUAUCUAAUUACAAAAAGGAUUUUUACAAACCUCUAAAACUAUCUUUAAGAAUAUAGUUUUGAGUUUCAAAUGAAAUUAUAAAAGAAUGUUGAAGGAUCAGAAUCUAUUCAACACUUGUUUGAAAUUAAUUUUCAGCAAAAACUCAGUAAAAAGAUCAUUCAAUCUAGUGUAAGAGAACUGAAGCACUUGUUGUCUUCACCUUGAGGUUCUUCUAUUAGGCGUGAUAAAGGAUGAUGACAGCUUAUAUAGCUAUUAGUGAUCCAUCUGUUCAUAGUGAUGUAGACAUGUGUUUUAUUUUAACCAAAACAUUCAUGCUUUGUAGCUAGAAUAUUAUUCGUUUGUGCUUUGAGUGAAUACUCUGACUGAGAGCUUUUAGCAUUUGUUUGGUGUCAUAAGGUGCAACAUCAAUGUCCAUUUCAUCCUUGUUGACCUAGUUGUACUUGUUCAUAAGUCAUCAAUAUGGAGAUUGGUCUUGUUAUUGUUCUUUAUGUUGUUUUGCUUCUCUUGAUCUUUUGGGCUUGAGCAUGGCUCGUUAAUGUUUUGACUUGAUCUUGUUAUUGUCCUUGAUGUUGUUUUGUCAUCUUUAAAAUGAACUAUCCAAAAUGAUCUUGGAUUACCAGACUGUUGCUUUUUUGAACUAUAAUGUUAUUUUAUAUACCAUAAUGAUCUUGUGUUGUUGUAUAUGAUUGUCUAUCUUGGAAUAACACACUUAAGAGCACAAGUUAAAUAGAAACACAAUUAGAAUCAUAAUUAGAAAUUAAUUAAAUUGUUUGUUUAUCUUCAAAACAUUAAUUUGAAGUUUUGCCUCAACACACCUUUCUGCAGAAAGAUUUGCAUGCUUGAAAGCUAUAAGACUGAUAUAUCACAAUCUCACUUACUCAUUCACGUUCUCCAUGAAACUAAAAAAACAAGAACGUUCUAUUUAUCAAAAAAUAAUCUAGACAAAAUAUAACAUGUGCUUAAUAGACAUCAAUCAAAACUAAUAGUCUACUAAGGUUCUCUAACGGCUAUAUUCAAACUGAUAUAAGUCUUUCGAAUUUCUCUUCUUCUAUAAAAGGAACACCAAAGAUAAGACAAAGACAAGAGUUUUAAAAGCAAUCAAUCUACACUUGAUCAUUCAUACUCAAGUAACAAAGUUCUUCUCUCAAGAAAAACUUUAGCUCUCUCAUUAUAUUCAAGGAUCAUUUCACUGAGUUCUUGCUGAUAAUCAAUCUCAAACAAGUGUUGGUAAAUUUUUAGAUCCUAAACAUUUAUAUUAUAUGAUACACAUCAUUUGUAACUCAACUCUAUCUCUUAUGUUAUUUUGAGUGUGUUGAAAAAAUCCUUUUAGUUAUUGAAAGGUACUUGUAGAAUUCAUUUCUAGACUGAAAUGUGACUGUAAAAUUUAUUUCAAAGUUGAAAGGUGAAAGUUAUAAUUGACCAAGGGUGGUCAAGAAAGAUAGUGCAAAAACAUAAUGUUAUGGUGAUAAGCAUAUUAGUGAAAAAUCUCACAUAUUGUAAGUACUAGAUAUAGCUUACCUUUGGUGAACCUCGAAACAUCUUGUGUAAUCUUCUUAUCCUUGUCUAUCUUAUUUUUCAUUGACCGACAACAUGUUACUUAGAACUAAUCUGUUUUAUUUACUUAUAACAUAUUCAUAACGUUUUGGACAUUCAGUUUCAACCAAGAUUGAUCUUGAAUUAAUUUAAAUUAAAUACAUAAAUUAAGAUUUUAAAAAGGGAUCACAAUUCGAAUCUCCAUUUCUUGUGAUUGAUAUUGCUCCUUCAAGUACAUGAAUUAUAUUUCAUAGUAGUUUAACAAGAGAGUAUAAGAGAAAAGAAAAGAAUCAAAUAAAAACUUAAAUUAUUUAUGAUUGAUGCAUGUUGUAAUAAUAAUAAUAAUAAUAAUAAUAAUAAUAAUAAUAAUAAUAAUAAUAAUAAUAAAAAAAUAUACAAUAAAUUAUCAUUAUUGUGUUAUAUUUUCUUCAAAAUUAUAUCCAUAAAAUAUUUAAGAAACAAACAACUACUGAAAUACUUAAUUCUCUUUUAAUUGAUUGAUUAUUGAUAGAUAAUCUUUUACUUAUCCGAUUACUGAUAAGUAUUUGUAUUGUAUAUAAUUUAUGUAGAAAAUUAUGAUUAAAGUAUUAUAAUUUUUUUAAUCUAUUAUCUAGAAGACAUCUGUCCAUGUCCUUUGAGGUUAUAAUGUCAAACUUUUACACAAAAGGCAAAUCAUUAAUGAAAUAUAACAAAUAUUUGUCUCAUAAGUAAUUUCUAUAGUAAAUUAUAAUUAAUGUAUUAUAAUUUGUUUUAAAGAAAUUAAGAGCCACAUUCAUUAAUAAAAAAUAAAUUAAGACACAUUAUUCAUAAAAUACAUAUUAAUAUUUUAACUAAUUAAUUUGUGAAACACUAUUUAAUAAAACAUUGACCAAUGACACAUUUAACACUUCAAAGAAAUUUGACAAAAUAUAAAGGAAAAUUAUUAAUUAAAAUAAUUAAUAAAAGUUAUUUGAUGAAAAAGAAAAUCAAUUAAGAAAGAUAGGACAAAGUCAACAAAAGUGAAGAAUUUAAAGGUAGAGAAACCCUACCUGUUUUAGUAGAUCUGCAUCUCUUCAUACUACUGUCAUCCCUAAAUCUACUGUCAUCCCACCAAGUUGACAUUGUAACAUGUUUUUGGUGAAACUUAUGACAGUGUAACAAUUUACUUGGAAAGAUUUUCAUAUUAAAAUACUUCCACUUAAAAUUGUCAUUUUUAUUGGUGUUUCUUUAAGAACUAGCAUUCUACGUGCCAAUUUAGGUCAAAUUUAUAUUUAGGUAAAAUUUAUAUUAGUUUUAUUUAUUAAUAAAGAGGUAAGAGAUUUUUUAAGUGAAUAAGUAGAUAUAUUUCUAGAAAAUACAUCUUAUUAACUAAGAUUUAAUCUUAUUUUUAUAACAAUGAUUUACUUCAAAAAUCUCUCAUUAAAUAAAAAUGAACACAUUUUAAAAAAUAAAAACAGAAAAUAUUUUCAGAUUUAUCUAACUUUAUACAAUUAGAUACACAAUUAUCCACUAUUAAAACAAGAAUUAAAGUAAAGCAGUAGACUUUAAGUCAGGCAGAAAAAUAGGACUUUUAGGUGGAACUCUCCAUGCUAAUAGGACUUUUAGUUUUGACAUAUCAUAUUCUUCAGUUCAGAUUUCAUGAGUCUAUAUUUCUAGAUACAAAAUUUAAAGCAAACCAAGGAAAACAUAGAUUAAAGAAUACUUAAGAGGAAAAAAUACAAACAGCAUCAUCGUUUUGAAUCAAUAUUUUGCUCUAUGUUAACAAAUGUUAGCCAACCUAGUUGCUCACCUAUUGGCUUUUCAAGGAUCAUACCGUAACUAAUGACUUCAGCAGUGUCAUAAUUCCUAUAAGAACCUGUAAGUUGCUUCUGAAUGAAGAAAAGUCCACCUCCAAGGGAGAAAGUAUGAAAGAGCCAUGUUGAAUUCCUCUGAUUUGUUCAUGUAAUUAGCAUAAUCUGCUAAAUAAUGGCUGCUUCACAAGACUUCCUCAGGUAAGCAGAGUAUCCUUAAUAAAUAUGCUGCAAACGAUUUAAGGGUCAGAUGCAGUCACUGGAGGUGGACGGUGAUUUCCUGGCCGUGAUGUCCAUCCUUUGCGACUCCUGUAAUCCUCUAUGGCCCGGAGUCUAAGUCUCUCAUGAGAAGCAUCCUGUGAAAUCUUGGAAGCCUGUACACAAGCAAAACAUUUUCCACACAAUAAUAAGUAUAGCAUGAUGAUGAUCCAUUGAGUAAAGCUGAGAACUUCAAGUACUUACUUUUGGAAUGAAAGAUAACUUUGGUGGGGCUUGUACAAUAUCUCCAAAUUUUAUUUUUUCUUGUCCUGGAAAUUCCAAAUUAUCAUCUUCUUGGCUUUUUUUGUGCUUCUUCUUUUUCGAUUCCAAAUACCUGAUGAAUUUACCAUGAUUAAGAUUAAAAUAAGCUAAAGUUGUGUGUUAUGUUAUUCAUUCAGUAAAUAAAUUUCAAAAGUUCAACUUCAAUUGCCAUAUAUUGCACAACAAAUGUAACAAAAAUGUAUUCAUAUAGUUUAUGAAUGUUGGUGGUACAUAUACAAUACAACAACAAUCAAAUCAUUUUUUUCACUAGGUGGCACAUUUGUACAUGUUCAUAAAAGUACAGACAACAAACAUUGAAGUAAUAUUGACUUCUGUUGGUUGUUUUCCUGUCUUGCAGUCAAAUUCUAACUGAACAAAAGGCCAUAGUGCUUGAUUUGAACUCCAAAAUAUGACAGUUUGUAGGAUCAUUGAAGAAUCGUGGAUACAAUCACUCGUAUUUCAAUAUCUCAAAGAUUUAAUACUCGUUUUGAAUGCAUCAUUUACAAUUUAAAGGAAAUCAAUGCAACACUAAAAAAUAACUGAUUGAAAAAAUAAAUUAAACUGGUAAUAAAAUCAUGUAGAGAGUACAAAGCGCAUCUCUCUAGUCUCUACACACACUAAAAUGUGCAAAGAAGGAGUAGGUUUUAAUUCACUUACUUCUUUUUACGCUCCCGUCUUUUUAGUUGGGUGCUCGUUUUAUCCUCUUCCAUCGCAAACCUGAGAUCUUUAACCUCUUUCCUCUUUCUUUUUUUCUUAUUCUUAUCAUUUCUAUCAAGCUCUUCAUCACUGUGUUGAGGUGCCUUCAAUUGUUCACUAGUAUCCUCCUGUUUCACCUGAGAAAUUCCAAGAUUAUCUUCCAUCAUUUAAAGGAACAUUCUUUCCAAAUAUCCAUUCAAUACAAUAAAUAUCACUACAAAAAUUUUAAUCACUUGUUAGUUAAUUUGUAUUUUAAUGUUGACACACCAUCACAUAUACUCUUGUUAGGGGUUGUCGUUUCGUUAUGGUGGCAAUUAGCUACUUUUGUCCCCCUAUGUUUCUAAAAAACCACAGUCCCGUCUGGAAGUACACACCUGGAGGACAAAAUACCGUGUUUUCUCCUUAUGUGUAUUUCUGAAGUGUAUGUGGGAUGAAAUAGCAACAAAAAAAAACGGGGUUUUCUCUGAAUGUGUACAUCUGAAGUGGAUGUGGGGUGAAAAAAUAAGCUUUCAAAAGUUAUUUAUAUCCUCUGUUGCAACCUAUGAAGCACAUAUACUGACACAGACACUCAAACUGACAUUAACAUGUUGACACCGAUAAUAAUUAGAGAAAAUGAAUUAAUUGAAAGUAACCAAGGUGACUGUGACAUGUCGGACACCCUUCAAUCAGAUGUGCCAGUGUUACAUUGGUUGCAACUAGAGCCAAGAGUUAACAUAAAUUGGAAGGACUACAUUUUAAAUAAAACCAACAUCAACAUUUAAAAUCAACAUCAACACCGAAUAUGCAAAGCACAAUAAAUCCCAUAAGAAAACUUCACAUGCCAUGCUCAACCAACACAAUGAUUAUCAAUUUAUUCAUCAUUACAUCAAAGAAUCCAAUGAAUGCAUCAUGUGUUCACAUUGAAAUAUCUAUAAGACCCCAUUAACAAACUCAAACUCAUCAAACAACAUUAUCAGAGAGAAGAAACAAACACAAUCUUCUGACACACUUAUCACUCACUCAAUAAACUUCACAAACAAGCAAUUUUCGUUAUUUAAUAAUAAAUAAACACCAUUUAUGAAAAUAAAAAAACUAAAAAAAUAAGAAGAAAAAAAAAACAUUAUAAAGCUUACAUUUGUUACAUGCCCAUCCUUUUUUACAUGCCCAUCAUCUAAUUUCUUGUCUUUUGGUAAGCCAGGAGAAUCUGAAAAGAUGGGAAUGAAAUGAGAAAGAGAAAAGUAGAAAGUGAAGUAGAGAAGAUGAAAGGGGAAGAGAAAGAACCGUUUUGGUGUUUAGUGAAAGAGAUAAUUUGUCGGAGUUUGAAUGGCAAAGCAUCGAGUUGAGAGGAUUUUGGCGGUGGAGGGAGAGCAGUGUAGCCACCAUGCGCAGCUUUGUAGUUCUUCUCUCUCCUUUUCCUUCCCUUUCCUGCCAUUCUCUCUCUCCGUCUCUCUCUUUCUCUCUCUCGCUCGCUAAACCCUAAUACUAAUUCACUCGGGCUCUUACCAAUUUCCCUAACGAUGUCGUUUUACGAGUUUUAAGUUUUUUUUUUUAUUUCAAAUCCAGUUGAUAACGAUAAGUCAAGGUUUUUAUUUUAUUUUUAUUUUUAAUAACUGCUUAUAUUUUAUUUCUGAAAAAUUAGUUUACAUUCAAAGUAUCCGGCCCGAGAGACACCUAAAACCUUGCUUUAUGCCUCGUCAAAAAAAUAUCUUUUUUAUUUUGCUUUUAUAAGAUAUAAAGUUCCAUUAAUAUAUUAUAAAAAGUCUCUUAAUACAACAGAAAGAAGUUUUAAUUUUUAAUUUUUUGUAGAAUCAUUAUUUAUCUGGAUUUAUAUGUAAAAUAUCACAGAAAAUGUCUUAACUUUUGCUAUCAACUGAUAAAAUUUAUAUAAAUUAAAAAAUAUUAGUUAAAAAUUAUGAGACAAAAGUGAGCACAUUGUUCAUACGAGAAAUAUUAGUUAUAAAUUAAAAAAUCAUGAAAACAUAUUGCUAACAUGAGUUAUUGGAGUAGUAUAUACGCUAUUUUCUUCUUCAACUAAAAUAUGAAAAAAUUUACAUGAAUUCUUGAUGUUGCUAUAGAACAGUUAAAAUAUCUUAUUUUAUAUUUUUUAAAAAUAUAAAAAAAAUAGAUUUGAAAAUACUAUUAAUUCUACUAAAAAAAAUUUAUAUAGUUAUUAAAUAAAAUAUUAAUAAUUUAUUUAUUAAUUUUUGAAAAUAUCAUGUCUAAUAGUUUCGUUUAGGUCUCAUAAUAUAUUGGGUCAACCCUAAAAGUAUAUAUAUUUAUUUCUUGUUUUUUAAGUUUAAAAACCAUGCAUCCUCGUCAUUUUUACCAUGUACACAUAUUUAGUAAUCAAUUUUUGAAAUUAACUAUUAUAUAUUUUAUUUUUAUUGGACGUCAAUGUUAUUUUUCUUUUUUGAAACUAAUAAGUCUGUUAGGUGUUGAAAAGAAAAUGUAUUUGGAAAAUAUCAACAUCUUUUAAAAAAUAUAAUGGGAGAUAAGAUCAUUGUACAAAUUUUGACUCAGUCCAUUAAUCUAUCCUAGUAUGUAAAUUUUGGGUUGGAUCUGAUUUUAACUCGUAAAACUAAAUAAUAGAUGAGGUCAAAUAGGAAUCAAUUCAAAAUUGACUUUUGAGUUAUUGAUCUUGUCCAAAAAAUUUUAAAAGACACGUACUAUUAUUUUUUAUUCGUUAAUUAUAUAUUUUUACUACAAAUUCAUACUUAUUAUCUCUAAAAAAAAUAAUAUUCUUACUACAUUUUUUUCAUAGACGAAUACUUAUAAUUUCAUACAUAAAUGUUAAAUUUCUAACACUUUAUUUAUUUAUUUAUUUUGGAAUCUUCUUUUUCCUUUUCUCAUAAUCAUUUAACUUCUGCAUUUCAAAAAUUUGUAUUGUGUUUAAAAUGAAUUGAAAACAUUUAUAGUCAAACUUUAUUCAAUAUCAAGACUUUAUUAUUUAAUUAAUAGUUUCUUUCAAGAAUUAAAUGCAUAUGUAUUAUUAUUUGAUGCUCAAUUUUUUUAUAGUAUUACAGAAAAAUUAAUUUUUUAAUCGAUUAUUUUUACUUGUUGAUUAAUAUUGUUUCAAAAAAAAAUAUGAUUUAAAUAUGUUUUUGUUUCUUGCAAACGUGUUUUGUUUUAAUUGUAGUCCAUAUAAUUUUUUUUCUAUCAUUGCAAAUUCUAACAAGUUUAAAAAAAUCAUUUAUGAAUUAUUUUUUAGUAAAAAAAUGGUGACAUGACUUAUUUUAGAUUAAGUAGUACUUGGUGACGGUGUAAUUGUUGUUGACUAGACAAUAUUUAAUAUUUAAAAUUAAAAUUUAUGUUAUUAACUCAUUUAAUUAAAAACUUAAAAUUAAUUAACUAAUAAACCAAUUAAAUAAUAAAAAUUCAAUAAUCUUCAUCUUCAUUCCCAAUUUUUUUUAAUAAAAACUUAAUAACGUUCAUCUUCAACCCUAAUUUCUUCAUCUUCAAAUCGUAAAUUCUCAAAUUUAAAUCCAAAUCCUCAAAAGUACAAUCUCUCAUUUUCUUGUAUGACACAUAUAAUUGAAAUAUAUAGUUUAUUAUCGGAUUUACUUAUCAUGAAUAGUGAAGAAGUAAGUAACAAUGUACAAUGACUUGGAACAAAUAUAAAUUCUCCUAUUUAUUUGUGAUGUGCUUUUUAUUUUAUUUUAUUUUAUUAUGUUUUCAUUCAAGUGUUGCUUCUUGACGGCUUCUAUCGUGACUGACUUCAUUAUUUUUUUAUCAAACUCAUAAGAAAGUUCCUAAAUAUUUUAUAUUCCAGUCCUAAAAAAUGUAAGUAUUUGAAUUGUUGAAGGAACAACGACCGAAGGCAACCGUGAACACGCGCUUAGUUGAGUUUAUGACCGUUUUAAGGCAAUAAUAUAUUGGAGGAAUAAGUAGCCUGUUUUUCUUCAAUCUUCUUCUCUCUUAUAUAAUUUAUGUAUUUUCAAUUAUAGGUGUGAUGUAAGAAAAAUAAGAGAUUAGAAUUUUUAGGGUUUAGAUUCAGAUAUGAGAAUUUGUGAUUUGAAGAUGAAGAAAUUAGGGUUGAAGAUGAAAGUUGUUGAAUUUUUAUUAAAAAUUUGGGGUUGAAGAUGAACAUUAUUGAAUUUUUAUUAUUUAAUUGGUUUAUUAAUUAAUUAAUUUAUUUUAAAAUUUUAAUUAAAUGAGUUAAUAAAAUGAGUUUUAAUUUUAAAUAUUAAAUAUUGUAUAGUCAACAGCAAUUACACGGUUACUAUCUGCCACUUCAUUCCAAAAUUAGCUAUGUUACCAUUUUUUUACUAAAAAAUAUUCAUAAAAGACUUUUUUUAAACUUGGUAGAAUUUGCAAAUGUAUAAAUCAAAUAAAAAGAAUGAAAGGGACUAAAAACAAAACGAAAUAUAUUUGCCAGAACAAAAAACAUAUUUAAACUAAAAAAUACUUAUACAUUACUAUUCGGUGACUUAUCUUCAUACUAAUUAAGUCUUGUCUUUAUAUUAUUUCGUUCUUAUUGAACUUAUUUCUCUUCGAGUUUAGAUCUAAAAAAUUGGUCUGGUUUAAUAUUAGGACCGAGAAAAAGACACACACAAUCGAACCACUUUGGAAUUGAAUUGGUUUAGAAAAAUUGAGAACAAAAGAAGAGCUUGUUAACCAGACUAUGUCUUGAAAACUAGAAGCAAACUAAACUAAGUGUUCCAAUUCAAAAUCAAAUCUCAGUUAAUUUGUCGAGCAAUCUUUCACUUCAGUCUUUCUCAAUCUUCUCUCUCUCUUCUCUCUACCUCCAUUUUUUUUUAUUUUUUAUAAUUGCAAACGUUAAUUUGUUAGUAAAGAUUAUUGGUAAUGUGGUGUGUGGGAAUAAAACUUUCAACCUUCUUAUCACUUAACUCUAUAACUCUUCCAUCUCAAGAACUAAACCACCUUAUAUCCUCUCUUUGCAAACUCUUUUAUUCCAUCCUUUAAUUAAAUGAAAAUAGUUAAGGAUUUAGACUAUCACAUAUACAAAUGAAACGCAUCACUUAUGAUCUACUUGGUUCAAUAGAAUGGAGCAGAAUGAUUUUAUGAAGGGGAGGGAAUGAGAGAGCUGAAGUGGAGACAUACUUGGUUCAAAGGAGGGGAGAUGAGAAAUAUUUAUUAGGUUUGUGUUUGGUUCAAGGGGAUAGAAAUGAUGUUUAAUAGUUUUUUAGUUAUAUGAAGUACCCAUUUUUCCUCUCAAUCAUUCCAAAAUGGAGGGAGAGCAAAAUGAGUUAUAUGAGAUAUUUUAGCUCCCUCUCAUCUCUAAAGAUGAAAUCAAACACAAAAACUUCAAAGUAUUAUCUCUCUUCCCCUCAUCUUCAUCUACUUCCAACCAAAUACACCCUUAUAAGCCAAUGUUUUGGUGGUAAGAUAUUGAAUGAUUUUUGACAUCUUAUGAACUCAAGGUAUUAUAUUGAAUGGUUUAUGACCAUUUGUAAACUCAAAAGUAUUGAAUGGUCUAUGAUGGUCAUUAGAUAUCUUAGUUUGAUUAAUUAGUUGAAUUGAUUUAUGAAAUUUUUUUAUUUAAGUAAAUUGAAUGAUAGUUAUAAUAGAGAGAAUUUAUAACAUUAAUGGUUACUUAAACUUAUAUAGUUAAUUACACAAAUAAUUAACUAACUUAAAAUAACUUAUUAAUUAGUGUAACUAACUAACAAACUAAUGUAAUUAAUUAACCAAAUUAAGAUAUCUAAUAUCACACUAAAACGUGUUUAAUACAUUUCGAACUUAAAAAAUUUCAAAAAAUAAAUGCCGAAAAAAAUAUCGGUUAAAAGGAAUUUGUAAUUCUGAAAAUUUAUCAACGAAAUAAUAUGAAUUUUUUGUUUGACUAUUAUAUUAUAAAUAGAAGCUAACAUGUAUAAAAUUUGAAAUGCCAAUAAAGUUUGAAAUUAUAGAUGUAAACUAGAAUGUCAAUUAAAAGUAAAAAAUCUUAAUUUUGUAGAAUGUUAAUUAAGACUAAAAAAAAGAAUGAAUUUUUAAAUAUAAGUAGACUAAAAGAAAUCACCAGAAAUUUGGUGUGUACGGAAAAUUAUUUUUUUACGAUGAAAAUCUUGGAUACUCUCGUUCUUUGAUUUAGGUCUUUCAUCCUCUUCACGUGAGAUGCAUACCAUGCCUCCUAACUUUCAAAUGAUCCAAUGUGUGACCAAACAGAAAUUUUCUUGGAUCUCUCAUAACAAAAUAAGGGUAGAAUAAAUAGUAAAACCAACAAUUAUGCCUUAGCAACAAUCCAUCUAUUUUAACCGUAAACAAAAAAACAAAAAAACAAAAAAAAUCAUCUGUUUAUCUAACAAACUUUAAAACUUUGACAAUUACGGAGGUAACAAAACAUCUUGAAGCCGGUGAUAUAUGAUCUCGUGCAUUGCAUGAACGUUGAUUUUUUUUUUCUUCCCAAUCUUUGAUCAAGUUCAUCUAGAAAGGUAAAAACUUGUCCAAGUCUUCCAUGAAUUAAUAAAUAUAUUAUGAUACUAUAAUACAAAUUAAUUUUCCAUGGUUAUUGAUUUAAAUAAAUUAAAUAAUAUUGAUAAUUGAAAACAUUUAUUACAUCAAAAGUUAGAUAGAUUUAUAAAGUCAGUUAAAUAAACAAUGAUUAAUGUAAAAUAACUACUAGUAUAACUAUUUAAUGAAUUUAAAUAAGUAAUCAAAAUAAGAUAUCUAAUAAUAGUUUAUUACUUAUUCUCAUUUAAUGUCUUAUAUCUAAAUCAUUUAAUUGUUACCUUUGGUUGUUGAUGUGAUUUUGAGAAGUAAUUUUUUAUCUUCAAUGUUUAUUCAUGAGUUGGUUCUAAUUACAGAAGUAAAUAUAGAUAAAACAACAAAAACAUCUUUUUAUUUUACAGAAAACAACACAGAAACGUAUUCAUUACAUUACACUGACAAAAUAUUGAACACUCAAACCUCAGCCAAAUCUAAUCGCUCUAAGCAUCUGAAAAGCAGCAGCCUCACAAGAAAGAAUAGCUACUGUAUUUUCAUUCUCAAAUAAAAAAUUAAAAAAAAGUUGUGGGACAAAAAUGGCUCAAACCUCAGUAGGAACUCAGAAGCUUGUCCAAUAUCAACAUCGUUACACAACUGGAGGAGCAAAAAACCCUCCACUAAAUCUAAGAACCUAACACUGGUGGUAACAAUUGAAAGUGUCACAUGACAUCUCUGGACCAUACCAAAAUGCUUACAAACAAGUGUUACAACCUCAAUCUAACUUUCCUAAUUGACAUUAUGUAUAGAUGAUCUGUAAUCCAUAUAUGUAUAACCUAAAAGCUAUGAUUUUAUAAGAGGCUGAAGCCCAUUACCUUCCCAACCAAGCUUGAGCAUUUGAUCUACCACUUUCAAGCUUAACUGCAAGAAAAAAGUUGAGUAUUUAUAACCAUGGAAAAUAAAGAGGAAACAGGACAAAAUAUGUUUAAGGCCUAAUUGAGAGAUUUGAGGUACAAUAUUUUAGUUUAAAUGCAUUUCAUGCACAAAAAUUUCACAACUCGUCAAGGAGAGCAACCUGUUGUUAAAAACUUAAAAUAUCAAAAUCAAAUAUGAUAUUGAUUUAAAGAGAGUAAUGGAAAUUCUACACAAGUUGAAGUCACACAACUUUUAAUAUUACAAAGCAGAAUACAUUGAUUUCUUUGCAGUUGGUCUCACGGUCUCGGUGGUACACAGACAUAUGAAAACUUGCUGAACAACAUAGAUAAUUUUUGGACUCCAAUUAAUGUGAAACUUUAUUUACUCAUUUUAAGAAAUCAGACUGCAAAGGAAAUACAUGAAGUUUAUUCCUUCUACCAGCUCACAAAAAUAAAAGAGGAAGAUUUAACUUACAGAUGGAUCAGUGAAUAUUAUCAAAUGUUUAUCCAAAGUUGAAACCAAAAGAUUUGUGUUAUCCUGGUUUAGAGUCAGAGCGGUGAUAUCCUGCCCUUCUCCCAGCUUUAACACAUGAAAUAUCUACAAAAAUGGAAUGGAAGAAUGUUUAGUAUUGAAGAAUAGUUUGCUAAAGACAAUAGUACAAAAUAAUAGUGACUAAAUAUUGACUAAUAAGGUAUGAUAAAUUCGCCUUGUUUCAUUAGAAUUCAAUUAUUAUAUUUAAAAAUUCAAAUCUUCAAAAAUCAUAUACGAUGAUUUUCCCAAUAGAAAAGGAAAUAAAUCUUGCGGAACGUUGGCUCUUUCUGAUAUAAUGCUUUCUCAUGGUGUACAAAAUGAGGAAUAUAAUCUAGCAAUUUAAUGUGAGAUCAAUGAAAAAUGGUACUUCUAUCUUUGACAUCUUAAUCCUGUACCUCCAGAGUGUGCAUAUCCAGGAAGCAAAUUGAUGGUGAUGGAAGAUCUGUUCUAUUGCUUUCGUCAGUUUCUUCUGAUUCUGAAUCAAAAUCAACACCUGACUUAUUCAACUGUGAAUUUGAACUGUUAUUAUAGGCUCUACCAUUUUCUAGAGAAUUAAUUCCAAUCAAAGCACUCAUCCCAUCAACAGAAAUUUGCAUGCAGCUGAUAUUGCAAAAGAAGGAGAAUUGUGCUCUUGCAAUUGGAGCACCAUUGAGAGUGAAGGUACUAAGGGUAUGUUGUGAUUCAUUCCAAGUCAUGACAACCCCUUCAGAUGAAAGACAGACAAUAUGGGCUUCCACACCAUCCAAUCUUCUAAUUAAACGUCCCCGUCUAAUGGAAUGCAAGAGAACAUCUGAUGAAUGGGAGCAAGAUACAACUAUUCCGAGAUUUGAGUUAACACAACAACUGAUAAUUUCACUGCGGUGCCCCCGAAGUACUUGUAUAGGACCCUCAAUACGACGUCUCCGAUUCUUUUCAAUCAAGUGUGAUGAACUAUUGCUGGUUGGAGAGAGUGCGCCUGUACCAGUGGAAUGUUCCGAUACGACAUUUGAGUGAGACACAAGAACCCUAUGUAUUCUCCACAAUAAUACUGUUGUAUCUCGUGAACCUGUCACUAGGUAGUUACUAUCCGGUGAAAGACCAAGGCAAGUUACAGGAGCACAAUGUCCAUAAGCUGUUUCUAAGGUCUUAGCUCCAUCGGAUGAUAUUAGCCUAAUACUAUUAUCAGCAUGCCCACCUGUAGAAAAUAAUAGGGUAAUGCUAUCAUGUUUUAUUCAUUGGUCAAGGACUGUUAAUAUGGAGAGAUUAAAAUCAAUUCUCUUCCUUGAAUAAAGGAAAGAUUUUAGGAAACAUAACAAAAAAUAAUAGAAAAUAAAAUCUGAACUAAGAUAAAAAAAGAAAGAAUCCUGCGGACUUUCCAACACCACCUAACCAAUAAGAGGUAAAUAUUUCAAAUUAGAUGCCACAUACACAGCAAUGAAAGUAACUACUACUAGUUGAAGUGCAAGUUUCUAAAUUUCAAUGCAACAGAGAGACGACAAAAAUAUAAUUAAAAAAACGAUUUCCCGGUAUAAAGGUUUUAGUAAUCAUACACACCCAAGGCCUUGGUUGCAUUGCAAUUUAAGUCAGCAAUGGUACACCAAUUGAUUUUGAAACAAUAAGGUUAAGAAUAAAAGAAAUGUAAAAAACCAAAUUAUUCUUAUUGUGAAUAAUUGUUUUCUAAUUUACUAAUGCUUCUAUAAUUGUAAAUUUUCAAUAUCUGGUUGAUGAUUUAAAUAAGCUAACUUGGAUACCGUUGGAGCAAAAAUUUCAGUACAAGUUUUGCAAUAUAUAGCUUUAGGGGUUCUCUCAUACUACAGAAAAUGGUUUCCUCUGUGCCUAUUUAUUAUAAUAACUUUGGAUAAUAAAUGACCAUUGUGUCUAAUGAUUUCGGUGUUGAGUAAAAGCUUCAUUUAAUAAUGAUGGAGCAGAUUUCCCAAAAUGCCUUCCACAGUUGAACUGAAUUAGAAAUUAGGGUUUAAAGUUUAAAAACAUAUAUAAUUGAAAAGAUUACUCUGUUGUCGUGGUUUCAGCUGCUUUUUUUAUGGUAUUUAAAUACAAAUAUUUAGAAGGGUUGAAGGAUAAUGAUUUUUAUAUCCAAGUCAUAGUAUCCUUCUCAUUCUUGUACUUGCAUCUUGUAAUUAUGAAUUUUCCUUUUCUAUUGAACAAAAAUGUUGCAUGUGCCUAAAUGCCCUGCGAAAUCCAGUUUUCUAUCUCUCUUUUUUUCCUAAGAAAUAGUAAGUGCUACAUAAUUAAACAUUACAACCUCUAGAAAAUCUCAUGCUUAUGGUACACUUCUAGGAGAGAUUCAAUAUAAUUGAUAAUUAAUUUUCAAUGUUGCAAGGCAAGAGUAUAACAAAUUAAUCACAAGAACUCUUCCAUUAAAAUUAAAAUAAAUACAAAGACAGCAUAUGCAAAUAAUUUCAGUUCUUCUAGAUUUACCAGUAAUAAUUUCUUUGUCACAUGUUAUAGAAACGACAGCUUGGCUUCUAAUUCCAGAGACAGAAAAUGCUACAGCUUGUGGGAAUUGCCACUCUUCACCAGUCGUGGCCGGUGCUUUGAACAUGCGCAUAAGUGUACCACCAGCAGAGCCUGUUGUUGGCUUUCUAUGUUGAAAAAGGAAAGGAGUGCCGUGACCAUCAGGUGUAUUAGGUUGCCACUUGUGUUGUGCAACAUGCGCUGCUGGUGCAUUCAUAUCAACAACCACAACCGUAUCUGAAGAUGCAUGAAUGGCAGCGGCAGGAAGAUUGCAACGCUCAGGUGAUGGAACAGCAUAGGGUUUGACUUCAUUUGGGUUGCGGAAUACUGUCUGAUAUGAAAAGAAUAUAUGCAUUGUUAUGCAUCAACAACAAAAAUAUAAUCAACAAUGAAGCAAAUAUGAAAUAACUGAAGCGAGGCUCAUCACAGAUUCAUAUUGUUUUCGCAUAUAUUCUACUAUUGAACAUAUCAACACUUUCAUGAACAAUAAUAGUCACAACAUUUCAAAGAUGAAUAGUAACAAAUAGUAUUUACUACUUAUACUGUUUUACAAAAAUGUUUAUUUAGAUCUCAUGUCCCAAAUCGCCCAAUACCUCAAAAAUUUAAACAUAUUCCUCAAAACGAUUACUAAGUAGAUAUAGUGAUAAAUGUCAAGUGAAGGAAGAAGUUGUUGGAGGUGAGAAUAUGAGAGAGAAACCGAUAAGGAAAUGUUUCUGAAAAGUAACUUUCUGUAUUGUGAAUCUCCAAAACUGUAUUCAAAUUUCAGUUUUGUUCCCUCAAUUUUGAAGAUUUUUUCCCUUUUGUAGACUAAAAGUGUCAAAAAUCCUAAAAAAUGAGGGAGAUGCACAUGCUCCAUUCGCAGAUGGUUAUACAACUGAAUAGUAAACAAUAAAAUAGAGUUAAGACUUAUUUAAAAUAGGAUUACUCAUAUUUUGUGACAUCUUGACAUUGGUUAGGGUAAAAAGACAUGUGUGACAUAUUUACAAGGAAAAUAAUAUAUUUUUUAUAUGAAUAAGAGAACAAUAUGUGUAUGUGUUUUUGUCAUGAGCACAAUUAUCUUUUUGGAAGUUGUGAUCGUCAUUUGCAUACAUGAUUAUAUAAUGUAUAGUAAUAUGAAAUAUCAAAGUAAUCUCUUUACAAAUUUUAUGCAAUUAUGUAAAAUAUGUAUAACUUUCAAAAAAUUAUUUUUAGGUAUCUAGGUCAGAACGCAUCUUUAACUUUCAGAUGUGUCGUAUCAAGUAUCUGGGCUUCAUAGGUAACGGCUAAAUGCAUCAACAUACGAGACGCAAUGUUUAUGUCAAGAAUUAGAAUAAAAUUAUAUUUAUUGAAACUUGAAAUAUAUUGGUAAUACAUCAGAUAUAUUUAUACUAGAUUACUAAACAACCAAAUCCUAUAAUUACUCAUAUAUAACUAAACUGAAUCCCUAUUAGUACUCCUAUAUAACUGAAUCCCUACUAGUACUCCUAUUCAACUAAAUCCCUACUAGUACUCCUAUUCAACUGAAUCCCUAUACUUGAGCGCUAUUAAACAGAAACAUAUUUUGACAGUUUAUUUCGUGGAAGAUCUCAUAGGAGCUGGACCCCACAAAUCACACAAAAUUAGUUCUAGUCGUGCUGAAUAAACUCAAGAAAAGGGCUGUGAAGAGAGUCUACUGGAUAUGCCACUACAUCAUGCUACACAAAAAUCAACUUCACUUUUAUUAGGCGUUGAGACAUUACCUUAAUACUCCCUCCUUCCCACAACGAGUGACCCAAUUGGCUAUUUCACACAAAUUAAAAAAAGUGUAUAAUGUGUAAAUGAAAGAGAAAGAAUAAUACCUUUACUAAAAUAUCUUUAUCAAGUAUUGAUGUAUUCACCAUAACCAUUGAUGUAAAGUGGAAAAUAUUGAAUUAGAAGUGGUGUAUGUAGUAUUAAUUAGAGGGUACAAUUGAAAAAAGUAAUUAAUGUUACAUUGUAAAUUGAAAAAGAUCAUUCAUUUUGGAACAAUUUUUUUUUAUCACUCAUUGUGGGACGGAGGGAGUAUUUGAUUUUGUGGAAGAGACAUGAAUGGAGCAGUUCAAACAGAUUGGCAAAGCUAUGAUAAUCAAGUUGCACUGCACAUUGCAUUGAAUCCAUUCUUCCAAGAAAGAGCCAAGAUUGAAGAAAUUGAUUGGCACUUUAACAGGAAUAAAAGUUCUAAGAGAAUUGCUAUAGGGUUUUGCAAACCCCAGUGAUAUAUUUUCCCUAGGUCUUUAUGAGAUCAUCAGAUUCAACUAAUUUGAAACAAGCUGGAUGCACAUCAUUUAUAUGCCCCAUUCAUGGAGAAUUAAUUCCUUUGAGUGCUGUCAUAUAACUAGUUUAUAUGGCAUGUAUAUAUUUUUUAAUUUAUUUGAGUAGUUGUCAUAUAGCUAGUUUCUUUAGUUUCCAUAUAUUGUGAAUUCACGGAUUAGCCUGAUGUCUUUUAUAUAUAAAGUUUCAGAUGUUACAUAAAGCCAAAUAAAACAGAAGGAUAAAAAACAAGAAGAGAAGAAGGGAAGGGGGGAGAGCACGUGCAAGCAUACAUGCAUGCUCAGUCAAGAACUCAAGAUGUAAUUAAUCAAUAAAAGCUGUCAAACCAAAAGAAUCGACAGGUACCUGCAAAUGCAGAACUUCUGCUAGUGGCAUUUUCUUCAAGUGGGGAACAGUCAAAAGUUGGGAUGGUGUUUGUCCAAAAUAUGCAAUUUGAUCUUGUGUGGCACGCUGUUGAACCUUUACUUGUCAUGUACAAAAGAAAAUAAUAAGUUACAUAAACACGGAAAAAAAUUCAACAAAGGGGGUUCCUUGUUGAUGUUUUCCAAAAAUCCAUUUUAAGAUAAAGUUCUGGUGCAUAAAGUUUCUGCAUAUUUAUCCAUAAAAUUUCCCACAUUUUUUUAAUGGCAUAUAUCAGAGAUGUAAUAUAAAACCAUUCAACUAUAUUGAUCUAAUAGUUUAUAUUUUGAGAGAAUUGGUUAAUGACAUGGUAAAGCAGUGACUUUCUCAUGCAACAACUUGUUGGAUGUUGUGGGUUGAAUAAUAAAAGUAGAUAGUCAGGAAAAUGAAAGAAAACGAUACAAAGUAGAGAAAACAGGGAGAUCCCACCACUCUGCCAGAUGGCGAUGGUUUUAGUCGAUAGACUUGUGCAAUUACUUUUAUGGGGGUGGCUCACGGUGGCCAGAAAACAGUUUCGAAUGCAGGAACAUAGACACAGCCACGGCCUUUGGAAGUUGGCAGUGGUGACCAAAGAAGGAGAUCGAUCAAGGAUAAAGAUAAGAAUCAUAGAUAAUGUUGAAAAUAAAAUAAUAUUAUGUUAAUAAAUAGAAUAUCUGUAAGUAUUUCUAUCAUUAUGUGUAUUUAUUACUCAUAGUCUAUAUAAAGAACUUUCGCUGUGUAGUUGAAACGCACAGGUUUUUCAACAUGUCUCUCAAUAUUCUCUUCUCAUUCAAUAGAUAAUAACAAUACUAUGGUAAAGUUUCAAAAUUUAGAGAACUUGGUAGCAUAAUAGAGAACUCACUUCAGGAGAAAAGGCUUUGGUGGUGGGGGUGGUUGUUGUAACGCAAGAAAAUGGUGUAAUAUACUAAAAAAAAAUUGCCUUAGUUUUCACCAUCUUUCUGUACAACUUGAAUUGAUGAUAAUACGGCCAAAUAUUUUUCUGAACAUGGUUUGCUUGCAUUAUUGAUAGACUCAUAGUAGGAUAGACACAUAAAUUAUGAUUCAGAAUAAUUAUCAUGUGCUUCAACACUUUCAGUAAAGAAGGGAAUCAUAAAAUCUAAACUAAGGAAUGUAUGAUUUUUUUAACGAGCUUUCUGAGGGGAUCGCAUUUAUUCAAAAUAAAUAAUUGAGUUGAAAAUAUGGAGAAGGAAAGGAGACAUACUGGGUCAGAGAUUUUAUCAAUAUCCACUGUCCCUUCAUAGGUAAUAUAGAAGAAAACAUUAUUUGCUGCAACAGCUUCUUUGCCCCGUUGUUUAUACCUGUGUGGUCCAACUCAUUAAUGUAACAAGAUGUACAAUACAAAGGAACUAUAAUUAAAUGCAUAUUUCAUAAAAUUAGUUAUAAAUAUAUUGGCGUAGCAAACUUAUAAAAAAAGGGGGAAACACUAAAAAGGCAAGAAGAAGCAGUCCAGAGAGGGCGUUAACAUCAACACCCUAAAAACUGGGUGAAACUGAAAAUAGUUAGAAGCCUACCCAAAUAUAAGGUCAAUCCACUCAUGUAAAUGAGAAGAUACGUAUUCACUCUCCAGUGCCUUCCGAUGCUUAUGAAUAAAAUCAAUUGGAUUUUCAGCCCAGGCAGGAAGUUUUACAGUAUCUGAUAUUGCAGAAAUAAGCUAUUAACCAUGAUAUGCAUUGGAGUAUACAAUGAAGUCAAACUGCUGCAGAAAAUCACAAUAAAUAUACCAAGCUUUCCUCCCAAUUGCGUUGUGCCAAAAUCAAUUGAAUUUUCAUUUGUGAGGACUUCAGGUUGGUAAAAUAGCUCAGGAACCUAAAAAAAGUAAAAAUAAAGAAACUUCUAAUGAUAUAAAUUAAAGAAAACCAUGAUAAGAACUUAAUAUUAAUAAAAGUAUUAAAUCUUGUUAAAAAUAUUAAGAAAUAAGCUAAUCAAGGCAUAUCAACCAGUCAAUUUAUUCUAAAGGAAUAUACAUACCAAUUCCUUCACAUCACUCAUGUCCUCAAGAACUCCAUUCCAAGUACCAGAAAUGUCAGAAAACAUCCGAUCUGCAUGGUCAAAUUUUCCACCUUGUAGUUGGAUAGCAAGGGUAGUGAAUGGUUCAACCCUAACAAGAUAAUACAAAACCUAUAAAAGAAGAUAAUAAACACUAGUUAUUGCAGAAUCAGCAACCAAAUACAACAGCAUAAAUAUACUGAACAAUUUUGCUGUUCUGUAAUGAAAAAAUUAAAAAGUAAAAAUCAGGCAUCAGAAGUCCUAGUAAUUUCAAUACACAAAAAGAGAGGCUUGAAUGACAUCGCAAAAAGAAACUGAACAGGCAGCAAAGGAGUAUUGAGAAGGAGGUCAGGGGUUCAAUCCCUGCUACUAACAUUUCCCCCUCCCCACUACCAAAUUAAACACUAACAUUCACCAAUCAAAAAAAAAAAAAGAAGAAAAGAAAGCAUAAGUUUUUCAUUUUGGGCCUGAUAUAUUCCAUAAACCUUACUGAAUCUAAUUUUUUUAUGGUAUUUGCUAAGUUGUUUAACUUUAGUCCACUUAUGUGUAAGUAACUGGAUUUAAGUUGCUUAAACAUUACCAUUCCUAUGGAACCAUUAUUAGCAAGUACAUAUCUUUAUAGGAUCAGACCUACUUUCCCUUUCUUUGAAAAAAAUAUAUAUAAACCCUAUUUAAUAAUUUUUAUGACAAUUCUUAGAAUUUGGGUUUGGUCUUAACCCCCAAAAACUAGCUCAUUGGGUGAGACCUGUAGAAUGUUGGAAGGAAGGACAGAAUGCUGCAGAUCAAAUCAUCUAAGAAAUUGUGCUGCCGUCUCUUCUUAGAUUUUGGGUUUGAGCCUACCUCAACCCCGAGAGCUAGCUCAUGGGGUGAGGAUUGGCUCCACUUAUAACCACUGUUUGUGCCACAUCACAAUCCACAUGGGACUCCUAACAAGAAUUGAUGGAUAAACAUAUUUUAACAUUUAAUAGAGACCGUUUCAUGGCUAUAAUAUACAAAAAUUCCUUCAAUUUGGUUGCAUGAUGCAAUCAACCCAAUAUGCUUGAGAAACCAUAGAUAAUUCUUUGUAAAAUUUCAGCCUUUGCUGACCUACAAUUUUUAGUAAACAAUAAAAACCUAAGUGGACUCUUGCUUGAAUCUGGCCUAGUAACCUAGCACAGCAUUGAUUUGACAAAUGAAACUCAGCAAGCAAACUAUCUGCCUAGGAUUCAACAUCAUUGAAGAAACCAAAAGAACCUAUCAGUUAGAAUGCUAACAAACUAUAAUUAUCAAGAAUGACUCCAACACCAUUGAAGAAACAAAAAGAACCUAUCAGCUAGAAUGCUAACAAACUAUAAUUAUCAAGAAUGACUCCAACACUAUUGAAGAUACUAAAAGAACCUAUCAGCUAGAAGCUAACAAACAUUAAUGAUCAAGAAUGACUCCUAACAAAGACGAGGGACCCACCGUUCCUGCACUUGAGUAAUGUGAUCCAUAAUGAAAUUUAGGGAUGAGUGGAUCAUCGAAGCUGGCAUAUCUCUCUUGAAAUCUUUUCAGACGAUCUGGGUUCAGUGCACCAACAGGCUGAUCAUAUCAAAAGAUUAAAUUAUAAACUUAAAUAUAAAUAUAAAUUUAAUACACGUUUUUAUUUUAUCUGACUAAAGCAAUGGGGUACAUAACACCUUUGAAAGGUCUCGAAAAGAAGAAGGAUUAGAAAUAUCCAAGCUCUCUGAAUUGUAAUCAGAAAGAAUCCAGGGGAACACCGGAUACUGCCAAGAAUAGGUAAAAAUAAAUUUAAUGAAUAAAAAUGAAGGUAGGACUAAAAUACUUCAUGGAAGAGAGAGAGAGAGAGCACCUGGGUAAUAUCAUUAUAACUACGCCCAGCCAGUGUAUUGAGUUGCAUUAGAUAUUCAAAAUUGCUGAUCUGCACAAGGGAAGUAUAGAACUCAUACACGUAAGAAAUGUAUAUGCUAUUAUAAUACAAACUAUUUUCUUCAUUAAUUAAGGCUCAUACCUCCCACCUAGCCCAGCGCUCCAUAAGUUGAGUUCUUUUCAAAAGUUGAUCAGGUCUCUGCAACAACAAGGCAGUUCCCUUAGGUUUUUGAGCAUAACAUACACCCUAAAAACUAUACCAGAAAAUAAAAAAUAUAACAUGAACACAAAUGUAAAAUUGCAGAAAACAUCAAAAUAAAAAGCUGUAAACAUAAUCACAUAUACUUUUAUCGUAAGCAUGGAUAUAAAGAAAUUAAAACAAAUAAACAGUCAGAGAAACUGUAUUACCUGAGUAGCCAAAUAUAUAUUGUUUAAAUGGGGAGGUCGUGCUUGAACAAUUGAUCGAUAUGCAUUUCUUCGUCCUUCACUACUCUAAAGAGGAAUUGGCAGGGAAAAUGUAAGAGAGACAUAAAACCAUUAUCAAAUCUCCACCUAAUAGUUUAGGGUUUAGGGUAGAUCUUUCACGUUUUACAUAUUUAAGACCAACCAGUCACGAAUCAAUCCUUGUCAGAUACAUUCUUCAGAUUUAAAUCAAAUUUCAGCACAAGGUACAAUGGGCCUGUGCAUUACCCAAUCGUCAAGACCAAAAGGCUCUUGGAACAUAAAUAAAACUGUUCUUGAGCCUCCAAUAAUAGCUUAAGCUUUUAAGGAUGAAAAGGAUUAUGUGUACAAGAUUUAUCAAUCAUCAGUAAAGCGUUCAGAAUUAUAUCAGCAUUGAGAAUGAUCCUAAAACCAAAAGGACUUUUUCUUCUUUAAAAAUAGAGGGAAAGAAACUGGGAUAUACGAGAAACUAUACCCCAAAGUCAAAAAAGAAGUUUGAACGGUCCACCAUAAAUAGCUCCAGAGCACUUCUUCUAAGGAGAUAUCUGCAAAGGAACUAAGACUUUUAAACCACUAAUAGUGUGUAUUUUUUUUUUCUUUCAGAAUUUUUACAUUGCAUAUAAACAAUAACUUUGCACAAUAAUAAAAACAAUGACGCAAAUAUUUAAUGUAAUUAAGCAAAAAAACGGAAGAUGGUGCUUCAAAAGAGACAAGUAUUAAAUUCUCUCUAAACUACAGUACGUAAUACUAUAGAUGAAACUAAAACAGCUCAUAGACUAAUAUCAACUACAUCAAUGGUUCAAUGCACAUCCAACAUAUAACAAGGGCCAGCGAUCAACCAUCCACUCUGAAGAUUCAUAUUGAUCAAUCGAUCCCCGUGUCCUGCCAAUUCGCUGAGUAGACUCACUCUUACCAUACUCAAAAUGACAACACAAAAAUACAACAAAUGAAUGGAAUGGACAGUAAUACAAUCAAUAAAAUGAGCUCACCUCCGGCUAUAGAUUUGAUGAAGAGAAGACAUUAACCAGCUACGAUCCUUUUCUUGGUUACCUGCCUCAAAACUGAACUGCAGACCAUCUGUUGUGGCACUGGUCUCAUUGCUAUUUUUAUCGACUAUAAAAUUUAUCCUCCUACUGGUUACCUAUAACAAGAGUAUAGUGCUUUGCAUGAGUGAAACUAUCAUACCGAAGAAAAGAAAACUGUUGAAAUUAUCAAGUUUGGGAAGGGAUGGUGAAAGAGAACAAAGAAUGCACAUAAUAUGAUAUUAAAUUUAUAUGGUGUAUUGUAAUGCAAUCUAAAUCAGAGUAAAACUAUCGGAAACAAUCAUCUUUUCCAAGGUUGGAUCAGGAUCCCUUGGGAUAUGGGAUUUGUCAAAAUUUGUUUCUGUUUUAUUAUUAAAAAUAUCCCUCAAGUAUAGGGAUUUGAUUGUAUAUGAAUACUAAUAGGGAUUUAGUUAUAUAGGAGUACUAAUAGAGAUUUGGUUGUAUAGUAACCUAGUAUAUAUAUCUGAUGUAUUGUCAACAUAUUUCAAUUCAAUAAUUAUAUUUUACCAUAAUUGUGCGCACUUUUUUUAAAGAUAAAGGGAUGGUGGCACACUUAACAGAUGAACCCCACAAAGAAACAGAUCUCAAGUUUAAGAGUUGGGAUAAAGAGGAUUCUAUGAUCAUGGCGUGGUUAUGGGAUGUAAUGACCUCAUAAAUCAAUGACACUUGCAUGUUUCUCAGCACUGCGAAGAAGAUUUGGAAGGCAUCAGAAGAGACUUAUUCUAAAGCCAAAGAUGCUGCCCAUAUAUAUAUGAUGAAAGGUGAAAAUUGUGGCUGCUAAACAAGGAAACAAGACUGUUACGAAGUAUGCAAAUCAUCUCAAAGCUUUGUGGAUGGAGUUGGAUCAUUAUAGAAUUAUAAAAGCCAAGUGUUCAGCAGAUGCGGCAUUACUCAAGGAGUACUUAUGAACAGGAUAGAGUCUACGAUUUCUUGGUGGGGCUCAACUCUAAUUUUGAUCAAGUUAGAGUGCAAAUCCUUAGUAAGGAGAAAGUACCAGGAAUUAAUGAGGUGGUGGCUAGAGUGAAGAGUGAAGAAAGUAGAAGGGGACUAAUAUUGACGGUCUCACUUGUAGAAAGCUCAGCAAUGCUAGCUGGGAAGAAUUCAACUAUGAUGGUUGACCAAAAGAAAGGAGGAGGACCUUAUGUGGAGAAGAAAGGUGAAGGAGUGUGGUGUACCUAUUGCAACAAGCAUCUCCACACUCGUGAAAAAUGUAGGAAAUUGAAUGGAAACCACCUAGUAGAAAGUGGGGCUCUCAAAACCGAGACAAGGAGUGGGGAAGAAAGGGAGGUCAAGCACACAUAGCUACAAGUACUAGUGAAGAAAGUUGAGGUAGAAAAGUUGAGAUCCUUACUCACUAGUUUGGAAAAACCUGCAGGUACUUGUUCUUUAGCCUGUUCAGGUACAUUUCCAUUUUCUUUUGGACUUAAUGCUUCAAAUAUACCCUUUAACCAAUUUUGGAUACUGAAUUCUAGAGUCACAGACCACAUGACACUCUUACCUACACAUUUCUCCACUUAUUCACUUUGUCCUAGCAACAAGAAAAUAUCAAAUAACUGAAGUAGGUCAAGA
rnacentral:lncRNA from 1 species